rnacentral:lncRNA from 1 species
UUCUUUUCGUGCAAAAAUUAUAUUCACGUUUUUUUUAACUUCUCAUUAAUGCAUUUUCAUUGCCAGGGUUUCUGCGUUUUCAAUAAAAAAUCUAGUGAAGAAACUGGAAAAUGUUGGAGGAAACGCUAAUGCAUAAUACGUACAACCUAAUAAACAAGUUGUUGGAGCGUACGGCUAUAGCAAUUUGUUUAUGGUCAUCUGUGCUUCUGUAUACUAUUAGUAAAUCUAUUUUGCAAUGAACCCAAAUAAUCAAAUUGUCCCGUGGCACUUACGGUCCAUGGAUCUAAUAAUUUUUGCUUCUUUUUAUUUAUUUAUUUAUUGCAUAUCAUAACCUGUCAGUCUCAUAAUAUUGUCCAACAAGAUUGCCUUUUUGAAAAAUUUCACAUAAAUCGGACACGGAUGAUUAUGUUAUCCUUUAAUUUUUCUAACGAAUAUAAUUUUCACUGUCAUUUUGUGUUUUGGAUAGGUGGAAUGACAGUGACCUGACUGAAAAAUAUGUUAUCUGGACGACGAACGACCAAGUCAAGGUCUUUUAAGUGUACAGUCCAACUCCUUUUAAAUAGCAAUUGAAUUCUGCACUUUAAGCAAUAAGUUACUCGGCCAAAUUUGCAGAAAUAUUUCAAAGUUUAAUUCUUCACUUGGAUUUUUCAUUGCUGAUCAUGUAAGUUAGUUGUUAUUAUUAUUAUUAUUUUUUCACCAAGGUAACUCUUGUGCUUACACUUUUCGCGGAGCUAGUUCUAUUUUCUUAAUGUUCUAAUUUUCAAUGAAUGUAUUUGGACAAAGCCACGAACUUGUCUUUUAGAGGACUUAAAUUGUAUUAAUAUUGCUGAUAUAUUCCUUAUAAAUAAAAAAGAGCAAACAAAGUUCUUAUAAAAAACGCAAGGAUAGCAGACAGUGAUUUUAAUUUUUUUUUGUUGAUGUUAUCUCUAUUUUAAUAAUAGAUGAUUGAUUGAUUCAAUCUUCUUCUUGUCCAUAAUUAAAAUAACUACUUUCUACUUCCUAAACGAAUCUCUAAUCUGUCGAAAUGACUUUAUACACAUUUGUAGAAAUCAAUAUCUUGAUUAUUUGGUUGUCAAGUGUAUAUAAGUUAUACCGUCUGUUAGUUUUUUUUAAUUGGCAUGUUUGAUAUUUUUCAACCAAAAUUCCCCUUGAUUGGGAAAAUAAACCAUUUCCUGCUCAUGUUUUUUAAUCCUACUCCAAAAUUCUCAUCUUAUUUGGUGAAAAUUUUAUUUUUGGGAUUUAUACGUGCAACCUAAUCAAGAAGUUGUUGGAAUGUGCUUGUGUAUUAUUUUAAUAAAUCUAUUUUGCAAUAAACCCAAAUAGUCAAAUUCUUAAUUCUCCCGUGCUAUAUAUAUGGUCUGUGGAUAUAUUAAUGUUUGCUUCUUUUAAUUAAUUUAUUUAUCUUUUGCAUAUCAUAACCUCUCAGAUUACUGUCUAACAAGAUUGCCUUUAAGUUUGAAAUUUUUCACAUAAAUUGGACGCGGGUGAUUAUGGUGUCCUUUCAUUUUCUGACGAAUUAAUUUUCACUGUCAAUUUGUAGUUUGGCUAGCUGGAAUGACAGUGGCCUGACUGAAAAAUAUGUUAUCUGGACAAAGCCAUGAACUAGUCUUUUAAAGGACUUAAACUUGUAUUAAUAUUGCUGAUAAAUUCCCUAUAAAUCAAAAGAGCAAACAAAGUUCUUAUAAAAACUGCAAGGAUAGCAGACAGUGAUUUAUUUAUUUAUUUUUUGAUGUUAUCUCAAUUUUAAUAAUAGAUGAUUGAUUGAUUCAAUCUUCUUCUUGUCCAUAAUUAAGAUACCUACUUUCUACUUCCUAAAAAAAUCACUAAUCUGUCGAAAUAAGUUUAUACACAUUUGUAGAAAUCAAUAUCUUGGGAUUGUUGCUUGUUAAUUAUAUGUAAGUUAUACCAUUUGUAUGUUUUUUUUAAUCUGCUCGGCAUGUUUGAUAUUUUUCAACCGAAAUCCCCCUUGAUUGGGAAAAUGAACAAUUUCCUGCUCAUAUUUUGAAAUCCUACUCCAAAAUUCUCAUUUUAUUUGGUGAAAAUUUUCUUGAUGUUGAUAAACUUAUGUUAACUGUCAACUAAUGUUAAAUUAAGUCAAUUUGUUUUUCAACUAUCAGAUUUGGUAAUUUUCCCCUUUUUCCAGUGUAUGCAAAUCCACGACAACCACCCUACGCCUCCUUCCCUUAUUUUUCAAGGAAGUAUGUGAUUUUUUAAACUGGGUUUUGAUUGCUGGCAACUGUAAUAUGUUGGACUUCCGUAAUUGGCUUGUUUGUACUGUACAGAUAUAUAUGUAUUAAAAAAAAAAGGAAAAAAAAUGACAAAACCUUAACUUGCGUUUCGAUCAUAUCAGGUCUCAGGAUCCAGAAGCAGGUUCAAAAGAUAAACGAUAUUCUAAAGUGUAUGGUACUGGAACGACGUCGGCCGAUAAAGAACAACCUACAUGCUUAGGUUGCGUUAAAAAUCUUCUAGGUGUCAUACUUCUUUGUGUGGCGCUAUUAUGCUUUAUAAUAUUUGGUGGGACAAUAAUGCUAGUACUUUAUUACCUGUUGAUUACAAUGAUUGUGUUAUAUCAUGAAACCGGUAAAGCGAUAGCGAGAGCAAUACUCAGGAUUAAAACAAUCAAGGAUAAAGAAUAUAUUGAUGGUCUAAUGAAUGUGACUGCAAUGAUCCUUGAUGUGACUGCAAUCAUCCUUGAUCCUUUAUUCUUCUACAUUCUGGUGCUGGAUGAUGAAAAGAAAUGCAUUCACUGGGACAAAACCUUGGGGAUUACAGCUACCGUCAUCCGUUCCGUCCUCGAUUUCCUUAAGCUAGGCCAUUUUAUCUCUCACUCUAAGCUGCAUAUGGCAAAGGGGAACCAAAGAGAAAAAUUUAAGUAUUUGUGGGGGCAGUUAAAAAUUUUCAAGGUGUAAUUUACUUUCGCUAACUAGUUGUUUCUUCAACUUCCAUAAUUUAUAUAAAUAUAGUCUCCGUUAUCUUCUUUGCUCCCUACGAAGUAUUUGCUUUUUUUUUUUUUUUUGCCUUAAAAGGGAGAAGGAGAAGUACCUGAAGAUCCAAUGGGACGAAUGCGGAAGCUCUUCCUCAUUGACUGUUUGGCCAUCCUUCCCAUCCCCCAGGUAAAGGCACUAUCUAAUUUACAAUUACGUAAAUUCUGUUUAUUGACAUAUUAUGUAGUUCAAUCCUUCCCAUCCCCCAUGUGCAUAUCGUAAUAGUCUGCUUGAUUCCUGUCAUAUGUACAUCACAAAGUGGUUUUGAUUGUGAUAAAGAUAGAUCUUCAUACGAUUCAUGUCAAGGAUAAUGAUUUCAAUGUCAUUUUUCCCUUUACUUUGAUUAAAGUUGUAUUUAGACAUACAACCCUAAAUGUUUUGCAUGGAUAUUAGGGGUGGCAAUUUUCGCUAGUGAGUAGUGUUAAAUUUCAGCUAUGGGAAUUCGAUACUUUAUUAAUCUUGUUAAUAAUUUCAAACACCAACUCCACCUGUCUAUUAAUAAUUAUGUCACAUGCUUAAUAUGCUUUGAAAGUAUAUUUUUAAAUUUGACUUGUUUACAAGUUUUUAAGAUAUUUGUUUAAUUAAGAUAUUUAUAGUACUGCCUCUCAAAUUCAAAUCAAUUCUAGUCUUAAUAUAACUAGAUAAUUUUGAAAUAUAUACAAAUAGAAAGUAGUUCAAUUGUAUCCAAAAUCUAGUCGUACAACCAUUAUUGAUCAAAUAGUUAAUUAUGUCAUAAUUAAAUAGGCUCACGUGACAGUAACUUAAAACCUGAAGAAGUGAAGAGAACAAAAAAUAUUUGUGUUCCUUUUCACCAACGCGAACAAACUAUUAUUUUCAUGCCAUUGGAAUCAGUUUCGCAGGUCAUUUCAAAAUUUGUCAUCCCAGCUAUACCAUCAUUUUGCACAAAAAUAAAUAAUCAAUUUUGUUCAUAUUCAAUAUCCUUCAAAAUAUUUAUUUCCAUUAUUCCAUAUCAACUAAUAGGACAAACCGUCCAGGUUUUGGUGAUUUUUGGAAUAAGAGGCCCAGGAUUUUCGACGGCAAUGACCUUCUUUAUUUUACAAUAUUCGCUAAGGGUUAUUCGAACGUACUUUCUCUUCACACAUGCUACACGGGUUUCAGGGAUACUUGCCGAUGCUACAUGGGCCAUUUUUGCCUUCUAUCUUCUUCUUUAUCUGCAAAGCGGUCAUGUAAGUUCAAAGUAUCAUCAUUUUACCGAAAUAUUUUUUGGGAAAUUACAAUUUUUCCACCAUAUAGAUCGCCAAAUUAAAGGCCAAAAACAUUACAAAAUUUUGAAAUUUACAUUUUUAUUCAAGAAGUUUCCACAAACACCUAUUUAUAUUAAUUUUUUUGGAAUCAGAAAAGCAUGAACUACGAUAUUCAGUAUUUUGUAAUUUAGAAAAGCAUAUUCUAAUAAAACUAGAAUUUUAGCAACGCCCAGUUAUUACACAUAUAUACGCACAGUCAGUUAGCUUUUUUUUAUGUAAAUUUUAGAUAUUGGAAUUGUCGAUGUAUGAUUUUCCCUCUACUCUGCAAAUUAAUUUUUCUGCUAAGCUAUCUUUCAGAUGUUUGGAGCCUUAUGGUACUAUAAUGCCAUAGAAAAAGUGACUGAAUGCUGGAGGGAAGCCUGCAAAAAUCAUACCGGAUGCAGCGGUCAUAGUUAUUUUUCCUGUAAUAAAAGUUCCAGAGACUACAAUUUUCUAAAUGAUUUUUGCCGUAUAAGUACAGGAAGUACUACCAGCUAUAGUUUUGGAAUAUAUAAUGAUGCUCUUCAGUCUGGUAUUGUGGGGGAGACAGAUUUUCCUAAGAAAUUGAUACGUUGUCUACGAUGGGGCCUGCAAAAUCUCAGGUUUGCUGUUUUUUAUAUGGCUUGGAUAAUGAUUAUUGUGCAUGUGAUCAGGUCCGUUACAGGUUCUCUUAGUCCGGUGCAGGUUUAUUUUGUAGUUCUUUUCGCAUCCAUGUAUUUUUUUUUUCCCCAAUUCUCUUUUAUUCUUUUCUUUGUAGCUUUAUGCAUAUUGUAAGGGCUAAAUUUUAUUAAAACCCACUAAUUAGCCAAUGCAGACCAAGACAUUUUAUUGAAAGGGGCUACAUCUAAUAAUACCAACAAUAUACAUAACAUAAGGGAUUAAUUAAGUUUAAAUGAUAAAAUUAAGUAAUUUCAUAAUUUUUAUUAAAUUAAGAUGACAUGUGAAAGUAAAUGAGGGAUAUUUUUAUUAUUUUUGAAAGGUUUAACAAGGAGAUUAAAAAUACUGUUUAAUUUUUUUAUAAAUUCAGAAUAAUUGAGGGGUAUGUUUUUAGGGGUUUAUUUCAAACGAACUCUUUUAUUCAGCUCAAAUAUUAAAAAAAUCAUUGGGGGUUUAACUAAUAUUUUCUGCUAAGGUCUCGAAUGAAAUUUCAGAGGGGUUAUAUGAAACAUUUCUUUUCUAUCGGCUGGUCAUUAGGUAAGUUCAAUCUUGUUUAUUCUCAUAAAAAGAGUACGAAUGUUUGGGCCACGCACAUUAUUUAAAUAUGUAAUUAUGGGCUUUAGUUAGCUUACAUUAUUAUGUAAGUUUUAUAAUUUUUUUAUCUAAUGGUUGUGGGAAUAAUGUGAUUUUAUUACUUCAUAUUUUCAUAACUAUUGAAUUUUCAUCAAAUGACUAUGAAAAAAUUAUACAAUUUACGUAAUAAUGUAAGGUAACAAGCUCCCGCAAGUAUGUAAUACUUAUGAAAUGUAUUGAACUUUUUGCAGUGCAUUUGGUCAGAACCUCGAAUCAAGUAACGAUGUCGGGGAAAAUAUCUUUGCAAUUUGCAUGACCAACUACGGCGUAGUUCUGUUUGUCUUUUUAAUUGGAAGGAUGCAGGUAACAUACAUUUUCUGUUUCUUCUCGAUUUCUCAAUUAACUCUCUCCUCGAGCUCUUAAUUACCUUUGAUCCUUUUAAAUCUUGGAACACGAUAUACAUAAGUUUUAAUUAGAUUUGAAAACACACAAGUUAAUUAUUUAGGUCAAAUUAAUUAAUGGCUAGAUGUACAGACUGAAAUUGCAAGGUCACAGAAGAUAAACCAGAAGUGGCAGGUGAUCAGGCAGUCGAAACACUAUGCGGAUAUCUCUCGUGAUCAAAAUGUCCGAGGGCAGUUCAAGAAAGCCAAGCGUGAAAAAUUGGCAAACAAACAUGUUGAUGUUCGCAUAGAUAGUUUUAUAAGCGAUCUCUCCCUCGACGCUGAAAAACAAGUAAAACGCCAUAUGGGCCGAAAACUGCUCAGAAAAGUGAGUUUCUAUUUCUCUGGAUAAUAAUAAUCCUUAGCUACGUACCUGCCUCUUAUUAAUUAGUUAUUCAUCAGAAGAUGUCGAAGGGGGAAUUUUGUUAGAAUUUUUUUGUGUUGACGUCUUAUAGCAACAUCUAGAAUGAUUCUUCAUUGUAUGUCCUUGAUUGUUAGAAAAUUAAUGGCAAAUGAAUUAGUAAAUAUGAACCAUAUAGGAGCAACAAUACAUAUAAUGACACAAAAUUUUUGAAUGCUGUCAAGAGGGCACCGAAUACGAAAGCAUUUUUAUCUUAUUAUCAUUUUCUUCUUAGUAAACGAUAAUUAAGGAAAAGAGUAAUGACAAAGAGUACUGAUCUGGUCCAAGAUUUUGAAUCUUAUUAAAGUUUGAGAAAAUUAUUAAGUUAUAAGGUCUAAUAGUAUAACACCAUUACACUCUUAAACAUAAGUUUUCACAAGUACGCAGUAGAUGGUGAGAUAAUGUGUAAUUAAUAGUGUAAUUGAGUAAUGAUGCUUCUUGAUGAGCCAUCAUCAAAUGGGUGAUUUUGACAAAAGUUAUAGAAUUUAUGUAUUUCAAUAUUCUAUAACUUUAUAAUCGUUGUAUAUAUUUGUAUUGACUCUGAUUCUCCUUUAUCAAGGUAGAAGAAUUACUUAAUGUAUUUCAAUAUUCUAUAACUUUAUAAUCGUUGUAUAUAUUUGUACUGACUCUGAUUCUCAUAUAUCAAGGUAGAAGAAUUUCAAAAUUGGGAUGAGUUCUAUUUGGACUAUCUGUUUGGUUGUCUGAAGCCAGUCGUCUUUAGUGAAAGGACUGUAAUUAUUCAGGAGGGAGAUCCAAUUAAUGUGAUGACCUUUGUGUUGCAAGGCAAGACUUGGGCCUACUCCAACAGCUUGCCGAUCACUAGACAGAGACAUCAAGAAGAUUGUGAUGUUCGCCGAAAAGAACUCAUAGACUGGGCUAAGAAUGAAAACUCGUACCAGCAGCUCCCUAUCUCAGACAGAACCAUUCGAGCACUUACCGACGUUGAAGCCUUUACUCUUAAGGCUGAUGACGUGAAAUGUGCAUUACUUUUCCGUCUUGUUUCCAAAGAGGCAGCAACUCUCAUACAAUCAUUCUGGCGUUUCAGGAAGCACAAACAUGCAACGCCAAGAACAUGCAUGGUCGGCUGUUUCAGGACACAGGACAAAGUUGUACUGCAUUAGAUUAACUAUUUGGGAUUGGACUUGAAGUAUUUAUUACACUAAUAUAUCUGUUAUUUAUGUUUGGUGUUUCUGUUUAGGUAUCAGAAAUAAACUACUUCUGUUGAGUGACAUAGUAGACUAAGGGUGUUCAUAAUCCAAUUCGAUCCGCUUAAUCCGUCCGAUCCGCUCAAUUCGAUCCGUAUAAAUCCAAUCCGUGGAUUGGAUAUGGAUUGAAAAUUUAAAAAUCUGCAGUCGAUGGAUUGGAUAUGGAUUUACUUCUGUAAAUCCGCAGAAAUCCGUGAAUCCGUAAAAAAAAAAAAAAAAAAAAAAAAAAAAAAAAAUAUAUAUAUAUAUAUAUAUAUAUAUAUAUAUAUAAUUAAAAAAUUAUUAUAAAUUUAAUUAAAAAAAUUAUAAAUGUGACAUUACAUAGUUACAUAAGCACUAUAACAUAUUUUAGCCAUUACCCAAUAAUAAUAAAAAAUAAAAAAUAAUUAAAUAAUCAAAUAUACAAAUAUAACUUGUAAAAAUUGUAAAACAAAAUAAAAGCAAAGUCACACGCACUAGCAAAAGCAAAGUCACACGCACUACCAAAGCAAAGUAACAUAACGCCAAAUCACCAACAAUUUGCAAAGUCACCCAAAAGCAAAGUAACAUGAUGCCAAGUCACCAACAAUCUGCAAACCCUAAGCUUUCCCGCCGUCACACACACUAGCAACACUCAAUACUGAUUGGAUACACUCUCGACACGGAUUUGAAGGACAUCGGCCGCGCGAUUCCAGCGAGAGCAAGCCAUCUUCUUUCCCAAGUCCAUCGAGCCACUUCACAUUCAUUGGUUCCAGCUGAACAAUUUCACUAUCACAACCUUCAAGAUCGCCACCCGUAGGGCUUCUCCUGGUUCCCAUCGUGGACGGCUCCGUAAUCACCACUUUUCGACAGGCGCAACAGCCCUGGUGAAGGAUCAGACUGUAUUUGGUUUCCGAAACUUCGCCAUUUCAAUUAAUUGUGACUUUAUUUGAACAAUUAAUUAAUUUCGGUGUUAUGUUAACAUAUUAUUGUAACUUUAUUUGAACAAUUAAGCUUAGUGUGUUAUAUUUUGAAACUUUGAACGUAUUAUUGUAGCUUUGUUUGAAUAAUUAAUCUCGAUGUGUUAUAUUUUGAAACUUUAAAUGUAUUAUUUUAGCUUUAUUUAAAUAAUUAAUUUAUUUAAAUUUUAUUCAAUUUUAAAUUUAAUUGGUAGCAAAAUUAUUUUUAUUUUAGAUUUUUUUUAUUUCAUUAGUUGGAGAGAACUAAAAAUUUUUAAUUCAAAAACUAAUGCGUAAAAUGGUGGAUUGGAUAUAGAUUAAGUCAAAUCCGUAUCCGAUCCGCAGACGUAUGGAUUGGAUAUGGAUUGAGUCAAAUCCACAUCCAAUCUGUAGAUGUAUGGAUUGGAUUUGGAUUGAAUUUUAUCAAUCCAUGAAUUAGAUUGGAUUGAAAAAUUAUAAUCCGCAAAAUCAUGAAUCAGAUAUGGAUUGAUGUCCAAUCCGUAAAAUCCGAUCCGCGAACACUCCUAUAGUAGACUAUAAUUAUCUGGUACAUGGUUUUGGAUGAAAAUAGUGUAAGGGAAAAUAUCCACCGUCCACCCAUUUUUUACACCUUUUUUAAAAAUACACAAUUCCUUCAUUUUUUGGCUGGAAUCCACCUAAAGUUACAUUUUGUUUCAUUUUUCCACUUCCGUUUAAAAUCCGUUAACAAAACUAACGGAAACUUAAAAAAAUGACCAUUUUACCCCCAAAAUGAAAAUUACAAUUUCACUAUAAAAAUGCCAAAAAAAAAACCUGCAUAUGAUGGUUGUGGAAUUAAUUUCUUUAUUGACCAAUGGGAAAAAUAAUUAGAUUUAAUCUGAUUAUUUUUUGUAAUUUUUAAGGCGAAAUUAUAAUUUUCGUUUUGGGGGUAAAAUGGUCAUUUUUUUAAGUUUCCGUUAGUUUUGUUAACGGAUUUUAAACGGAAGUGGAAAAGUGAAACAAAAUGUAACUUUAGGUGGAUUCCAGCCACAAAAUGAAAGAAUUGUGUAUUUUUGAAAAAUGUGUAAAAAACGGGUGGACGGUGGAUAUUUUCCCAUAGUGUAAAUAGCAAUAGAACAACCCAUAGAUCACAGUCUAGGGAAUGAACAAAUGCACAAUUCCAGUCAAGUGAAUAAUCACAGGAUAUUUUCAUCAACUUUUAAUAAAUAUAAAAAUGAAAACUACGCAGAGAAUAUUCUUAAACACAAGUACUAUGACUGUGAUUAUCAAUAUUAAGCAAUCAACCUCGUACAAUCAUCAACUUGUGAUAAACUAUUCAUGCCAGUAACAUGACUAUCUUAUUAAUUUCAGUUCACUGCAAAGUGAAAAAAAAUUAAUCACAUCCUCUUCGACUAAAAUUGAAGUUAAUUCUUGGCUCCCUUCAACAAAUUUUCUUUUCUAGUACUCUACUAUUCACGUUCAUCUCAUAAAAGAUAUGUAGAGAUUGUCAAGUUAUGUAAUCAACUUGAGCAACAUCUUCCCAAGAUUACUGGAUUAGAUUUACAAGAUGAAUUAAAGAUGAUCUGAACUUACAAUGAUUUUAAACAACUCAAUAUCACAACGAACCAACAGUAAGCAAUUAAAGAAACUAAAAGAAACCCAAGAAUUAACUCAGACACAGCAAGUUACGUGGUUCAGUCAAUUCAUCAUUGACUUACAUCCACGGAGGAACAAAUUGACCAGCUUUAUUGAUUGAACCAAGUCUCUUUUACAACCAGAUUUACAGAGCCCUAAUCAAGGAACAAGAACACUAUGUUUACACAAGCUCUCUCUCUCCUGAAUCCUCUGAAAUCCUCUCGGUUUGUUACACCAGAAUUAGCUUCAGCUUCUGUGUUUAUAACAACCCAGAAGCAGCCCAAGCUGAGCACGUGAGCAGCAGAUGUCUUUAACGGCUUUUAACAGCCUUCUUACGUCAUUAAAAACUCACGCGCAUUGCUCGUCAUUAUUAUAACCCAAAGCGCUAGAGUCUUAUGUCGUUUCUCAAAGAGGUAUUAAGAUAUCCUGAAACGUAGAUUGCUGUGCCGUUUUCCUUUUGACAUCAAAUGCCAAAACGCAGAGCUUCCUGUCAUCUCCUUAAAUCUCUUUUUGAUUUGUUUCAUUCUGGUCCAACAUAACUCCACCUUGAAGCAAAUCAACCCUGAUCUAAUUUUCUCCUCGUCCCUCUGUAUAAUUAGAGGCUAUCAACACCAGCCAUGUUCAAGCAAGCUUUGAACUUGGCUGUAGGAACAACUUUAGUAAGUAUGUCUGCUGGGUUAUCAUCUGUGUGAACCUUUACCAUCUUGAUUACUCCUUUUGACACUUCAUUUAUGAUAAAGUGUAGUUUGACAUCAAUAUGUUUGGUUCUUUUAUGAUGAGCUGGGUUUUUGCUUAGGUAGAUGGCACUUGAGCUAUCACAGUGGACUUCAACUGUUUUCUGACUCAUCCCCAACUCUUCGAUCAUCCCUUUGAGCCAUAAAGCUUCUUUGACAGCUUCUAUGGCUGCUGUGUAUUCAGCUUCUGUUGUUGAUAGAGCAACAACAUGUUGGAGACUUGCCUUCCAGCUGAUGAUGCAUCCAUUGAGCAUAAACAAGUACCUUGUUAAUGAUCUUUUUCUGUCAUUGUCUCCAGCAAAGUCUGAGUCUACAUAACCCCAUAGGCCACUAUUUCUCCCUUCUGAUCUUCCAUACAGCAGUCCAAGUUUCUCAGUACCAUUCAGAUACCUUAGUAUCCACUUAACUGCUUGCCAAUGCUCAUUCCCAGGUGUUGCCAUAUACCUACUAACAAUGCUUAUAGCAUAAGAAAUAUCAGGUCUUGUUAAGACCAUGACAUACAUCAUACACCCUAUAACAUUAGCAUAUGGAAACUUUGCCAUUUCAUGUCUCUCUUCAUCUAUCUUAGCACAUUGCAGAUUGGAGAGCUUGAAAUGGGAGGCUAGUGGUGUCAAUACUGACUUACAGGCUGACAUCCCAAAUGUCUUAAUUAUCUUCUUCGCAUAGCCUCAUUGUGACAGAAACAUUGUGCCUUCCUUCUUGUUCCUCCUUAUAUCUAUGCCUAAGAUCUUCCUAGCACGUCCUAAAUCCUUCAUAUCAAAUUCUGAACUCAGUAGCUCUUUCAACGCUUCAAUCUCAUCCCUUACCUUACAAGCAAUUAACAUAUCAUCUACAUACAUCAACAAGUAUAUGUAGUGAUGUGUCCUAAGUAUCUUGUAGUAGACACAACAAUCGAAACUGCAUCUUUUGAAUCCAUUUGUUGUAAUGAACUCAUCAAACCUGAGGUACCAUUACCUUGGGGACUGUUUUAAACCAUACAAUGAUUUCUUUAGCAAACACACAUGUUCUGGUCUCUCUAGAUCUACAUACCCCUCUGGCUGAACUAUUAGAAUUUCUUCUUGUAAUAUUCCAUGAAGGAAUGCUAUUUUGACAUCGAGUUGAUCAAGCUCCAUGUCAUAAACUGUAGUCAUAGCUAGCAAUACUCUGAUUGAAGUAUGUCUAACUACUGGUGAAAAAACUUCUUUAAAUCAACCCCUUCCUUUUGAGUGUAGCCCUUAGCCACUAACCUAGCUUUGAAUCUCCUAAGUUCUGAAGCUGUCAGGCCAUCCUUAAUUCUAUAGAUCCAUUUACAACCAAUGAGUUUUCUUUUUUCAGGUUUUGUUACUUGCUCCCAGGUGUUGUUUUUAUAGAGGGAUGAUAUUUCUUCAUCCAUUGCCUGUUGCCAAUCAGUUUUGUAUGAGCUUUGCAUUGCUUCUUUAUAGCUCAUUGGUUCUUCUUCAUCAACCUCUUGUGAGGUGGCCAGUGCAUAUGCUAUAAGAUCUGCAUAGCCAAACCUCUUUGGGGGUCUUAUUACUCUUCUCUUUCUGUCUCUAGCUAGAUGAUAAUCUUCUAUAUGGGAGGGUUUUGGGUGUUCUGAGCUUGUAUCCCUAUCACCAGCAACUUCUUUAUCUGAAUCUACAGCUUCACCAGAGGUUUUCUUUGCUGGAUGUUUCACCUCAAACUGUAUAACAUCAUCAGUUUUAUUUUGAGGUUUAGCAUUUUCAACAGGUUUUUCCUCACUUAGCACCAUCUGCUCAUUAAACACACAUCUCUGCUGACUAUACAUUUUGGAGGGGCCAAGUUUGUGUACCAAAUCUUAUAGCCUUUUACCCCUUCUGGAUAACCUAUAAACAGCCCCUUUAGAGCUCUAGGUGCUAGCUUUCCUUGGUUUGUAUGUGCAUUGGCAGUGCAACCAAACACUUUCAGCUUGCUGUAAUCUUCUAGUUUACCACACCACUUCUCAUGUGGUGUUUUGAAGUCUAAGACUGGGGAAGGGCUCAAAUUUACUAGCAUGCAAGCUGUCAGUAGUGUUUUUGCCCAUAGCCCUUUAGGUAAAUAUGAUUAUAUCAUCAUGCAUCUUACCUUCUCCAUCAAAGUUCUGUUCAUUCUUUCAGCCAAGCCAUUCUGUUGUGGUGUUAGCCUCACUGUUUUGUGUCUAGCAAUGCCUUCUUUUGAGCAGUAUUCAUCAAACAUAUGAUUACAAUAUUCUAGUCCAUUGUCAGUUCUAAGAAACCUUCAGCUUCUUCCCUGUUUGAUUUUCAACAAGUGCUUUCCAUUCUUUAAACCUCUCAAACACCUAAUCUUUGGUUCUAAGUACAUACACCCAAACCUUUCUAGAGUAGUCAUCUAUUAUAGACAUAAAGAACCUAUUGCCUCCUAAAAAUGGAACCUGUGAAGGUCCCCACAGAUCUGUAUGCACAUAGUCCAGGAUACUUUUGGUUUUAUGGACAUAUUUCUUAAAGCUAGCUCGUAUGGAUUUCCCUAGAACACAAUCCUCACAGAAAUCUAGUUCUUCAAUCUUGUCACCCCCCAAAACCCCCUGCUUUUCUAAUUCUUUAAGACCCUUUAGGCUUAUGUGUCCCAAUCUUAAAUGCCAAAGCCUGGUAUUAUCAGCAUUGGUCUUGACAGACACAUUGGAUUCACUAGUCACUACUUCCCCAUCCAGGACAUAAACCCCAUUUCUCCUUGUGCCUUUCAUAAUCAAUGUUGAGCCAUUUAGGAUUCUUAAGUCACCACACUCUAAUUUUAUACUACACCCAAUUUGGUCAAGCAUCCCUAGAGAGAUUAAAUUCCUUUUAAGGUCUGGUACAUGCCUGACCUGUCUUAUUAGCCUCACAAUCCCAUCAUGUAGUUUUAUAUGUAUGUUUCCUAUCCCAAUGACCUUACACAUUGUAUUGUUUCCCAUCAUUACCCUUCCCCCAUCAUAUUCAUGGUAAUCUGAAAAGUAACUCUUUACAGGACUCAUAUGAAAAGUACAGCCAGAAUCAAGGAUCCACUUACCUAUCUGCACUUCAUCAGUUGCCACACACACUCCAGCUGAUUCAUAUCCCUCAUCUUCAACUAUUGCUGCAUCUCCAAUCUUUUGUUUAUUUUUAGGGCAAUCUUUCUUGAAGUGUCAUUCCUUGUGACACUGAAAACACUUCAAGUUCUUGUUUUUGUUCUUCCCCUUUCUUUGCUUCUUUUUCUUUCCAUCAGUUCUUUCAUUUCUUCCUUUCGCAGUUAAUCCCACUCCACUCUCUGUGUUAACUUGCUUUUCUUGUAGACCUCUGGUAUUCAAUGCAGCCUUAACCUCAUCUAGAGACAAGGUUUGUCUACCAUACAUUAAAGCAUCCACAAAAUUGGAGUAUGACUGUGGUAAUGAACUUAUCAGAAGUAGAGCUUUUCCUUCAUCAUUCAGGCCCUCAUCAAUGGUCUCCAAGGUGUCACAAACUUUGUUGAACUCAUCGAUAUGUUCAUCAAGAGAGGAUCUCGCAGCCAUCUUUAAUGAAAACAUCAUCUUCUUGAUAUAGAGCCUAUUUGCUAGUGACUUUGUCAUGUACAGAUUCUCAAGUUUAGCCCAUAGCUCUGCCACUGUUCUCUCCUUUGCCACUUCUCUAAUAACUGAGGCACUCAAACUCAGAAUUAUCGUGCUUCUUGCUUUCUUGUCGAUCUCAGCAGCCAGUUCUAGAGAUUUUGAUGAAGAUACCUCAUUCCCUUCUUUCUUGGUUGUUGGUUCUAUGGCUUCACCUAGGCCUUGAGUAAUUAACAAUGCCUCCAUUUUCACUUUCCACAUAUUGAAGUCGUUCUUCCCAUUAAACUUUUCAAGAUCAACUUUAGGAGCAGCCAUACUUGUAUCUGAUCAAGAAACCGAGCUCUGAUACCAAUUGUAGAGAUUGUCAAGUUAUGUAAUCAACUUGAGCAACCUCUUCCCAAGAUUACUGGAUUAGAUUUACAAGAUGAAUUAAAGAUGAUCUUAAUUUACAAUGAUUUUAAACAACUCAAUAUCACAACGAACCAACAGUAAGCAAUCAAAGAAACUAAAAGAAACCCAAGAAUUAACCCAGACACAGCAAGUUACGUGGUUCAGUCAAUUCAUCAUUGACUUACAUCCCCGGAGGAACAAAUUGACCAGCUUUAUUGAUUGAACCAAGUCUCUUUUACAAACAGAUUUACAGAGCCCUAAUCAAGGAACAAUAACACUUUGUUUACACAAGCUCUCUCUCUCCUGAAUCCUAUGAAAUCCUCUCGGUUUGUUACACCAGAAUCAGCUUCAGCUUCUGUGUUUAUAACAACCCAGAAGCAGCCCAAGCCGAGCACAUGAGCAGCAGAUGUCUUUAACAGCUUUUAACAGCCUUCUUACGUCAUUAAAAACUCACGCACAUUGCUCGUGAUUAUUAUAACCCAAAACGGUAGAGUCUUAGGUCGUUUCUCAAAGAGGUAUUAAGAUAUCCUGAAACGCAGAUUGCUGUGCCUUUUUCCUUUUGACAUCAAAUGCCAAAACGCAGAGCUUCCUGUCGUCUCCUUAAAUCUCUUUUUGAUUUGUUUCAUUCUGGUCCAACAAGAUCAAUUUAUUAGAAGACGAUAUUCCUCCAUCAAAUUGAAAGAGAAAUUGAAAAUAUCAAAAAGGGAACAGUAAGACGAUACUAUAUAUAUUAUCAUGAUAUUUUUGGUUUUUGUUUUGGAAAUGGAACAUCAUGAAACCGAGUAGAGGUGCACAAAAAUGGUGAAGAUAUAUUUCAGCUUCAUCGAUUGUCUCGAAUAAAAACAUCAAUGAUGUGUUAAACAAUUAACUCAAAAAUAGAUUGCUUACCUUAAAGGUGUGCCCAAAUUAUAAAUUUCAGUUUCGACUAUUGACCUUGGUUCGUAACGCGAUAAACUAAUCCGUGGCAUUUCACAUACCCAACAAUCUUGUAAGAAUUGGUUGAACUCUCAGAUCCCAUUCCACAACAUGCAAAACUCCCUGAUAUUGCCAAUGGCGGUGAUAUGAUUCAUUUAAAGGGUUCCCCUUGUUGCCACUUACCUUUAAAGAACAAUAAACUAUUGCCAAUGUUCUCGACACGGUUCCAUCACUCUGAAAAACGAACGCAUGUGAGCAAAACAAAGGCAGUCAAUUAUGUCACUCCAGUAUUCAGAGACAGAUCGCCGACUCAUAAGUGAUUUAGUGGGCAAUCCAAGAAAGAUGUCAUAGAUGAUAUAAUCAGAAAUUUCUUCCUCCAUCAGUUUUAUACAAUUUUUAACAUCCCUUUGAGAUUCUGGUCAAUUAAGAACUUAAUCAGUUCCUGCAUGUCAAAGUUGUUUGAGUGUCAUAAAACCUGUAGCGAAUCUACAUUUUCUGGGAAUAAUUUAAUAUAAAACUUAGCAGAAAGCUAAUACAAAUAUGCAGUUUUUAUUCGAACAAAAUUUAUGUGAACCAAGAAACAGAGCAUAACAGGGUAGCUGCAACUAAUAACACACAAAUUAACUCGUAAAAGUGACCUAACAAGCGUCAGAAUCAAUGGAUUAAAGCACUAAUCAGAGAUUGUGAACAAAACGUUUGUUUUAUAAUCAUGGAAAUUUGAGAUUACAUCAGCUAUAUGAUCCAUGAAAGAUAAGAAGCUUAAAGUGAGUUUAUGUAGCAUUGAUAGGCCUGUAUGGUGUCGCCAGCGCAGUGGCGUCGUCGGCGUGAGUGCGAGUGAAUUUUGGGAGACCUCCGGCUCCGGUUCCGUUGACUUUGCAUUAAAUUUGGUAAUAAUUUUUUUUUAAAAUUUAAAGUGUUAAAAUAUUCUAUUUAGCAGAAAAUAGAAACAAAUUGCGAAUGAGAUUAGAAUCCAAAUUUCAUUGCUAUCAUUUGAUAUAGAGGCAUUUCAAGUAAACUUUGGUCGUUUUUCAUUACCCAUGAGAGUGAGAACAGAGAACUCGAGUUAUCAUAUUGAAAAAUGGUAAUGAGACAGAAUUUAAAUCCUUACAAACCAAUAAUUAAUUAAUCGGUGUUAGUUUAUCGUGUUUGCGGCUAUAUUUUAUUGGAAACCUUAAAAAAGAAAUGGAAUCUUUCAGUUCAUAAUGUAUUAUUAUAUUUAUUCCACUCUUGUUUAUGACAAUUUGCAUCUGAGCCAGCUGGAAUGCUAUAGACUGAAAAAAUUAACAAUGUUUUCUGAGGAUGACUGACCAAGUCAAAGUCUUUGAGGCGCACAAUUAAUCUAACCGGGGCGAGCAGAAAUUUCUGUAUUUAUAAAAUUUUGAUUCACUAGUUUCAAGUGAAAGAAAUAUUAAAAUAUAUAUCAUUCGCAUUUAUGAUGGAGCCUCUAACGAUUAUUAAAUCAUUUUAAGCAUUUAUGUAUGACUAUUACAUUUAAUUAAUUGUAUUGCAUAAUUUGCAUAGGCUCCUCCACUUUGAGGCAGUUACUUGGGUUCAAAUUUGCAGUUGCAGAGCACCAAAGUUUGCUUUUUCGAUCUACUUGGAUUUUUCUUUGUUGAUCAUGUAAGUUAUACAUACAGCACUGCAAAAUGCCUCUACAAUAUUGCCAGUUUUCGUAUAACAUGUCCUUAGGAGGACUCUUGUGUACAUAAAUAUGUUGUUCGGUUAAUGUCGGUCUCGUUUAAUUGUAAUUCAUUGUAGAUCCAAAAUUGUAAACUAUUGUUUCUUUAGCCUGAACUUGUGAACCAACUGAUUUGAUCAUCAGGUCUCAAGACUUGGAAGCAGAGGAAGGUCUUAAAAGAAGGCUUCUGCACGGAGAUGGUAGGCCCAGUGAUGGAACAAAAAACUUAUCAGUUGUGUCCGUAACCGGAAGAUCCGGAACGCAAGCAGUAAAGACAAGUUUUCUUCAGCUGGAAAAGAUGAGAAAUUAUGCAGCAAAUUACAGAAUCGAUUUACCAUGGUAUGUGAUUUCAAUAUUAUGGGAUCCUUUGUACUUCUACACUCUGGUGAUCAAUGAUGAAAAGCAGUGCAUUGAAAUGGACUUUUCUUUGGCUUCCUUGGUGAUUGAACUCCGCUUCUACUUUGAUUUGGCCAAGUUGAUCCACAGUUCGUUUGUGAUUUGUGUUGAAUAUUUUGAAAAUAGAAAGAUAAGCGUGUGGCUGAUGUUCGCAUGGCUCAUUGACUUUGUGUCCAGUAUAAUAUUUACCCAGGUGCGUAAUGGAUCUGAAUUUAAUUUAUUUAGUUGUCUAAUAUUUCAAUAUCAUUUAUAUGAUUACUAAUACUUCAAAUUCAUAAAACAACAUCCAGAUGGUGGUGGGAAUAACGGACAUUCUGUACUCGAGGAAUUUCUUUCUGUUUCAAUAUUUGCUGAAGAUUAUUCGAACCUACCACCUGCUUACAGCAGCAACAGGGGUUUCAGGGAUAUUUGGUGAAUCUACAUGGGCCAUUGUUGCGUUCAAUGUUCUUCUUUACAUGCACGGCAGUUACGUAAGUCAAAAGUACUAUCAUUUAUGUAAGUUAAUUUAUAAUAAAACCCUUCUCAGGCAAAAAGAAAAAUUAUAAUAGAACCACAUUCAUGCAUCCUGCUUUCUUCCUUCCUAAUUUUGAUAAAUGAAUUCUUUUAGUCCUUAAGAUUCGAGUUAAUUAUUCAGUUACUACUGUCGCAUAUAUUGUCAGACAGAAGAAAUGACAAAGACAUUUUUGUGUAAUUCUUAAAAAUAUGGAGAUUAACUGAAUAAUUAACCCAAGCCCUCGUGAAUGAAGGGAAAUUGACACUCGAAGCUUUUCUACUUUCUCAACCGCGCAUGUUUCUAAUCGAGUGGUCCUUUAGGUAUUUGGUGCCUUGUGGUACUUUUUUGCCAUAAACAAAGCGACCGCAUGCUGGAUGGAUACCUGCAUGAAGAAUACUGGUUGCUGGGGCGUCUUAAACAUUGAUGCCUAUUGUGAGGGCCGUUCAGGAGACUAUAAGUUUCUAAACGAUGUUUGCUCUGUAAAGACGGGAAACUCAACAAACAAUUUUUAUGGCUUAUAUGGUGAUGCUUUUCAGUUAGGAAUUGUGGGGUUGACUGAUGUUCCAAUGAAAAUCUUGCUUUGUUUACUAUGGGGACUGCAAAAUCUCAGGUUUGUGCCUUGCAUUGUCGUUACUGUGUGAUGUGAGGUCAGCCGUUAAUAACUUCGAAAAUUGUGAGUUCAUUGAAUUGCUUUUUGCAGUGCUUUUGGUCAGAGCCUCCAACCAAGUAACGAUUUCUGGGAAAUUAUCUUCGCAAUUUGCAUGACCAACUAUGGCAUCGUUCUGUUUGUCUUCUUAAUUGGAAAGAUGCAGGUUCACAUAUAUAAAUUCUAUAUCGUAAUUGUUAUGACAUAUGAUGAUAUAAUAAAUUAUCAUGCGUUAAUUAAUGACCGGCAUCUUACCAUCUCGCUGUUACAUAAAGAAAUAUUUUAGGGCUGUGAGAAUGCCAUGUCAAUUAGAAUUAAUACAAACUUUGCAUCCCAAUUCCUUAUAAAAUUAGCGUUACUCAUAAUUUUCUGUUUACGUCUAUAGAUUUGAAGAUUGAUGCACAAUUCAAUUAUUGACUCUGUUUCAUUUGAAAUAUCUGAUACAUAAAUAUAUAUGCAGUCUGACACAGAAAGAUCACAAAAGAUCAAACAGAUGUGGGAGGAGAUAAAGCAAUGGCAGCACUUUAAGGAUAUAUCUAAUAAAGUUCAAGAUCAAAUAAGGAAAGACAAGCGCAACAACUGGGAAGAAACCAAAGGAGUUGACAUAGAUAAUUUGGUGAAUAAUCUCCCUAAGGACACUGGAAAAAAAAUAAAACGCGAUCUCGGCCGAAAGCUGCUCAAGAAUGUGAGUUCUCAUCAUCCCUCUUUAUAAUUAUAAUAAUUGAUCACUUUUCUAUCCUGCCCGCUCUGAAGUUCAAAUGUCUCGAUGUUUCAAUCAUUUUCAUUCUUAACCUGAUCGGGCGAGCCAAAUUAAUCCUUCGUUACAUUAAAAUUACAGAUUCGUCUUAUUUUCCCUCUUUGAUUGGUACUCCUUCUGAAUCCAAGCAUCGAACCUAAGUCAUACCUCAUUGAAGUUCAUGGGCUUAACUAACACAUGGUCAAAAGCUAGCUAGCUCGUAGUUAGGUUGAGAUUUGCCUCAAGGUUAAAUACUUUAUUCAUGAUUUACUCUUAGCUGACAUGCAAUGUUUUACAUACGCAGAGAGAUAGAGAUGGUCAUUCUCAAAUGCACGCCCUCAUUUUUUUUAAUACGAAUACUCUGUUAACAGAAUUAAUUUCCAAUAAAUUGUAAACCCAUAGCAUUAAAAAUUGACUUUAUUAAACCGCAUAGUUUAGAUAUGUGUCCGCAAGAAAAAAAAAAAGAGGGCACCCGCACUUAAGAAUGAUUAAUAUAUAAUAUGGACGCCCUCAUUUUUUUAAUCAGAAUAUACUUUUAAACUGUGCAGUUUAGGAGAGUUAAAGACUAACUCUCUUAAACCUCAUGAUUUAAAAGCGUUUUUGUAUGAAAAAAAUGAGCGCGCUCGCACCAAAAAAGAACUCUCGGGUGUGUGUGUGUGUAUAACUUUUUAUAAAUGUAUUUUUAAAGUCACAUGACGAGGUGGGCUUUCAUUCUUAUAACUAAUCUUUGUUAUCUCGAUUUACCCAUGUAAUGGUUGGAUAUAUUUAUACUGUAAUUCUCAUUCUUGGAUAUGUGUAAAUAUAUAUGAAGGUAAAAGAGUUUCAAAAUUGGAGCGAAACAUCAUUAGAGGAACUAUGUGAUUGUUUGAAGCCAGUGUUCUUUAUUGAACGUACUCGAAUAAUUCGAGUAGGAGAUCCAAUUGAUGAGAUGCUCUUCGUGUUGAAUGGCAAGCUUUGGACUUACUCAUAUGACUUCAUGAAUGUAACAACAACUGCCUCUAUGUUGAUCCAUCGUCGUAGCCGGGAGAAUCUUCUAGAAGAUGGUGAUUUUUGCGGACAAGAACUUAUAGCUUGGUCUCAAAAUGAAAGCUCAUCACCCCACCUCCCUAUCUCAACCAGAACCAUUCAGGCACUUACUAACGUUGAAGCUUUUACUCUUAUGGCCGACGACUUGAAACGUGUAUCAUUACUUCGACAUUUUGAUCGGGCAGCUCUUUUGUUACAAUCACGCUGGCGUUUCAAAAGGCUGUUGCGUGCUAGAAGGAAUCCAGAGAAACGAUCACGCCUGGAAUCACUAAUGUAUAAAUUUAUAUAGAGAAACAUAUAUACGUUUGUUGCAGCAUUAUAAUUAGUCCCGAUUAUGUAAAAGCAAGUACAGAAAGCCAUUUAAAUAUGGGAAACCAACGUGCUGUUGCUCAUACUACACUAGGGGUGGCAAAACGAAUUGGCAAAUCGAAUUCGUGUAGAAUCCUAAAUGAAUCAAAUCAAAAUUCGAUGGAUUCAAAUUCGAUUUGUUUAUUAAACGAAUCGUAAUCUCAUGAUUUGGACUCAAUUCGUUUAGUAAACGAAUAUUCAUUUACAAUUUAUUUACUAUAUAAAGUUAAAUUAAAUAAUAAAUAAUGAAAGUUUUUAAUAAAGAAUCCAAUGGAUUAAUUUAAAUUUAUUUAAAAUCUAAUCACAAAAUCGAUUCAUUACAACUAGAUCCAAGCAAAACACAAAUACAAUUCAAAAACAAGAAGCUGAAGAAACUCAAAGGCAUGAGGACGGACGAAGCUAACAGUCCAAUCAGUGGUGGGUGUGGCUAUUCGAGACCUUGUCACUACCGUAACCAAGAGAAGUGAAGCUUGCCGAAAAAUUUUAAGUGAGAGCACUGAUCUAAUUUUUGGGAGUGUUUGGUUUGGCUUUCGUUUGGGGGAAUGAAGAAAAGGGUCACCAAAUUCAAGUGAAACAAUGGAGGAAGGACAAUGAAGAGUGGAGCUAGGCUCAAUUGAUGAGUGAUGAUGCCCUUGCUUUCAUUUUCUUUUUUGGUUUGUUUUCAUUUCAUAAUUUCAAAACUAACCUUAUACCUUGAAAUGUUAAAACAGAUUUUUUUUUUAAUUUUAAUGAUAUAUAAGUUUUUUAUUAAAAUCUAUUAUACUAUUUGGUUACAACCUAUUUAAUAAAUGAAUUAUAAACGAAUAAAUGAAUUGUUGGCCUCAAACUCAUAUUCGAUUCGUUUAUUUAACAAAUCAAAUUGAAUUCACCCAUUAAUCAAAUGAAUCAAUUUUUUCAACUCAGACCAAUUUAAUUCAACUCAAAUGAAUCAAUUUUUAGAGUGGCUUGCCUACAACGUUUCUUUCUACAUUUUUUCCUACACCCAUUUUGUGCCCGAUCUAGCUGAAGUACUUCUGAUGAUGUGAAGGAUCCUGCACUUGAAGGAAGUCAAUCGGCCAAUUUUGCAGAAACCCUAAUUUUGAUUCUUCUACUUGGUUUCUAACAUUAUCGAUCAUGUAAGUAACUGAUCUAGGUAUUGGUACAUAAUAUUCGUCGAUUAAUUUUGCCCUUGUCAUUCCUUGAACAUUUUGAUAAACAUUUUGGUUAGUCUUUGUUUUAGCAGUUGGUUAAUGUCUUGUUUCUGUCUCCAAAAUGGCUUUUAGAAUGGUACUUCAGGUGUUUCUAACUUUACAGUGGAUGUAUUUGGGCAAAGCUACGAAUUGAUCUUAAAGGACACACACGCACACAUACAUCUUUAUUUUUGAACAUCCAAAAAAGUUCAAAUGAGUGGAAAGCAAGUGUGAUGAUCAAGAAGAAAUUAUUAUUACUUUUGAUGUUUUGUUAGUCUUCAAAACAGAUGAUAGGAUGAUUCAAUCUUUCUAAAGAAAAUGCAAAUGAUGAAACUUAUGUAUAUUUUUCAUUUUGGAUUCUUCUUAAUUACCCAUUGUUGAUCAUGUAAGUAAAUGUUGUUGUUUCCAACAUUGAUCAUGGAAUUUUGCCAACUUGACACUUUUUAAACAGUUUUUCUUUGCCUGGAUAACUUGAAGAAGGGUUAAAUGCUCUUUAUAUCUCUGCAAUUGAUACCGCUCCUUUUCGUUUUCUUAGAUACGCUUAGAUUUACAUUGGAAAUCCUUUUACCCCACUGGAUAAGAAGUUUUAUAAUUCAGCGAAAUUUCAUUGUGAUUUAUUUUAAAACCUUGUUUUGUUAAAGUUAAUUUGCAAGGGAGUCGUAAUUUUUUUUUUUUGAGUUUUUAAAUAUUGUUAAUUAUACUCAUCUUGAAAAAAUUAAAAUUUUUAAUACGAAUGUAAAAUGUCCAACUUUUUAUUUUUUUCAAAUUAAAUUUUCGUAAAUUUGUAUAUUUAUCAAAAAUAAAUUCUAACAAAUAAAAAAGUAAUUUAAAUUAUUUUUCUACUUAAUAACAGUUAUAUUCCUAGCAAAAAAUUAUUUUCUAUUAGGGAUCAAAUAUUUUCCUUUACGGAAAAUGAGUUUUACAUGAUUAAUAAUUAGAGUGAUAUAUAAAAACUAAUUCGUGAGCACAACAAACAUUUUCCAGUAUUUAAACAAUGAUUUUUUUAAAAUAAUAAUGAAAAAUCAUUCAUUCAUUUGAAUUAAGUCUAAAUCAGAGGCAAUGAAGUCUAAAAUAUUGAGAGGCAAUGAUGUUGACGUAUUUUACAAAGAUGCCAAGAGUAUUUGUCUGUUGAGCUACUACAAUGUUGUCAUAAAAUUUACGCAUUGCUAAAAAAUUCUAAUUACUCAUAACGUGUCUUGAUCAGGUCUAGGAACCCGCAAUUAGAGCAAGGCACAGCAGCACAAGCUCUCGGAGAAGAUAGUGAACCACCACGUAAAUGGCCAUUGUUCUUCUUGGUUGGCCAAAUUUUAUACUGGUUACUCUAUGUGACAUACAAAAUUUUAUACUGGUUGCUUUAUUUGACUGCCAUAAGUUUAUUCGGGUGUUUUGCUGGGAUGUUUGAAAGCAUAGGGUUGAUUGUGGCGGUAGUGAUAUUGGAUAUUUUGAGGCCGAUGAUAAAGUUGGCUAUCAAAAAAAAGAUUUUUCUUCUACUGUCUGUUAUUGCAAUUAUAUUGGAUCCUUUGUUCUUCUACAUUCCGGUCAUAAAUGAUGAAAAGAAGUGCAUUGAAAUGGACAAGAUUUUGGGAACUACAGCCAUUUCUCUUCGUUCGGUAAUCGAUUUAUUUAAGAUAAUUCAUUUUAUCUUUGAGCUGCUCACUAAAUUACCCGUAAAAGGAAGGAUGCGUGUGUGGUUGGUCUUUCUCAUUGACAUUUUGGCCAUUCUUCCCCUCCCUCAGGUAUGACAAACUAAAUAUCCGGAUACUUAAGCUAGCACAUUUGUUAUUUUAUGAACUAUGACAGCAAAUAUAUAAUGCUGUGCAAAUGAUAUUCGGUGCUAUGUCCAUUCAGGAGGAGAGAGUCUUUCAUGAUCCUAGAGCAUUUCUAAUUAUAUAUUCACCUACUUCCUACCACGUGUAUAAAUAUUAUUACAAUUGGUUGAAGCAUACACGUGCCAAAGAAUGAAUGAAAAAGAAGCAGUUCUACUACAGCACCCAAGACUUUUCCCCAUUAUUUAUAGCCACUUUCAAGGUUUAAAUUCUUUUUUAGUUCCGAAUGGUUUGGCCAAUUACCUAUUUAGUCCCCUUUUUUGGGGAAAUUAAUUAAAAUUAUCUAUUGUUACUCUUAUAGCUAUUAGAUCUAAUCUUUUAAGAGUAAAUUAAUAUUUUUAUCUGAUGUAAUUAAAAUUUAAACAAAUAUGACAUGUCACAGGUGAAAAGUAAAGAAUAAUUGAGUAGAAUUUAAUUGAUACAUACAUACAAUAAGUACAUUUUGGAUAAUUUUCUAAAAUACCAGGAUAAACUUUAGAGGCUAUAGUAGAAUUUACCUCAGUUUCAAGCUAUACAUUGUACAAAGGGUUCAUAGUCCGGAUUUUGAAAACGUGCAGUCAUAUACAGAGGGGAAUUCUCAUACUAUGCAUUGUAUGAGGUAUUUAAUUAUCUACAUAUAGUACUGACUACCACUCAAUUGUCCAGGUGCUUUUGAACUUACAAAAAGUAAGAGGCACGGAAUUUCUAUACGCAAUGAGCUUCUCCCUUGUAUGUUAGAAAAUUGGUGGGUGAAGCAGACACGCAGCUAAAGUAAAAUUGAUAGAAAAAUAAAGAACAAGCACAAAAGAAAAUACCAGAAAUUACGUGGUUCGGCUUUUAGCCUACGUCCACGGGCGAAGACAGAAAGAAAUAUUAUACUAGUGAAAAGGAGUUACAAGUAUUGUAGUAUUUUAGUUCACUACCCAAAACCCCAAUACACCCAAACUCUCAAAUCACUAAGCACACAAAAUUCUUUGCUCUUGCAAGAAUCACUUCUCACAACUCUCAAUUCUCUCUACAAAAUUGGAUGCAAAUGAAUUAGGGAGUUCUCCCUUUUAUAGCCAAAAAUGGUAAUUAAAAUAAUAUAUACAUAUUUCAAAUGUUGUUGCCAACUUCUUCUUUUUCUCCAUUUGGACGGCACCAUUUUCUUUGGCCGGCUGCACCAUUUUCUUUGGCCGGCUUGUCAAAGCCAACUUGAAUUUGCCUUGUGGCCACCGACUUUGACAUUUCUCCCACUUGGAGAUUUGAUUGAGAAGCAAUCAAUCUCCACAUCAUCCUUUCUGCUUCGCCAUAAUCAUGUUGCCUACGUUUCUGCUAGGCCACAAGAGGAUCUACUCCAGACAAACUUAUCAAUAUUUAUCGGCUUGGUCAAAACAUCUGCUAGGUUCUCUUUGGUAUGGAUUUUCUGCAAAUCCACACUUCCAUCUUCCACUACUUCACGAACGAAGUGAUACUGAACUCCUAUGUGCUUUGUCCUGGAAUGAAAGGCUGGAUUCCUUGCAAUGUGCAAGGCACUCUGACUGUCACAAAACACAAGAAUUUUCUGUUGUUUGUGCCCGAGCUCCUCCAAUAACCUUUGUAUCCAAAUAGCUUCCUUGCAAGCUUGUGUAGCUGCCAUGUAUUCUGCUUCUGUUGUAGAUAAAGCCACAACGGUCUGCAGUUUCGAAACCCAGCUUACAGCUGCUCCCGCAAGUGUAAACACAUAACCAGUAGUGGAUUUUCUUUUAUCAAGGUCUCCUGCAAAAUCUGAAUCCACAUAGCCCCUGACAGUAAACUCUGAUCCUCCAUAACAUAAUGCAACAUCAGAGGUUCCUCUGAUGUAUCUCAGAAUCCUCUUCACAGCUAUCCAAUGCUCUCCACCAGGAUUCGCCAUGUAUCGACUGACUGCUCCCACUGCUUGUGCAAUGUCCGGUCUAGUACAUAUCAUAGCGAACAUCAAACUUCCCACUGCUGAUGCAUACGGUACUCGAGACAUCUCCUUCCUCUCUGCUUCAUUACUAGGACACAUACUUGAGGAUAAUUUGAAAUUAACAGGAAGUGGGGUAGAAAUUGACUUACAAUCUUGCAUGUUGAAGCGUCGCAAGAUUUUCUUCAAGUAAUUCUUCUGCGAAAGCCAAAUCUUCCUGUUAUUUCUGUCUCGGUGAAUUUGCAUCCCUAGAAUCUUGUUUGCUGGUCCCAAGUCCUUCAUUUCAAACUCCCUGGCCAACUGUGCCUUCAAUUUUUGGAUUCGAUCUUUGUUGGGACCUGUUACCAACAUGUCGUCCACAUACAACAACAAAAUAAUGAAAUCAUUAUCUUCAAACCUCUUGUAAUAUGCACAAUGGUCUGAACUCAGUCUGUUGUAUCCAAGGCUCAUGAUGAAGGAAUCAAAUCUCUUAUACCAACACCUCGGCGCCUGUUUGAGACCGUAUAGAGAUUUGUUCAACCUGCAAACCAAGUUCUCCUUUCCUGUUUCUGCAAAACCUUCUGGUUGGAGCAUAUAUAUUUCUUCUUCAAGUUCUCCAUGAAGAAAUGCAGUUUUCACAUCUAACUGCUCAAGAUGUAGGUCAAAUGUAGCACACAUCGCCAAGACUAUUCUGACUGUUGUGAGUCGAACCACUGGAGAAAAUAUCUCGUUGAAGUCAAUACCUUCUUUCUGAGCAUAUCCUUUCACCACCAGUCUUGCACGAUACCGCUCCACUUGGUCAUUGCCAUCACGUUUGAUCUUGUAGACCCAUUUGUUUCCAAUGGCUUUUCUUCCACGUGGUAGUGGUACAAGUUCCCAUGUCUUGUUCUUGUGUAGAGUUUCAAUUUCUUCCUGCAUUGCUGUCAUCCACAAAGCAACAUCUGAGCUGUUUAAAGCUUCAUGGAAAGUUGAAGGCUCUCCAUCUUCUGUUAGAAGACAGUAUGCAACGUUGAUCUCUGUGACAUACUCCGAGUGCCACGCCGGCGGUCGUCUCUCACGAGUUGACCGACGAACUUCUGGAGCCUCAGACUCGACUGGUUCUUGUUCUUCGUGCUCUGGUGCUGCUUCCGAAGAAUCUGAAUCUUCUGGAUUAUUUUCUACAUAUACCGGCACAAUCUCUGACUUUUCUUUUACAUUGCCAUCAUCUCCAUCUUUCAUUUGCAGUUGAUCUUUUACAAAAAUAACAUCUCUGCUGAUGACGAUCUUGUGGGCAGUGGGGUCCCACAGACGAUACCCCUUUACUCCAUCAGCAUACCCUAAGAAGAUACAUCUUCUAGAUUUUGGAUCCAGCUUUGUUCUUUCUUGGGCAUUGUACAUCACGUACACAGGACAUCCAAAUGCAUGUAGGUAGGAAUAAUCAGCUGGCUUUCCAGUCCACAUCUCCAUCGCCGUCUUCAACCCAAUUGCUGUAGAUGGCGACCGAUUUACUAUAUAACAGGCAGUUUUGGCUGCUUCUGCCCAAAAUGAAUUGGGUAGACCAGCAGUCUUCAACAUAGCUCUUAUUCUUUCUGUAAGAGUUCUGUUCAUCCGCUCCGCCACUCCAUUUUGUUGAGGAGUGUAUGCCACCGUGAACUGCCUCUGAAUACCUUCUUGCUUACAGAAAGUAAGAAACUCGCCGUCUGUAUACUCUCCACCAUUAUCCGUCCUUAAGCACUUGAUCUUUUUACUAGAUUCAAGUUCCAACCGCGCUUUGUAUUCUUUAAACACAGGAAAUACAUCUGACUUUUUCUUAAUUGGAUACACCCAACAUCUUCUGGAAUAAUCAUCAAUGAAAGUCACCAUGUACUUUGCACCUCCCAUAGAUAUAUCCGGUGAUUCCCAAACAUCAGAAUGAAUCAAGUCUAGAAUGCAUUUACUUCUAGCAAUAGAUCUACUGAAUUUUAAUCUAUGCUGCUUACUUGUAACACAAUGCUCGCAAAAUGGUAAACUUACCGAUUUGAGCCCCGGAAGCAAUUUUCGCUCAGAGAGAAUCUUCAAGCCUUGUUCUGACAUGUGGCCAAGUUUGAAAUGCCACAUCAUCGUUGAUUCUUCUCCAUUUGAUGCGACACACGCAUCAGCCUCCUGUAGUGUUUCUCCUUUAAGCAUGAAUAAAUUAGCACCGAUCUUUUCUGCCUUCAUCAAUACAAGCGCACCUUUAACGAUCUUCAUUAUUCCAUUUUCCACAUGAGUUUUGAACCCAUGACUAUCCAUUUGUCCCAAAGACAAUAGAUUUUUCUUCAGGCCAUUGACAUGUCGUACCUCCCCAAUUGUGCGAAUUGUACCAUCAAACAUUUUUAUUUUGAUAGUACCAAUACCAGCGAUCUCCAAGGCAUGAUCAUCUCCCAUAUAUACAGAUCCUCCUGAGAUAGGUUCAUAUGUGUGGAACCAUUCUCUCUUAGAGGUCAUGUGCCAGGUAGCUCCUGAGUCUAUAAGCCAGACAUCAGAUAGUCGUUUUCUGCCUUCUGAAACAGUUGUUGCCUCGCUGUAGAGAAUUUCACCAUCAUCUGAGGUACUUGCUACACAACCCUGAGCAUUUGAUGACUCAGGUUCUUUGCCCUCUUUUCUCUUCUGGUUACUCCAACACUCUUUCUUGACGUGCCCUUUCUUACCACAGUUGUAGCAUUUAACAUUCUUCUUACUUCUGGAUUUUGAUCUACCAUGACUUUGACUCCCAUUGGGGCCACGUUCUGUUGAUCUCCCUCUCGUCACCGAUAGCGCCUCCGCUUGCUGCGAACUUGCUUGUCUGUUUUCUUUAUUUUUCCGCCUGCUCUCCUCAUUUAAUACGGAAGCUGCAACAUCGUCGAAAACUAGACUCUCCACUGGAUUGUUGUUCGUCAGGUUGAUGAUGAGUUGAUCAUACGAAUCUGGUAGACUUUGAAGUAGAAGCUCUGCACGUUCAUUUUCCUCUAUAUUAUGACCCAACGUUGUGAGUUGUGAAAAUAGAGUCUUCAAUGUGUUGAUGUGGUCGGUCACCAUUGUAGAUUCCGCCAUUCGAAGAGUAUAGAGUUUUCUCUUCAAGAAGAUUUUGUUGUGUAGUGACUUGGCCUCAUACAAUUUUGUGAGAGUAUCCCAUAUUUCCUUCGCCGUAUUUUUCUCUGCCACACUAGAUAAUACUCCGUCUGCAAGUGCCAAGUGUAGAUCAGAAAUGGCAUUGCCGUCUACCUCGUUCCACUUGUCAUCAGUUAUCUCCAUGGGCCUUUCUCCAAUUGCUGCCAAGCAAUUAUUUUUCCUCAAUACAGCUUUCAUCUUCAUUUUCCACAACGAAAAAUUAUUUCCGUUAAAUUUCUCAAUUUCAUACUUUGCCGCCAUUUUGUUGAUAAAUACUGCACACAAGCUAGUAUACCACCUUGAAUAGUUGUGAGUAUGUGUGAGAAUGCACACCAGGAAAGUUCCCAGGAAAGACUGGAGGGGUCACAAUGGUCCCACUUAAAACCCAGACUCCUUAAGCUCUUAUCACCUUUGUGACAGAACUUUCCUAGACAUGUACAGAACCACACAGUUGCUUUACUCACACCACUAUUCCCUGCUUUGCACCGCAAAAUUCUUGGAUUGCUUCCACCGUUUCACAUGAAUAGUACCGUAUACGUGAAUAGUACCGUAUACCGUAUACGUGAAUAAUACCGUAUACCGUAUACAUGAAUAGUACCGUAUACCGUAUACGUGAAUAGUGCCGUAUGCCGUAUACGUGAAUAGUGCCGUACGCCGUAUACGUGAAUAGUGUCGUAUGCCGUAUACGUGAAUACAUGAACAAUUCCUGACUCCAAAAAUACAACCAAUAGCUCUGAUACCACUGUUAGGUAAUUGGUGGGUGAAGCAGACACGCAGCUAAAGUAAAAUUGAUAGAAAAAUAAAGAACAAGCACAAAAGAAAAUACCAGAAAUUACGUGGUUCGGCUUUUAGCUUACGUCCACGGGCGAAGACAGAAAGAAAUAUUAUACUAGUGAAAAGGAGUUACAAGUAUUGUAGUAUUUUAGUUCACUACCCAAAACCCCAAUACACCCAAACUCUCAAAUCACUAAGCACACAAAAUUCUUUGCUCUUGCAAGAAUCACUUCUCACAACUCUCAAUUCUCUCUACAAAAUUGGAUGCAAAUGAAUUAGGGAGUUCUCCCUUUUAUAGCCAAAAAAUGGUAAUUAAAAUAAUAUAUACAUAUUUCAAAUGUUGUUGCCAACUUCUUCUUUUUCUCCAUUUGGACGGCACCAUUUUCUUUGGCCGGCUGCACCAUUUUCUUUGGCCGGCUUGUCAAAGCCAACUUGAAUUUGCCUUGUGGCCACCGACUUUGACAUUGUACAAUAUUUGUUGAGGGUUAUUCGAACCUACUACUUGUUUACAGAAGCAACAGGUGUUACAGGAAUACUUGCCGAAGCUACAUGGGCCAUUGUUGGGUUCAACAUUCUUCUUUAUAUGCAAGGCGGUCACGUAAGUUAUAAAAGACCAUUCAUUCAAUUUAAUUCCUAAGAUAUGCACGAGCCGAAUGAACAUAUCUUUAUGCAUACUUUAUAUUGUUGGCACUGGGACAUACAGUUAUUUCUGAAUCAUGCACCCUUUUCAGGUAUUUGGAGCCUUAUGGUACUUCUAUGCCAUCGGAAAAUUGACAGGAUGCUGGAAGAAAGCGUGCCAAAAUAAUAUUGGAUGUCAUCAUAGUUCGUUUUAUUGUGAAGACAUGAUCAGUACAAGAGAUUACACGUUUCUAAAUGAUUUUUGCAGUAUAAAGUCAGGAAAUACAUCAGAUUACAAUUUUGGAUUAUAUAAUGAUGCUCUUGAGUCUGGUAUUGUGGAGGUGACGAAUUUUCCAAAGAAAUUGUUACAUUGUUUACAAUGGGGCUUGCAAAAUCUCAGGUUUGAGCAUAAUCCAAACUUUCUCUUUGUGAUGUUAUGGUUGAAAAGAAUGAAACAAUAUUGGUUCAAAAAAAAUAAAAUACUUUGGUCACUCUUAGACACUAUUUUACCACUUAGGUCCCUGGUAAAAUUUUAAUAUCUUAUUUCAUACUAGAAUUGGAAUAAAAGUAUAGAAAAAAACACAUUGUUGAAAGUUAAACGUCACAUUUUAACAAAUAGAUUAAAUAACUUUAAUUUGCAUUGAUCUAAAAUAAUCAUGUUUAUUCUGGUAUUGUUUUCAAGGAGCAAAGUAUUACAUAUUCCCCUUUCGAGAAAACUGCCGAUUCUUUUGCAUAGGAGAGUGACUUUAAUCUUUUGUGUAUAUCAUUUCAAAUAAAGCGUAUAGAUUGAACCCUUUGCAGUGCUUUUGGUCAGAACCUCCAAACAAGCACCGAUAUCUGGGAAAACGUUUUUGCAAUUUGCAUGACCAACUUUGGUGUGGUACUGUUUGUCUUUUUAAUUGGGAAGAUGCAGGUUCGUAUACAUUUUCUAUUUCUUAUAUCUGAAUUUACCUCAAUUCCAAGUGUUAUAAUUAAUAUUGAAGUACAUUUGAAAUUAAUGGAUUGUAACUGCAGUCGGACACAGCAAGAUCACAUAAGAUAAAAAAGAAGUGGAAGGAGAUAAAGCAGUGGCCGAAUUUUGGGGAAAUUUCUUCUGAUCUAAAAGAGCAGGUGAGGACAUACAAGCGAGAGAAAUGGGAAGAAACCAAGCGUGUUGAUGUUGAUAAUUUGGUGAAUGAUCUUCCCCACGAACUUGGCAUCAAAAUAAAGCGCAAACUUUGCAUUAAACUAAUCAAGAAUGUGAGUUCCUAUUACUUCUUUAUCCAGUAAUAAGUCACUUGUGGUUUCUUUAUCUAUUGAAAAAAAAAAAGGAAAAGAAAAAAUGCUAGGCAACAGUUACGAGUUCAUUGCCACAAAAUUGCCACUCCUUGUUUAUUACAAGAAAUUGAAACAACAUUUGUUAUAUUCCGUUACCCUUACUAAUCGUUUGGAUGCAUCUAAUGUAAUUCUCAUUUUUUUGGUCCGUACCUAUCUAUGUACACAGGUAAAAGAGUUCGAAAAUUGGAAUAAAAAAUCAUUGGAGUUUCUGUGUGAAUUUCUGAAGCCAGUCUUCUUUAUUGAGCGUACACGCAUUAUUCGGGAGGGAGACCCAAUUGAAGAGAUGCUAUUUGUGCUGAAAGGCAAUCUCUGGACUUACACUUCCGGGAAUGUAGCAACAACUAGCAGCAAUAGUAGUCGUUAUGGAAAGAAUCGUUUGAAAGGUGGUGACUUUUUUGGAGAAGAACUUAUUGGUUGGGCUGAGAGUGAGCACUCUUCCAAUUUGCCUAGCUCAACCAGAACUAUUCAAGCGCUUAGUGAGGUUGAAGCCUUUGUUCUUAUGGCAGAUGACUUGAAACAUGUAUUCUUACUUAGACAUUGUGACCGGGCAGCUCUUUUGUUACAAUCACGCUGGCGUUUCAGAAAGCUUUUGCGUGAUAGGAGGGCUAAGCAAAAAUCAAUCUUGAGAAGAAUGCGGAAUUGCGCAGCAGUACUACAGACUAUAGAAUAACAAUUUGAGACUGGAUUUGAAAUUAUUAUUUGUAUGAAUACUACCAAAAUGAAAAUAGGUGGUAAAAGCUGAAAAAUUAAGGGGAAAAUUGUCGAUCUCCCUUGUUCGAUUAUGCAGUCAACAAGAUCAGAAACAGUAAUCGCCAAGUUCGAUUUGGAAAUCUUAUCCAACCAAUGGUACCUUUUUCUUUUUUCUUUUUUUCCCUGAAUCAAGGACUUCACGCUUCGUUGAUGGGGAUACCAUUCCUAAAAUUAAAAGAUAUUGACCAUUACUAUCUCAAACAACAAUUAAUUAUACAUUGCCAGCACGCAAAAAUGAGCGACAAACUUCUUCAUUAACUAAUCUAUUUGAACAACUGCAUUUCUAAGCAUAUAUAUGAUCAUUUCAGAUGAAAAUAGUUUAAAGUGGUUAUAGAAGAACCGGUAGAUCACAGUUGAGAGAGUGAAGCAGAUCAUCAGGGGGCAAUCUUAAGUGUGUCACGCGGGUAGAGUGAUGUUUUGCGAAUGUUGUUGAGAUCGCAGAAAAGCAUCACCACACUCUUCAAUCCCACUUCACAUCCACUAUGUCUCGAAAGGAAUCCAAUGAUAACAUAAAGCUAACAGUUUUUAGAGGACCACACUGUUUUUCUAUUUGCGUACAAAUGGACAGUGGUUUCAGAAUAACCUUAGCAUUGUCAAGUUUAACCAGAGAGCAUGGAAACCAAAGCCAGAUCAAAAUUCAAAACCACUAUGGAGGAUGUGCAUGGAUUAAUGUAAAAUACUAUAUUCAAUUUGAACGAUAAACACAGUACAAAUAAAAAUUAUUAGAUUCCAUCUUCUAUUCUAUAAUUUUUAAUUCUUGCACUUCUUUUUCUGGGAAUCAGAUUUUUCUGAUACAGAACGUGAACCAACAAAAGCCAAAUUUUAUGAUAUUUGAUAAAAGCAACUUCCAAAAUAUACCAUAACCAUACCCAAUUAUUUUUUGUAUAAUAAUAUUUAAGCUUUUAUAGACACAGAUCGAGCUGUUAUGCUCUCAGCAUAAUAGGCUUGCGGCACUUGAUCAAACGAGAAAAAUCAGGGUAACAAUACCUGAAAUAUUCAAAGAUAUUUUCUUUACAUCAAUGCCACCUGCCUGUGCACGCUCCACCAAGAACCCUGGCAUAUCAAUACGUUGAGCACCCGAAAUUAUCUCUUCACCUAAAGAGGAGGAACAGAUGCUCAAAAAUCCGGUCAAAUGAACAAUCACAUGAUAUUUUCAUCCAACAAGUAUGAAGGGUUGCAAUGAAAAGAAAAAUGAAAACCCGACAGAAAAUUCUUCAAGACAAGGAUUUUGAAUGUGGUUAUCAUUAUAAUUAAGCAGUCAACCUAAUACAACCUUCAACCAGAGGUGAAUUCAUUUACGCCAGUCACAUGACCACUCCUAUCAACACCACUGCAAAAAAAGCACAUCCCCUUCAUUAAUAAAUGAAGUUUUGUUCCUGCUUUACUUCACCAUUCAUUUUCAUUCUCAUAAAAGAGCAAUUUAUUGGAAUGCAACAUACCUCGAUUAAACUGAAAGAGGAUUAAGAUAAUUUAAAAAAUGAAAACUGCGAGACAAUGCGAGUAGUAUCAUGAUAAACUUAACUCCAGACGGACAUCCAUUUUUUAAUCGUAAUUAAUGAAACAAAUGUAGAUCGAGAUUUCCCCAAAACACCACCACAAAUACAAGUAUAUGUGCAUCCAAAAUGAAGAAGAAAUGUUUCAGCUUCAUACAUUACCUCGAAUAAAGACAUCAAAUUAGUGUCUGUAAAGAGCAUUGUCAGGAGGGGGCGCCAAACAGCCCAAGGAUAACGAUGGAGUAUAUAAAAUUCGGCGCCAUACCUACAAUAGGAAGCAACAAUCAGGCACGUAUUGAUGAUAUACAUAGAAAUUUAGGCUUAAAAAUGAGAAAACACUUGUCAUGAGCUAAGAGCAAUGAGGCUCUUAAUUGUUUCAAAAUUUGAAACUAAUAAUAGAUGUAUGUUAUACAAACAAAUUCAUACUUCAAUACUUGUAACAAAAAUCAAGUCAGUAAAUAUGGAACCUACUUAUCUCCGUUCCAUAGGUUUGGUUGUCUUUUUUUUUUUUAAUUAAUGUUCAGAAUCGAUUAAAAAGUUUUUUAAUUCGAGUUCUUGCUAAUUUCAUUUUUUGAUUCCAUUGUGAAAUUCAAUUUUCUUAUUUAAUUUUAUUCCGAUCCUAUCUACCCAUUCGAAUUUUGGUUGCUUAAUUGUUCAGGAUGUUGGAGUUGAGAAUGAUCCUCUUGAAGACUUGAAUACUGAGGCAGAGAGGAAGUUGAUCCAACUAUUUUCCUACGAUUCUUGGGAACAGUAGAUACUACUUUUAAAGUAUUCAACCUACUAAAUGAUUCCUCCACACUACUGUUACCCUUAAAAAUCAUCUAAUUAUUUAUUCAUACACUAAUCUAAAUAAUGGCGUGAUAAAUCAGAAACCUUUCUUCAUGAAACAUGAACUGAGGGGAUGAAAGAAAUUAAGUUACCUUGAGCAUUUGAAUCCCUUUUCCGAAUGUAAGACAAAGAGUCUUUGCCUUGUACUGCAACAUUUAGAAAAUGCCACAAUCAGGUUCAAGAAUAGAGAAAAGUUGAGGUGAUAUAUAAUUUUCCAUAUUCCAAAUAUAUCUAAACUAUACAAGCACUUCAAAAAUUAUUAUGAUAACAGAAUUUUAAGAACAAUUCAAAAUAAAUAAUGACCUUCAGAGGUUCAAACGUACACUGAUUCGCCACAUAUUCAACUUCCUUGUUGCACCUCUCAUUCAAAUCAUCAAAAAUUGUGACAAAUAAGCGGUCCACAAUAUCCAUCACCUGUAUUCAGGUGUCAUUGAAAAAUCAACCAAUAAACCCCUCCAGCUAUACCUCCGAAUAAUGCUUCUUAAUCUCCAUUUCAACAUCAAGACCGGUAAAUUAACUCACACAAAUGCCUAUGAGUGUACGAGUCCUCUGGUCUAAAAACAGAACCGGUCUCAAAAACCCGCCCAAAAUCACCGCAUAUCGAUAUUUGCUUGUGACCUUCACUUGAACCAGCUAUCAGUUUUGGCAUGUGGAUCUCAACAAAAUCCUCAGAAAACAAGAAUUGUCUGAAUAUCUGUACAUUGAUGCAAUCAUUAAGGACCAACUCAAGGCCUUACUCAUAUUCCAAUCCAAGCUGGUUAAUGGGUUAAGGUUACUUAAACAUUUUAUAUUUUUGUCUAUUCUAAGAUAAUGUUGAAUAUUAUAUAUAUAAGAAAUUUUUUGUCUAUUCUUAUACAAAUUCUUGGCGGGAAUUUAACAAACUUCAAGCCUAAUAACACUUUGCAUAACAACAUGACAGCUUGGCAGUUGACUAAGCACUCUGCUUACAUGGCAAUAUGACUCAGCAGUUUACAUAGCAAUUUGGCUCAACAUAUAUACUCUUAACAGAACCAAAUAAAUAUUAACACGCGUCUCGGCGCAUACCUUGCAUAUCAUCACAUUUAUAUAUGUACGAUGAUAUCACCGCCACCUAAAUUUCUCAUUUAUUAUAUUUGAUUAUUUUCUUUUUUAUUUCAUUGAUUUUCUCGUAUAAAAGUAGAUUUACUACGAUUUACCAUUUUGUUGUUGUGCAAUGGUCACCCUUUUUGUUUGAGCUGCCUAUUGAUGUGUUGCUUUUAGAAAAACUCUCAGAAUAGCUUUACAUUAUACUUUUCUAAUUUGCAAUGAAUGCAUCCAGGAGUAUAGGAAAGAAAGAAAUAAAGGGGGAAAAAAAAAAGGAAAGAAAGAAAUACUCCCCGUGUAUCACCUAAACUAGUUUUAAAACUUCUUGAAUUGGACAAGAAUAAGUUGGCUGACAAACUUUCCUAACUUCUCACAACUUUUAUUAUUGUUACCUUAUAUUUUCAUAAUCGUUAGAUUUUUAUACUUGAAUUGGUACCAAUCUCUCUUUUAUCAAAUUUAAACAGAGAUAAUUGAUUGAAUGAUUCAGUCUCCGUCGUCCAAAAGAAUUUUUCUUAUCUACAACGUUCUUAUUUGCUCAAACAGAUGGAAUCCAGAAAACUCAUCCAUUUGAUUCUCUUCAAUUGAAAACUCAUCACUUCCUGCAUGUAAGAGCAAUUUGAGUGCCAUAAAGCCUGUAGUGAAUCUACGUAUUUAGGGAAUAAUUUAAAUAGAAAAGUUAACAUGAAGCUCAUACCCUAAUAAAAAGCUACUCUUAAAAUAACAUGAAUCAAGAAACAGAGCAAAACAGAGUAGCUACUAAGAAGAACACCCAAAUUAACUCCUAAAAUUGACCAAACAUAACAAGCAUCAAAUCAAAGCAUUAAAGCACUAAUCAGAGACUUUACACUAAAUUGUUUGUUUUUAAAUAAUGGGAUUUCAAGAUUAUACUUAAAAAGACCUCUUUUUUUUUCUUUUUUUUUUUGGGAAGAGAAAAAUCAUCUGCAUGGUUGAAGGAUCAGAAGCUCAUGGAUGGAACCAAUUUGCUUCAUUAAACCCAAAACGGUGUUUCCCGAAGUCGUUUCACCAUGCAAUACCAUCCAGUACGCAUCAAACGGCCGCAACUCAUGUCGUUUAGCUUAAGUGUCUUAAGCCCAAAAGGCGACACUCGAUGUCGUUUUGCUUAUUUCUGAUUUGCUUCACCCGUCACACAACAUGCAGUGUAGAUGCUGUUUUAACUUUUGAAUUUUAUAUGAUUUUAUUUUGUCUUCUUAAAAGAUAUCUUUUAGAACUGAAGGGCACUUUCGAUGUUUCUUAUUUAUUUUACAGUGACCUCUUCUGGCUCUUUCUGCUGAGGGAGGGUACAAACAAUGAAUCAUCAUCAGAUUAAUCAAAAUAUAACCCCACUCAUAAAAUAAAAAUUAUAAAACGUCUCUUCAGAUGAUUUGAGUCACACACAUCAACAAUCAGAAAUCGUUAACUAAGUAUACAAUUUCUUUUUGGACUCGUUUUUUCCCCAUUGUUGAUCAUGUAAGUUACUGCUAUAUAUGUUGUUUUGAUGAGUAAUUAAUGAUCAUGGAAUUUACUUAAUUUGCCAACUUAAAUCAAUCAUUAGUCUUAAACUUUUCCGUAACAAAACCCUGAAUUUAUAUUUUGAUCAGGAAUCAGGAUUCGCAAUUAGAGGAAGGUGCAGCAGGGCAAGUUCCUGGAGAACGAAUUAGCAGUGUUUAUGGAACUUUCUCCCUAAUAUUGGCUACAUUUUACUAUUUUUAGCAAUCGUCCUUAUAAGUGCAUUGAAAUAGACAAAAUUUUGGGAAACAAUGCAGCUUUUUUUCGUUCUGUGUUUGAUUUGCUCAAGAUACUUAAUUCAUUUUACCUUUGAGUUGCGUAAUUAUCAAUUUCGUUUUGAAGGAAGGAAAAGUUUGUGGCGCUGGCUGCUCUUCUACAUUGACAUUUUGGCCGCUGAUCUUCCCCUCCCUCAGGUAAGUCACAUCACGUAUUAUUAAUUUUAUCUUAAACCUUUAAAGUUUAUCGAACUGAAUGUGGUUAUUUAAUUACUUAGAUUUUCUCACAUUUGAUUAUUCCAGGUGCUGGUGAUCUCUCAAAGAAUGAGAGGCACAGAGUUUUUGUAUGCAAUGAUAUUCUCACUUCUGUAAUAUUUGCUAAGGGUUAUUCGAGCAUACAGCGUGUUUUCGGAGGCAAAAUUGGGCUCAGAAAUACUCGCUGAAGCUACAUGGGCCAUUAUUGGCUUCAAUAUUCUUCUGUACAAGAAAGGAGGUCAUGUGAGUUGAUAAAGCACCAUUCAUGUAAGUCCAUUUAUAUUGACUUAUAUGCACAAGCCUUUAAUACAAACAGCAUUAUUGUAAUACAAAUUUGUUUAGAAAUCCAUGGCCUAUAAUACACCAUUUAUGUCCUAGACUUACUUGUCAACCUUGCAAAAUUCUUGUGCUUGGCAACUGGUUUUGUUGAUGUCGUAAUCCGGAUGAGUUGGUUAGUGACUCGAUCUUAGAUCCCUACAUCAGCAUUAAAUUUGUUUGGUGGGAAGCUGCUGGUUGAUCUCCAAGAAGAUCUUCCGACUAUGAGCAGAACAUUCAUGAGUUGUUGAUCAGUGAGCACCGAGAGCAAAUAAUUGAUGAGCAAACGACCAAUGAGCAGAUGAUCCAUGAGUAGAUAAUCCGCGAGCCUGCGAGCACAAAGAACAGUCAGGGGGGGGGGCGGAAGAUUUCUAGCGUAAACCCUCCGACACUCAAGUCAGCGAUUUGGGUCUACUUGGAAAAACUCAUACCACAAUUCACAUGGUUUAAUUAUGAUUGUUUUAAACAAAAAGCUUUUAAGUAAAUUUAAAAGAAAAUAAUUGAAAAUAAUUAAUCUUAAAGAAAUCAUAAGCAAAAGAGAAAUUUCCUAGUGGUAGAGAGAGAAAAAGAUUCAAUGGAUUCAGUCACCCAAAGGGAUAGAGGAAAAGAAUCCCCCAUUUCCCCCAUUUUCCCAGGAUUUUUAUAGGAAAUUAUAGCAGUUUUUUCUACAGAGGAUGUAAGUGAGGAAUUUAUGAAACUUUUUGAUAAAAAGAAUUAUCUAGGAUAAGCAAUUGAGUAGAAUUCUUUUACAGUGCAUUUUUGCAAUUCACAUAACCAACGUAGGGGUGGUGCUGUUUGUGUUUUUAAUCGGCAAGAUGCAGUUUGACACAGCAAGAUCACAGAAGAUAAGACAGAAGUGGAAGGAGAUGAAGCAAUGGCCAAAUUUUGAGUAUAUUUCUUCUGAUGUGCGGGGGGCAGUUAAGGAAAUACAAGCUAUACAAAUGGCAAGAAACCAAACGUGUUCGUGUUGAUAAUUUGGUGAAUGAUCUUCCUGACGAACUUGGCAACAAAAUAAAAUGUCUGCAUUAAACUGCUCAAGAAUGUGACGUUGAACUAUUCAAUCACUCAGUGACGUUGAAGCCUUUACUCUUAUGGCUGAUGACUUUAAACAUGUAUUAUCUACCAUUCACACAUUUCGAUCCGACCGCUCUUUUGUUACAAUCAUACCGGCGUUUUGGGAAGCUUUUACUUGAUAGAAGGAAGGCUAAACAAAGAUAAUAAACAAAGUGUGAUACAACUCUGCAACUCAGAGUUUAUAUCACAUAGCUACACUUUUUGGAGUAAGUGCUGACUCCCGCAAAAAGAAUUGAAAUUAAUGGAGAAACAGAGAUUGCAGGAGAAGAUGGAGAGAGAAGAAGAAAUAUUUUCCAUUUCCUUGCUUUCUAUGACGUGUUCCCCUCUACAUAUAUCUUUUACCCCUCAACAUUACACGUGUAACUAACCAACAAAUGAAUGAUUCAAAGAAAAAACAGUCACAACAAAAUAACAAAAUCACAGCUGCCAUCUUUUCCACUCUCUUUGUGCCUUCUCGAAUAUUCCUUAGGUAAUGUAAUCUUUGAGGUAUGUUGGUGCCCUGCGCAUACGAACUGGACCUUUUGUGUGCUCCUCAACCAGCUGGGCUUCUUUCUCUGUUUCCCAUGCUGACUUGUCAUUAAUCUCGGGCAAGGUUGUAUCAUUCCCCAUCCCUUGAAAAUUUACCUUGUCCUCAAGGUGAAGCUCGGGAUAUAGCUUGUAAAACUCAUCAUAAGCCUCUCCCAGGACAUACUCAUCAUUAGUACCCAUCAACAACAAGAAUUUGCUGCGGCAGCGAUGGUUUGCACUAUAUUUCUGAUCACAAUUAUAACAUAACCCUUUUUCUCUUUUAUCCCGUAACUCAGCUGGAGUAAGUCGACGGAUUGGUAAAUUUAGGGUUGGUAAUAAUGGAGGUUGAGAUGGUGGUUUUGGUGUAGUAAUAACAGGGGCAGCAAGAGUAUUGGUAUUUUGAAAAGUGGAAGAGUUUGAUAAAACAGGGGAAAAAUUUUGUGGAGCUUGCGGUGUAGUAGGAGACCACUUUGACCAAGAACGACUGGUUGUUUUAGCUUAAUCAGAUCUAGCCUCAUAAGCUCUAGCAAGAGCAAAGGCUUCCAUGAGCGAAGUAGGUCGAGUAAACAACAACUCAUGACGGGUAUCAGGUUUUAAACCCGUGAUAAAGAAACUAAUUAACAAAGGCUCAGAUAUACCAGUAAUUUUGUUCAUUAAGUCUUCAAAAGCAGACUGAAAUUCGGCAACUGUGGUGGUCUGUGUUAACUUUGAAAGAUUCCCUUGAUGGUCUUCAUACAUGGAAGCUCCAAAGCGGCUCUUAAGACUGACCAAAAAACUUCACCAUGUGGUUAAGAGAUUGUUAGCUUUCAUCCAUUGAUACAAAGCAGCAGCUCUCCCUUCCAUGUGAAACGAUGCAAUGCAAAGACACAAAUUAUCUGGGGUCCCAUGGAGGUCAAAAAACUCGUUGAUGCGAAAAUCCCACCCGGUCGGAUUAGAGCCGUCAAACUUGGGAAUGUCCAUUUUCAUGGAACGUAAAAGCGGGGAAAAAUCUGUGCCCCCAGCAGAACCCUUUGUAAACGCUGACAUCAACUCCGAUGGUCGUGAAGGGCCACUCAAAACGCCGACAGACCCACGGAUUUGAGAUUGUAAUUCCUCAAAACGGGAAUCUACAGUGGACAUGUAUUGUUGUAAGGUCUGAUGCACAGAGAGUGUUUGCUUCUCAAGGAGCUCCUUCAUGGCGGAAAGAACUCCAGAAUCAAUCGUCUUUGUUGUCUCGGUCAUGGUGGAUUUUUUUUUUUUUGAAGAAGAAGAAGAAGGAGAAGAAGGCAAUGAAAGCACCAAUUGAUACAACUCUGCAACUCAGAGUUUAUAUCACAUAGCUACACUUUUUGGAGUAAGUGCUGACUCCCGCAAAAAGAAUUGAAAUUAAUGGAGAAACAGAGAUUGCAGGAGAAGACGGAGAGAGAAGAAGAAAUAUUUUCCAUUUCCUUGCUUUCUAUGACGUGUUCCCCUCUACAUAUAUCUUUUACCCCUCAACAUUACACGUGUAACUAACCAACAAAUGAAUGAUUCAAAGAAAAAACAGUCACAACAAAAUAACAAAAUCACAGCUGCCAUCUUUUCCACUCUCUUUGUGCCUUCUCGAAUAUUCCUUAGGUAAUGUAAUCUUUGAGGUAUGUUGGUGCCCUGCGCAUACGAACUGGACCUUUUGUGUGCUCCUCAACCAGCUGGGCUUCUUUCUCUGUUUCCCAUGUUGACUUGUCAUUAAUCUCGGGCAAGGUUGUAUCAAAGUGGGACAUGUAACAACGACACAAUACAAGAAAAUUUAACGGUACUUGUGACUAAAUCAUUGAUGACAAACUGUUUAUUCUUUAUAUUUACAUGUGAAACCGCAGAAAAGGGCCAAAUUUGUAGUUUGAAAUUUUACAUUUGAUUUUGUCGUCAAUUGAUGAGCUCAUAGCGACAUUAAUUUAUUGAAUGAUAAAAUAAUAAUUUUGUAUUCAGUAAACCUAUGAAAUAUGACUUAAAUUGAAAUUUUGAGAUCUUAAUACAUUGGAGUUGCAUUGAGUUGGGAGACGAACUUUGACUCUAAAUGUGAUAGCCCUUAAUGUGUCAUUUAUUUAUUAAAUUUGUUAAUGGUAUGAUAUUAUCUCAUUAGGACAGAAAUAUUAAAUUGCAAUGAGUCUAGUCAAUUGAGAAAACAAUUUUUGCGCGAGUAUUCUCAAUUUCCAAUAUAAAAAUUGCAAGACAAAAUUAAAAAGGAGAAUGAUACUUUAUACCUGUUUAGAAGCCAUUGGUUAUUUGGUCAUAUUCAAAACCUGUUUUAACCACGUAAGUCCAUGAUAAAAGUUACGAGACAAAAUUAAAAAGGGGAAUGAUACUUUAUACCUGUUUAGAAGCCAUUGGAUAUUUUGGUCAUAUUCAAAACCUGUUUUAACCACGUACGUAAGUCCAUGAUAAAAGUUUAAAAUACCUUUUGUGGAAAGGAUAAGUAUGAUAUUUUUAAUACAUAAAUUAAUAAAUAGAUCUAUUUAGUAAAUAUAUAUAUUUUUGAUACACUGAUAUAUUAUAAUUUUAAUAUUUAUAAUUAGAAAUUUGUUUGGAUUUAUCCUGAAUAAUUCUAUUACACCACAACUCGAAUAUCAAUCCUCACUAAACUGAAAGAAGAUUUGCCCUCACUAUUAAUUUAUACUCGGAACAAUUGUAUAUAAACAAAGGUUCACUUCCAGUUUCAUCUAAAGUGGAUUAAGCACAACAAACCAAUACAAUCCUCACUAUCUUUACGUUUUUGAAAUUAAAUACAAAUAUUCCAAUUGUUACUGUGAAAAUGUGAUAUUUUCAGCACUACAGCUACCACUUUAUUGCUUAUCGGAUCCGCAAGGAACUGAUGUGGUCCAAUCGUGUUCCGAUCGUAUUGGUUGCCGUCAUAAUCUGAUCACAUUUAGAUAACUUUUCAGUUUUGUCCAGGAGAAAGGCUGUCAAUUAUGUCUCCCUAAGAAAGACGUCACAUAGAUGAUGUAAUCGGAUUUUAUCAUGCGUUUGUUCCUCUCCAAUCGAGAACUUGUCACAUCCUGCCUGUACAAGGUUUUUUUUUUUUUGAUAAGCUGUAAAAUGUAUUUGAGUGUUUGUGAAUCUACAAUUAUUUUUUGGCUACUUAGGGGAAUCCUUUUUUUUUAAGGGUUUAUUGGAACCGCUUAACCACAUAAUUAGAGUUAUAAUAAUUUUUUAUUAUUUAUUAUAUGUGGUUUUUAUUAUUUAUUAUAUGUGGUUGAAAUUUAUGCUUCACCAUAAAUUAAUUUUUAUAUAGUUAUUGUCUUAUUUUUAAGGGAGUAAUAUAAAUAGAAACUAAUGGAAAGCUACAGUUACUAUUUGAACAAAAUUAACAUGAAUAACAAAAAAGGGGCAGCUGCAACUAAUAUCAUUAAAUCAAAGGAUUGAAGUACUAACUAGAGAUUUUAAACAAAACUGUUUGGUUUAAAAUUAUGGGAAUUUGAGAUUACACUUACAGUUUUCAUUUUUAUUUUAUUUUUAUUUUUUUGAAGAGAAGAAAGAAAAAAGAUCAGCUAUAUGAUUAAUGAAAGAGCACAUGGUUAUGCCUGGAAGGAGGGAGGUGGGGGGUGAAGAGUAAUUGGAGUCAGUUAUGUCAGGGCCGACUUAAUUAUAUUUGGGGUUUUAAACAAAUAAUUUUAAUUAGUUCUUCUUAAAAUUUAGGAUAAAAAAUAUAUAUAUAUUAGUUAUAUAUUAUUUAUUGAAUAUCAUUUCUUUAAACACUCUAAAAUGUAAAAUUAUUAAAUAAAAUUUUAUUCUACUAUUGCUAAUUCAUGGAAUUUUAAUUCAAUUAUAACAUUUUCAAUUAUUGUUUUUUAACUCAAAUCACAUCUUUUUUACUACUCCUUUUCUAGAUUAAAUUAAAUUUUAUAUUCUUCUAUUUUCUAAAGUUUUUUGAUAUAAUUUUAUUUCAAAAUAUAUAAAACAAGCACACAAAAAUAUAGUAGAUGAAUAAAAUAAUAUAUUAAAAAGAAAUAAGAAUAAAUAAAUAACACAACUAAUUAAAAGAAUGAUAAAAGGAUAAAAAUCGAAAAUUUGAGAUGAAAUUAUAAAUUAACUUUAUCUUUAUAUUAAUUGUUUGAUAAAUUGAGUAAUGACCAAUAACCAUAGAGAAUAGAGAAAACUAUUAGAUUUUUUCUUUUUUAAUUGAGUGGAAAGUAGAGGAAGCAAGAUUUUUUUCCCUCUCUCUUUCUUUCGCUCAAAUACCAAGAACAUAUCUUGUCUUGAUUGUUGGAGGAAAAUUUUAAUAGAUAAGUGAUAAAAUGUGGGGCUUUUAUAGAGGUUUAAAAUGAAUAUAAAACUUUUUAAGUAUAACAUAUUAAUUCUAACAUUGAAAUAGAGAAUUUGUAGGAUUGAAACUAUUAACUUAUCAGUUUUGUAGGAAUUAAAACUACUAAGUACUACAUUAAAUAAACUUUAUAAGAAUUUGAUAUUUUAUUUAGAAAAAGAUAAUUAUAAAAUAAUAAUAAAUUAAAUGAAUAAUAAUGACUUUUAAAUUCAUUUUUUCCUUUUACAUACAAAAUAAUCAUCUUAUUGGGCCUUCAUGUAAAGUGGGGCCCUAGGCAAUCACCUAAAUUACCUAGAGGUCGAGCCACUAUUGAGUUAUGUAACGAACUGCCGAAGCAUUGAUCGGCGUGUAUUGUAUCAAACUGCUAACAGGUAUGAAACAGUCUUAGAGUGCAAAUAAGAGAAUAGAAAUGGUCAUAAUACAGGAACAUUUGUUGGUUCAAAGGAGCAACAAUUAGGAAUGGCUAUUUAUUUAAAAUAUGAAGUGGAAAAUUGAAUUAAUUUAUUUGAAAUAGAAAUGGUCACAUGAUGAAGAAAAUUGUAAAACUGAAUAAAUGCUGCUGUUUGGCAGCUGAGAAAAUGCAGAGGAAAAUUCUUUAUUUCAGCAAUGAAUUGAUAUUUUGUACAUACAAACAAUCACGAAACGUGCAGCUAUUUAUACAUGCUACACUUGCUAACUAAUUGCUUACUAACUAAUUAUUAAUCACAAGCUCACUCAGCUAAUCAAAUAACAGAAUACAGAGUAUGCAUUGUGAUGUUAGUUAGGCUGGUAACUGCUGCUGACGUGGCACAAAUGACAGCUGGUAACUUGAUACGCUGACUCUUCUUCCUCACUUCUGCACAAUGAGCUAUCUUCACAGCCCCCCUCAAACUCAAAGGACAUGAAAAGACAUUGAGUUUGUCCCUUAAAUAAUUGAACUGAGGGGAAGAUAAAGGCUUGGUUAAGAUAUCUGCAAUCUGAUCUUCACUUGGCACAUAACAGAUUUUGAGAUCACCAGAUAACACUUUGUCUCGAAUAAAAUGAACAUCAAUCUCAAUGUGUUUGGUUCUUGAAUGGAACACAGGAUUCUUUGCUAGCUCUGUUGCACUUAUAUUAUCACACCAUAUUGUUGGUCUCUCUACACAGUAUACUUCCAUUUCCAGAAACAAUGACUUUAACCAAGCUAUCUCUGAAGCAGCUGAAGCAAGUGCUCUAUAUUCACUCUUAGCUGAAGACUUAGUGACUAUUGUUUGCUUCUUUGAAGACCAUGAAAUCAGAUUAUUUCCAAGAUACACACAGUAGGCUCCAAUCGACUUCCUAUCAUCCAAGUCACUUCCCCAAUCUGCAUCAGUGAAUGCAGUGAUUUUCAAAUCACCAUCCUUUACAAACUUUAAACCAUAAUCCUGUGUCUCCUUUAGGUAUUUAAGAACCCUUUUGCAAGCCAUAAGAUGUUGCAUAGUUGGUGCAGAAACAUAUUGGCUUAACUUGUGAACAAAAUAAGCAAUUUCUGGUCUUGUCAAUAUCAGAUACUGGAGACCACCUACAAUGCUUCUAUAAUGAGUUGCAUCUUCAACAUAGUAACCCAAUUCUCCUUUAACUACCUUCUGCAACUUUGAGUCUUUGCCACUGCACAUUGGUGUUGUCACUCCUUUGCACUCAAGCAUGUCUACUUUAGCAAGCAAAUCUCUGAUAUACUUCUUUUGAGACAAAUAAAUGCAAUCCUGACCAUACAACACUUCUAUACCAAGGAAAUAGGACAAUCUUCCUAAAUCUUUCAAUGCAAAAACAGUAUUAAACUGUUGAAUGAAGCUGUCCAAUUCUUCAUUGUUAGGUCCAGUAACUAAUAUGUCAUCAACAUAUAUCAAUACCAUAAUGAGUGACACUUUAGUUUUUCUUAAGAAUAAGGAAGAAUCAGAUUUUGAAUUUCUGAAACCCCAUUGAAGAAGACAUCCCCUGAGCUUUUCAAACCAGGCUCUAGGAGCUUGCUUAAGACCAUAUAAAGCUUUGUGUAAUCUGCAAACAUAGUGAUGGGUGUCGAAGCCAACAAAAAUAAAUUCCUACUCUAAAUAAAUUGUGUAUAGUGAUUGAGCAGGGUCGUGUCCACAGAGAUCGGUAAUUAUUUAAAUCCUUUUGAAACGUAAAACGUAAAAUGGGGGAAUUGUAGACAAUAAUAAAAAUCAAAUUAAAUAACAAGAAUGCAAAUUAAAGUUGUAAUUCAAAUUGGAGAAAGCUCUGGUUGAAGGAAUUAACUAAGCUUGAUUCGACUACUGAUCAUUGAUUCAAAUAUAGAUUAUUAUUACUCAUGAAUAGACCGGUUAUAGCUAUUGAGACCCUCUAAUAGCCAAUCUCUCCUUAACUAGUCGAUAACCAAGGUACGACCGUUGGAUAUUUCCCUAAUCAAUAGACAACCCUAGAUACAAUCAUAGGAUUUAAUCAAUUGACAGCCUGAAAAAUCAGAGAGACCCAAAUCCUAAUUAACACAUAUGAUGAUUCAUUUAAAUUAGAUUGUUUAUUCUCACAACACAACUCUCUGCUAUGUUAUUUGUCACAAACAUCAAAUUCUUCAUACGAUGAAUCCUUUAAUUGACAAUAGAUUAAGUUGAUAAUUAAAUAGUGGCCAAUUACCUAAUUAACAAACAUAAUCAUGAAAAUAAUUCAGAGAAUAAACAAAUACCCAAAAAGUAAUAAAACAAUUAAAGCACAAGAAAGAUCUCACAGUAGUGAUGAAUCAAAGCUUCAUUAACCUUCAACCAGAAAAAUGGGUUUAGUUCCUCAUAGAGAGAAGAGAAAAAUUAGAUCUAGGGUUUCUUUUUCUCCAAUCCAAAUCCCCCUUUUUCACAAUAAAUUCUUCCCUUAAAUACUCUCUCUCUCUUCUCUUUUAGAAUUCUAUUUAAAAUAAAAUACUAAUAUCUGAAAUAUUAAAUUCGUAAUUACAAAAAUAACCAAAAAUACAAAACACGUUAAACUAAAAACUGCAGGUCCGCAGUUGACAGCACGCGCCCACGCCUUAUCAACAAAGUUCUUCUGACGCUCAUAAUUUCUCCAAGAGAACAAUCCUCCUUAAACAUCAUCUUUUAGCUCAAUUUUAUCACCAAUCAAUAGAAUUGCACCUACAAAAGUAAAACAUAAGUAAAACAUUAUUAUUAAAUGCAAAACAUCGAUAUUAAGGGAAGUAAAUAAUGCAAAACUAGUGCAUAAAUUGCACUCUAACAAAUUCCCCCACACCAAGAUGAUGCUUGUCCUCAAGCAUAUAACUCAAGAUUAAUCCCAAAUCUCCACUCAAUUCUCAUCUCAACUCAUCCAAAAAUAAUUUUAAGCAAGCAUACCUCAAGAAAUUAAGUCGAUCAACAUUCGAGAGACAAGGACUUUUAAAGCAUAGAAUCUCAUAAGAUAGAAUAAGAACAUUUAACCACCAAGAAGAUCCAUUCAAAAUUCAAGUGCAACAAGAUUUAAUAGCCCUCUCAAUGACUUCACUCCAUGCACUCAAAGUGUUUAGGGUAUCAUCUAUGCACUCAAAUCAAAUCAAAGAAUGCUAUUACCAUAAGCUUGCUCAUAUAUCACAUCUCAAUCCACAAAACAUGAAUAAAAUGCAAAAAUCUAAGGGUCUUAAAAGGGUUGUAAUGGGGUUAAAUAGGUUAAAUGAAAAAGAAAGGUCUAUGAAAGAAAAAGAGAUCAAAAUGAGAAGAAUGAACUCAUUGAAUGAACUUAUGAUAUCAAAAUGCUUAUUUCUACUCAAGUCACCACGAAUGUAAACAUUUUUUUUUUCUUCUUUUUCUCUUUUUUUUUGAUUUUUUUUUUGAUUUUUUUUUCGAUUUUUCUUUUUCUUUUUUUUUCUUUUUCCUUUUUUUUUUUUUUGAAUCAAACAAAAGAAAUGAACCUUGCACAAUUUAAUUCAAGCAUAAUGCUUGUUGAUCUAAUUGAGAAACUUUAAUACAAGGUAGAAAAAGCAACAAAAUAUAUACAAAAUAUAUCCACACAAUGAGUCCAAAAAUCUCCUUAAAUUGAGGCUCAAAAAGAAGAAAAAUGGUUAAGUAGACAGAGAGAAUUAGAUGGGUAAUGGUUAAGGCUCAAACAAAGAUAGUAAAUCAAGGUCUUCGGGUAGAGAAAAAAAAAGAAAAUGCGAGAAUAGAAAAAUGGUAAAUGGUUUGCCCUUAUCAUUUUAAUGCAAAAAUUCCCGUAAUGUGGCUUCAACAUGCAUAACAAAGCAAGUUCUAGAAUAAACAAACUAAGAUUGAUAUUCACAUAAUAAAAAUAAUUAGAGCAAAGUGGUUGCUCAUAGGCUCAAAUCCUCACAAAGUUGGUAAAUUUGCCAUCAAAUCAUGUACACUCUUCAAAUGAAUCAACCAUCAAUAGUGGUGUAGAAUGGGAAGAAGGUAUGAGUGAAGGAAAGGUAAAAAUGAUAAGAAGUGAGAAAGAUGUAUGUAGUAAUAUGAAAAGUGAAAGAUAAAAUGUGAGUGAUGAAAGAGUAUGAUAGAAUAAAAAUAGAUGUAAAUAAUUUGAGAUAGAUGGGAAAAAAGUAGUGAGAAAGAAAAGAAAAGAAAAAUAAUAAUAUAUGAAGCAUACUAACUCCAAAAUCAUUUAAGGAUGAGUAGAAUGAAAAUAGAUGAGUAUAGUGAAAAUAAUACUUCCAGACAUCAAUAAUGCAAAAAUCCCUCCCCCACACCAAGAACUUACAUUGUCCCCAAUGUAAGAUAAUUAAAGCUCACAUAAAAAUUAAAGCGUAAGGAUAAAAGAUUAAGGGCAAAAAGAAACUUCCCUGAAUUGUGAGCUUUGAUCCACAUAACGUCUAUGGGCUUGGCGGAAAUGGUGGGGUAAAACCCACACUCUCGAAGUAUGCGGCCAAAUUCUGCUCCAUUUUGUUCAACUUGUGCUCCAUUUUCUCUAACUGAAUGCUCAAAGGUGGUGCGGAUGUAGAAGGAAUAGUUGGCGGGGCAACAGUGUCGUCGUCAAACUCGUCAUCAGAGGUAGCACCACUCCUAGCAUAAAGCUUCUUCGGAAGUUGAGUGGGUCCUGGUUCAGUAAACUGAAAUCUCCCCUCCUUGAAUUCGACCACACAUGUUCUUUCAAACACAAACAUAUCCAAAAAUUCAUUUUUGCAAGCAGGAUGCAAAUCAUUAUUGUCAGGAUCAAGCACACAUAGGUUUAUAGCUAACAGAGUAAUGUAUGGACCAAGAAAUAAAGUCUUAUACCGUUUAAGCACACUUUGAAAUUGAUCCGCUAACCAAAAACCUAAAUUAGGCCUCACAUCAUUUAACAUGCACCAGAUAAAAUAAAAUUCAGUUUUAGAGAAAAUUCCUGAGUGAUCUUUCUUGCCUAAAAAAUUAUAUGCUAAGAAUCGAUGCACACAUUUCAAAACAGGAUCACGUAAGAAAGAACUCUUUGGUUUACUCGGGUCAUAGGCAUUGUGAUCAACAGAUAAAUUACGCCAAAGACCAUAAGGCUCAAAAUUUUCGCUAAAGUCACAAGUUGUUCCUAAAUAUUCAUCACUAGUAGAAUAAUAAUCAUCAAUGAAUCCUAAAGCUAGGUUAAAAUGCGUGAUAGAGUGUGAAAAAUUUCGUCCCAUUAACCUAAACUUAAUGACAUCCGGGGUAUGCAAAGUAAAAUCAUUCGGCAUAGUGAAUUGAAAAGUAGCAUAAAACUCCCUAAUCAACUCAACAUAACCCAAGCAAUCAACAUCAACAAACUUACGCAACCCAAUCUUAUCUAUCAAAGAAUCAAAAUUAUCUUUAACAUUUAAUUUUUCAAGAGUCGGGUAAUGAAUAUACUUAGCUGGAAGUAUUUUGCGCGUGGAAAUAUCUUUGUACCUCUCUUUCUCUUGUUGAGUCGCGAAUGCGAGGCACCCUCCGAGAUUGGAUUCCGCAAGUGGCAAAACACUCAUGCCUUUUCCAUGCUUCGAUCUUUGUCUCACGGCUUGGCGUGAAUCUGAAAUUAUGUUCCAUGGAACCGUAGUGGGAGCGGCAAUCUUAGAUUUCUUUGCGACGGGUGUCUUUUUCGACGACUUGGAAGUAGAUGCUUUCCUAUUCGGCAUUGUUACAAUAAUUGCACUCACGGAUUUCGAUUUACCCGGCUGGAAUACAGGGCGUAGGCUGGUUGUGUUGCGCUUGCUGCUCGGCUGGAGCUUGUUGCGCGAGUUGGGGCUGGUUGUGCGCGCUGCUGAGGCUUGCUUUGCGGGUGCUGGUUCGUUGCUGUGUUGCGCGCGCGGGGCUGUUGCGCGCGAGAGCCAGUUCGCGUUGCGGGUCUGCGUUGCGGAUCUGUUGCGCUGCGCGCGCGGGACUGAUGUGCUGCGCUGAGGCUGAUUCGCGCUGCUGCUAGUUGCGGUGCGCGAUGCUGUGCGCGGCGGCUGGGGCUGAUUCGCGCUGCGCGCGCAACUGGGGCUUAUGUUGCGCGCUGCGCUGCUGGUUCUGGGCGUACUCGUCUGCUGCUGCUGGUUGCGCGGUGAAGGCUGGAGCUGAUGCUGCUGUAAAACGAUAAUCAACAGUAAUUUUUGAAUUAGGGAUUUGUGAACAGUGAUUUUCGAUUUUUGGUUUUUUUUUAUAUAUAUAAAUAAAUAUAUAAAAGAAAGAAAGGAACGAAAAUAAAUAAAUAAAUGAUGAUUUUCGAUUUUUGGUUUUUUUUUUUUUUUUUUUUUUUUUUUUUUAGUGAUGAAUCACUUUGAGACACUAAAAAUUUCAAAAGUACUUUUCUAAUAAGUACGUGGGCAUGCCUUAUCAAAAAUUUUCUUCUGACCAAAAUAAACAAACAAAUUAAAUUUCAGAAGUAUUUUUCUAAUAAGUACGUGGGCACGCCUUAAAACUUUGAGACAUUAAAAAUCACAGAAGUACUUAUUAGUUAAGACGUGGGCACGCCUUAUCAAAAAUUUUCUUCUGACCAAAAUAAGCAAACUCAUUUUUUUAAAUUUUUUUUUCUUUUUUAAAGAAGAUAAAACAAAAACCAAAAUAAACAAAUCAUUUGGGUUGCCUCCCAAAAAGCGCCUUUGUUUUAUGUCUUUGGCUAGACACAUUUAUGCAUCAAUCUCCAUAAUUGGGACUCUCGAGAGCCACAUCCUCCACAAUAUUCACCGAAAAACCUUCAUAAAAAGGUUUUAAGCGAUGACCAUUAACCUUAAAAACUUUGUCAGAGGUCGGACUCCGAAUCUCAACUGCACCAUGAGGAAAAAUAUUAGUAACAAUAAAAGGUCCAACCCAACAAGAACGUAAUUUAUUCGGAAAAAGUUUAAGCUUAGAAUGAAAAAGAAGAACUUUUUGACCAACAGAGAACUCCUUUCUCAAAAUCAUUGUAUCAUGAAAUGUCUUCGUCUUUUCCUUGUAAAAAACUUCCUGCACUAUAGGGUUAAUAACAUCCACAGAAAAUACCGAAUGUUCCUCACUAGGAUAUUUCAUGGCAUCAUUCAUAUUGAAUUCUAUAACCUCUCCAUCAAACUCCAUAGUGAGAGUCCCUUUAUGUACAUCCAUUUUAGUCCUAGCAGUCUUAAGAAAAGGUCUUCCUAGCAAAAUUGGGACAGAAUUAGAGGAGUUAUCAUCUUCCAUAUCAAGUACAUAAAAAUCAGCAGGAAAAACCAACUCAUUAACUUGUACUAAGACAUCUUCUAAUACCCCAUCAGGAUAUGCAUUAGACCUAUCAGCUAGUUGAAUUAUCACGCCAGUUUCUUUUAAUGGACCAACAUUCAAAGAUGAAUAAAUGGAACGAGGCAUGACAUUAAUAGAAGCUCCUAGAUCUAACAAAGCCUUUUCAAUUCUAACACUACCAAUUUUACAAGGGAUAGUAAACAUACCUGGAUCCUUGCACUUAGGAGGUAGUUUCUUUUGGAGAACUGCUGAAACAUUCUCCCCCAUGUGAACUUUUCCAUCUCCUGUUAAUUUUCUCUUGGAGGUGCACAGUUCCUUAAGGACUUUAGCAUAUCGAGGUAUUUGUUUUAUAGCAUCUAAUAAAUGAAUAUUUACCUCAACCUUGCGAAAUGUCUCAAGGAUGUCUUUCUCUUGUUCCUCCUUCUUGGAUUUUGCAAACCGGCUUGGAAAAGGAGGAGGUAUCACAAUAGGUAGGGGUUUAGCUCUGGUGGGUUCCGCAUCAUGAGAUUGAGGCAUCAAUUCAUUCUUCUCAAGUUCAUCUUCUACAUGCUUUGUCACUUUCUUACUAGGCUCUUGCAACUCCGUCCCACUUCUAAGGAUGACAGCACUAACGUUUUCCUUUGGAUUCACCUCAGAUUGUGAAGGCAAUCUCCCUAAUACUUGAGACUCCAGACGGCUCACUGUAGUCGCCAAUUGACUCAUUUGGUUCUCCAAGUUCUGAAUGCUUGCUGUAGUUGCCUGUUGAAAUUGUUGAGUGUUAGUUGCAAGUGAUUUAACAAUUUCUUCAAGAGAUAUACCUGACUUGGAGUUUGACUGUGGAGGUGCUGGUUGUCUUGGUGGAUACUGUUGUGGGAAUCCUGACGGCCUAACUCCAUAGCUGAAGUUAGGAUGAUCCUUCCAUCCCGGAUUGUAUGUUUGUGCAUAAGGAUCAUACCUCCUCUGAGGCAUGCUUGGAAAUCCUCCAACUGCAUUGGCUUGUUCAAUGGGUUCUUCUUGAAGUGUAGGACACAUAUCAGUUGAAUGACCCAUAUUGUAACAAAUGCCACAAGUCUUCACCUGUUGCACAUUGCCUACAACAAACUUUUCCACAAGAGAAGUAAGUUUAUCUAAACGUUGUUCAACAGAAGAAAUAUUUACCUCAUUCACCUUCCUUGAAGUAGGAUCUUGCCUGCUGCCAAAUUGUUGUGCGUUGGCAGCCAUAUUUGAUAUCAACUCCCUUGCUUGAGUAGGGGUCUUGUUCACUAACACGCCUCCACUAGCAGCAUCUAUCAUACUCCUAUCCAUCAAUGACAAUCCUUCGUAAAAAUACUGAAUAAGAAGUUGAUCAGAAAUCUGAUGCUGAGGACAGCUAGCACACAAUUGUUUGAAUCGCUCCCAAUACUCAUACAAAGUCUCCCCAGGAAGUUGUCUGAUCCCACAAAUGUCUUUUCGGAUGUUGGCAGCUCUUGAAGCAGGAAAGUAUUUCUCGAGGAACUGCUUCUUCAAACCAUUCCACGUUGUAAUCGAUCCAGGAGGCAAGUAAUACAACCAGUCUUUAGCUAGCCCAUCUACAGAGAACGGAAAAGCACGCAGCUUAAUCUGCUCUUCAGUCACGCCUUGUGGUCUCAUACUUGAACACACAACAUGAAACUCCUUAAGAUGUUUAUGAGGAUCUUCACCUGCAAAACCAUGAAACUUGGGUAAUAAAUGAAUAAGACCAGACUUUAAUUCAAAAUUUACCUCCAAGUCUGCAUAUUGAAUGCAGAGUGGUUGUUGAUUCAAGUCAGGUUCAGCUAACUCUCUAAGAGUUCUUUCUACAAGUGCAGCUCUAUCCAUCACUUGUUCUUCUGAAUCGCUAGAUGAUUCAACUAAAUCAGGCACCGUAUCUGUUUCAGAAAGCAAAGGCGACGAGGAUCGUUGCUUAGCUCGCUUUGUCUGCUGUCUCAGCUGGCGAGCUGUCUUCUCAAUUUCAGGAUCAAUCGAAAGUGUACCUGUACGAGAAGAACGAACCAUACACCAAGUAAAACGUAAAAAGGAUUAAAUAAAUGACACCAAUCCCCGGCAACGGCGCCAAAAUUUGAUGGGUGUCGAAGCCAACAAAAAUAAAUUCCUACUCUAAAUAAAUUGUGCAUAGUGAUUGAGCAGGGUCGUGUCCACAAAGAUCGGUAAUUAUUUAAAUCCUUUUGAAACGUAAAAUGGGGGAAUUGUUGACAAUAAUAAAAAUCAAAUUAAAUAACAAGAAUGCAAAUUAAAGUUGUAAUUCAAAUUGGAGAAAGCUCUGGUUGAAGGAAUUAACUAAGCUUGAUUCGACUACUGAUCAUUGAUUCAAAUAUAGAUUAUUAUUACUCAUGAAUAGACCGGUUAUAGCUAUUGAGACCCUCUAAUAGCCAAUCUCUCCUUAACUAGUCGAUAACCAAGGUACGACCGUUGGAUAUUUCCCUAAUCAAUAGACAACCCUAGAUACAAUCAUAGGAUUUAAUCAAUUGACAGCCUGAAAAAUCAGAGAGACCCAAAUCCUAAUUAACACAUAUGAUGAUUCAUUUAAAUUAGAUUGUUUAUUCUCACAACACAACUCUCUGCUAUGUUAUUUGUCACAAACAUCAAAUUCUUCAUACGAUGAAUCCUUUAAUUGACAAUAGAUUAAGUUGAUAAUUAAAUAGUGGCCAAUUACCUAAUUAACAAACAUAAUCAUGAAAAUAAUUCAGAGAAUAAACAAAUACCCAAAAAGUAAUAAAACAAUUAAAGCACAAGAAAGAUCUCACAGUAGUGAUGAAUCAAAGCUUCAUUAACCUUCAACCAGAAAAAUGGGUUUAGUUCCUCAUAGAGAGAAGAGAAAAAUUAGAUCUAGGGUUUCUUUUUCUCCAAUCCAAAUCCCCCUUUUUCACAAUAAAUUCUUCCCUUAAAUACUCUCUCUCUCUUCUCUUUUAGAAUUCUAUUUAAAAUAAAAUACUAAUAUCUGAAAUAUUAAAUUCGUAAUUACAAAAAUAACCAAAAAUACAAAACACGUUAAACUAAAAACUGCAGGUCCGCAGUUGACAGCACGCGCCCACGCCUUAUCAACAAAGUUCUUCUGACGCUCAUAAUUUCUCCAAGAGAACAAUCCUCCUUAAACAUCAUCUUUUAGCUCAAUUUUAUCACCAAUCAAUAGAAUUGCACCUACAAAAGUAAAACAUAAGUAAAACAUUAUUAUUAAAUGCAAAACAUCGAUAUUAAGGUAAGUAAAUAAUGCAAAACUAGUGCAUAAAUUGCACUCUAACACAUAGUUAGAUUUACUCUUAUCAACAAAGCCUUCAGGUUGCUGCAUAAACACUUCCUCUGAUAACUCACCAUUCAAGAAUGCAUUGUUGACAUCCACCUGUCUAACUAUCCACUGAUUCAUCACUGCAAGACUAAGAACUACUCUCACUGUUGCUGGCUUUAUCACUGGGCUAAAGGUAUCAAAGUAAUUCACACAUUCAAUCUGUUGAAACCCUUUUGCCACCAAUCGAGCCUUAUACUUAGCUACACUGCCAUCAGUGUUAUACUUUAUUCUAUACACCCACUUAUUCCCAACAACUUUCUAAUUUUCUGUUCUUGGUACUAGAGACCAAGUUCUGUUUUCAAUUAGUGCAUCAUACUCAUUUUUCAUAGCUGUAAACCAAUUUGUGUCUUGCAAAGCUUCACCAACUGAAUCUGGCUCUUUGUGAACGUACACUGCAGUAUACAUUUUUGGCUUAAAAAUACCUGCUUUUCCUCUUGUGGUCAUGGGGUGAUUGUUUUGAACAUGUUGAAUAUUGUUUGAGGUUAUUUGGGACUGAGAUGGUAAUGGAAUUUGAGUAGGAUCUGUAGUGUUUGGUGAGUCUAGAUCAUGAACAGGUUCAAGAGUAGGAUUGAGAUUUGGUGUUUGACAUUGUGUAGCUUCAUUUGCUUGUUGAUGAUCUGCUGAUGAGAACAGUUCUGUGCUGCUGGAACAUGCUGGAGAGUAGGAUUCAAAACUGCUGUUAUAAGGAUUUGACACAACAGGAAGAUUGGAUAAAUGGAAAACUUGAUGAGGGGACAAAGCAGAGCUGGAUAUUGAUUGUGUUUUGUUCUCAGAAUUGAAAGCAGGAUCUGAAGAAAAAGGAAAUGCAUUUUCAUCAAAUAUGACAUGCCUUGCUAUGUAUACACGACCAGAAUGAUGAAGGCAUUUAUAUUCUUUGUGAGCAGAGCUAUAACCAAUGAAUAUGCAUUUACUUGUGUGAAAAUCAAAUUUAUGCUUAUUGUAAUCUCUCAAAUAUGGAUAGCAAGCACAACCAAAACAUUUCAGCAUCUUAUAAUCAGCUUUAUGUUUGAAAAGUUUUUCAUAUGGUGUCAACAUUUUAAGAGCUGAAGUUGGUAACCUAUUGAUAUGAUAAACUGAAGCAUGGAAAGAAUCCCACCAAAAAUGCAAAGGAAGUUUGGCUUGAGCUAACAAUGUAAGACCCAAUUCUACCACUUGUCUAUGUUUUCUCUCAACUAAGCCAUUCUGAUGAUGAGUAUGAGGACAAGAGUGCCUAAAUAAAAUGCCACACUGAUUUAAAAAUUCAGUGAAUGAUCUGUAUUCUCCCCCCCAGUCAGAUUGCAGUAUCUUAAUGGUUGUUUGGAAUUGGUUUUCAACUUGUAACUUGUAUAGCUUAAAAACCUCUAAAGCUUCUGAUUUCAAUUUCAAUGGGUAGAUCCAAGUAUAUCUAGUGAAAUCAUCAACAAAACUAAUAUAAUAUCUAAAACCUUCUCUUGAAAUAACUGGUGAGGGACCCCAAAGAUCAGUGUGUAUGAGCUCAAGAGCUGAUUUGGUUUUGAUUUCUGUAAUUGGGAAAUGCAACUUGUGUAUCUUACCCAACUGACAUGCUUCACAGAAAUGUUGUGUUGCUUGCUUAACCAUAUUCAGAGAAAACUUAUUAGCAUGAUGGAGUUUAAGUAAAUGCAAUAAGCUUUGAGAAUUUGGGUGGCCAAAUCUUCUGUGUAGAAGAGCUAUUUUAUUAGGCUUAUCAGAACAUACAUCAAAACCAUUCUGUAAACAAUUGUUUGAAUUAUUUAUGUACUUUACAGAUGGCAUAUGAGAAGCAAGAUGACAGAAUGAUAACAUUGACAGAGGUUUAUUAGCUUGACUAUGAGACAUAGGAGAAUUCUUGGUAGAAGACAUAGGUUUGACUAGCAGUUUAUACAACCCUUUCUCAGCAAUGCCCUGCAUUAGAACUUGUCCCUUCAGCAAAUCCUUCACAACACAAAAUGAUCCAAGAAAUUCAACAGAAAUGUUAUUGUCAGUGGUAAGUUUUGAAAUGCUUAUUAAGUUCUUGGUGAUAGAGGGAACAAGCAAGAUAUCUUUAAGUGCAAUAUGUAAAUCUGCAGGUUGAGAUUUUGAAUUCUUGAAUGAAAAAUAAGAGUCACCAAUAUGAGUUAUUGACAAACCUUCACCAUUGCCAAUAAUGAGCUUCUCAUUACCUCUAAACUCAUCUCUGAUAUUCAGAUUUCCCAUGCUGUUUGUCAGAUGAUGAGUGGCACUACUGUCCAGGUACCAACCUUCAUCUGCAGGUCCUUCACAAUAUGCAGCAGAAGCAGUUCCAACCCAAGGCAUACCAGAAUUAUCAGAUGCACAAGGAUAUCCAGACUGUGACAUGUGUAAUCCAUUAUUGUUGACAGGCCAUGGAUCAUCAUUUAUUGGAUAGUAAAGUAUGUAUGCAGGUUCAUAGUUAGCUAUGUAGGCAAACUUUGAACCUUUUCCUCUCUGAAAUUGUCUUGGUGACUGAGGUAUGUAAUUUUCUUCAAAUCUAUGCCAGCAUUCAACAGUUGUAUGUCCUACUUUGAAGCAAAUCUGACAUGUAUUCAUAGAAUCAUCACUGUUGGAUACUUGUGACUCAAAAGGGGGUAAAUUUCCAGUACCAUUGAAACCAGUACUGCCAAAAGAGCCUCUUCCAGAAGAACCAAAUCUAUUGCUUCCCAUCAUCAUUUGAUUUCUUCCUUGAUUACCAAAAUGACCAGUUCCAGCAGGAAAACCCCUUGGAUGAGAAUUCAAAAACAUUCCUCUACUAUUAAACAUACAAUUUCUACCACCUGAGUGACCAUUAUAAUUACCCUGGACACCUCCUGUAUAUCCUCCUCUCCUAGUAUGACCUCUUAUUUGAGCAUAGUAUGCAUUCAUCAUACUAUUAUUAUUCCAGUUAGACAUAUUAGCAUAGUUUGCAUUAAUCAUGUGCUUUUCACUUUGAUUUUGUUCAAGCCUAGCCUCAUGAGUAAGUAAUAGGGCAUAAGCAUCAUCAUAAUCCAAUUUUCUUGUUGUGAUAAAGGUAGCUAAAUCCAAAUAGCCAGCUCCUAGACCAUUGAGGAUUUGCUGCAACAUAUCUCUAUCUGAUACAGGACUACCAGCACAUGCUAAUUUGUCUGUAAUUUGUUUCAUUUUUAAGCAAUAUUCUUCAAUACUUAGUGAAUCUUUUCUUAAGACACUCAUCUCAUACUUAAGUUGAAGAACUCUAGCCUCAGAUUGUACACCAAACCUUUUCUCUAGUGUUUUCCAUAUAUCGAAUGAAGUAGUGCAUGAGUGAACUAAACUGAAAAUACCUUCAGUUAUUGAGCUAAGAAGCCAGCUGAGUAAUGUUUGAUCUUGAGAUCUCCAGAUUGUGUAUUCAGGAUUCUCGAUAUGUUGAGAAGAGCUAGCAACUGAAGAUGCUAUGAAUUGGUUUGGUGCAAUCUUUUCUCCAUUAAUGUAUCCUUCAAGUCGAUUUCCUCUAAUGGAGGCCAGGACUUGAUUUUUCUAGAGCAUGUAAUUAGAUCUAUCCAAUUUGAUUGGUGUGAUGAAAGAAAAAGUUGUCUGAUUCGUAGCUACUGUAUUUUGAUUGUUUGUAAUAGCCAUGAUUGGCUCUGAUACCAUGAAGAAAAUUGUAAAACUGAAUAAAUGCUGCUGUUUGGCAGCUGAGAAAAUGCAGAGGAAAAUUCUUUAUUUCAGCAAUGAAUUGAUAUUUUGUACAUACAAACAAUCACGAAACGUGCAGCUAUUUAUACAUGCUACACUUGCUAACUAAUUGCUUACUAACUAAUUAUUAAUAACAAGCUCACUCAGCUAAUCAAAUAACAGAAUACAGAGUAUGCAUUGUGAUGUUAGUUAGGCUGGUAACUGCUGCUGACGUGGACCUUCUGACGUGGCACAAAUGACAGCUGGUAACUUGAUACGCUGACUCUUCUUCCUCACUUCUGCACAAUGAGCUAUCUUCACACAUGAAAAUUUUGAAUUAAUUUCUUGAAAUAGGAUCCUACAAAUGAAGUGUUUUAAUUUCGUAAUUUAUUAUUAUUAUUGUUAUUUUGUUUUUAAAUAUUAAAAAAAUUGAGUUUAUAAUACCUUAAGCAAAUCCCACAUUGACAAAGUACGAGAGAGAUGCUGAGUUUAUAAGGAGUAAUCUACACCUUAAGACGUAUUUUGGGGUGUAUGGGCGCCCUAGAACAAACUCAUGCGGGCCUUGUUAAGAGCCAAAGCGUAUGUAACAUCCUAGACAAAUCCCUCAUCGGCAAAUCACGAGAGAAAUAUUGGGUUUAUAAGAGGUGAUCCACACCUUAAGACGCGUUUUAGGAUAUAUAAGUGCCUUAAAAAUAAAUAUGUGCGGACCUUCUUAAGGACUAAAACGGAUAAUAUAUUAUCACACCUUAAGACGCAUUUUAAGAUAUAUAAGUGCCCCAAAAAUAAAUAUGUGCGGACCUUAUUAAGGACUAAAACGGAUAAUAUAUUAUCAAAUCUAAGUUAGAUCAUGACGGAAUUCGUUUUAGUUUCUAACGGACAUCCGAUUCAUCGUAAUACAAGUGCCCUUGUCCAUGUAUUAAUUGCAUUUGCCUAUGAAUUCUUCAAUAAUUGAAAAAGAUGGGUGCUUGUGGGACACUCUCCAUUUAUGAUUACAAUUUAGGAAUAAGAACUUAAUGACGCAACCAUCACUGACAGCCUCUUUUUUGGAGGUACUCGGAUGGCUAUUAUUGCCAUUUAAAAGAUAACAUAAAUUUUGUAGAUUGCCAGCUAUGGCCGAGCUUUUUUUUUUUUUGAAGAAAAAUAGCCAUUUAAAAGAUAACAUAAAUUUUGUAGAUAGCUAGUUAUGUUCGAGUUUUCAAUUAUUUUUGAAAAAAAAAUACUUAUGUCUUUUAGAUUUAGAAAAAUGAUCACAUAAAUUCUCAAAAUUUUAAUAAGAUAAAUCCAGACCUUUUUUAUUAUAAUAUUUUUUAAUUCUAUAACUAAAACAAAUUGAUUAUAAUAUUUUAUAAUAAAAAAAUAUAAGUGUAAUGACCCGCUCCGAAUCCUUAGGACGAGUUUAUCUAAUCUCACCAACCGAAUUAAUAAUAAUCUAAUAUCUAAAUUAUUUGGCAGUCUCCUAUAUAAUUAUGAUAUUCUCAAACCCGUAAUUUUUAAAAUUUAACACUCCCCAAAAAUGAUACAAUAUUCAAUCAACCUCCACAAUUAACUUUUUCAAUCAAAUACCAGUAUCCUUUAAAUAUAUAAUAUUAAGAAUACAAUAAUUUAUCUUUAAUUAUAAAUAAAUAAUAAAUUAUACAAUUCAAAAUAUCCCAACAAAACAUCUAUGAUUCCUAAUAUUAUACCAUAAUUCUAAAUUUAACUAUUGUUUCUGUGUCGAUUGAUGUAUCUCCAAAUCUAAUGUGGGGGAGGGGGUAAUAUAAAAAAAAAAAAGGAAUGAGUAUAAAACUCACUCAAUUAAAAACUCUAUAACAUAAUACUGUUUUUAGUUUUAAUAAUAUACAAAUUCAAUUAAAAACUAAAAUAAAGCAUUUAAAAGGGAAAAAAAGAACGUUUUUGAAAUUAAAUACAAAUAUUCCAAUUGUUACUGUGAAAAUGUGAUAUUUUCAGCACUAGAGCCACCACUUUAUUGCUUAUCGGAUACGAAAGGAACUGAUGUGGUCCAAUUGUGUUCCGAUCGGAUUGGUUGCCGUCAUAAUCUGAUCACAUUUAGAUAACUUUUCAGUUUUGUCCAGGAGAAAGGCUGUCCAUUAUGUCUCCCUAAGAAAGACGUCACAUAGAUGAUGUAAUCAGAUUUUAUCAUGCGUUUGUUCCUCUUCAAUCGAGAACUUGUCACAUCCUGCCUGUAAUUUUUUUUUUUUUAAUAAGCUGUAAUAUGUAUUUGAGUGUCUGUGAAUCUAAAAUUUUUUUUAGGUUAGUGUUACGUUACGUUUAACUUAACGGGAUACUUUUUUUUAAAGACUUGUUAAAAUUAAUCACAUAAUUAAAGUUAUAAUAAUUUUUUUUAUCUAUUGUAUACGGUUGAGAUUUGUGCUCCCGUAAAUCAACUUCUAUGUAGUUAUUGUCUUAUUUUUAAGGGAAUAAUAUAAAUAGAAACUAAUACAAAGCUACAGUUACUAUUUGAACAAAAUUAACAUGAAUUAAAAAAAAGGGCAGCUGCAACUAAUAUCAUUAAAUCAAAGGAUUGAAGUACUAACUAGAGAUUUUAAACAAAACUGUUUGGCUUAAAAUUAUGGGAAUUUGAGAUUACACUUACAGUUUUCAUUUUUAUUCUAUUUUUAUUUUUUUGAAGAGAAGAAAGAAAAAAGAUCAGCUAUAUGAUUAAUGAAAGAGCACAUGGUUAUGCAUGGAAGGCGGGAGGUGGGGGGGGGGGGGGGUGAUGAGUAAUUGGAGUGAGUUAUGUAACGGACCACCGGAGCAUUGAUCGGCGUGUAUUGUAUUAAACUGCGAACGGGUAUGAAACAAUCUUAGAGUGCAAAUAAGAGAAUAGAAAUUGUCAUAGUACAUGAACAUUUGUUGGUUCGAAGGAGCAACAAUUAGGAAUGGCUAUUUAUUUAAAAUAUGAAGUGGAAAAUUGAAUUAAUUUAUUUGAAAUAGAAAUUGUCACAAGAAAAUUUUGAAUUAAUUUCUUGAAAUAGGAUUCUACAAAUGAAGUGUUUUAAUUUUGUAAUUUAUUAUUAUUAUUGUUAUUUUGUUUUUAAAUAUUAAAAAAUAUUGAUUUUGUAACACCUUAGCCAAAUCCCACAUCGACAAAGUACGAGAGAAAUUCUGAGUUUAUAAGGAGUGAUCUACACCUUAAAACGUAUUUUGGAGUGUAUGGUCGUCCCGGAAACAAACUCAUGCGGGCUUUAUUAAGAGCCAAAGCGGGCAAUAUCUUGUAAGGUCUAGGUUGAAUUAUGACAUUAUGGUAUCAGAGUGGCUCUGCGUGUCCUCAUGAGUGAUGGUGGGGCAAACUUCAACGAGGACGCUGAGUCCCUAGGGAGAGUGUAUGUAACACCCUAGGCAAAUUCCUUAUCGACAAAACACGAGAGAGAUACUUGGUUUAUAAGAGAUGAUCCACACCUUAAAAUACGUUUUAUGGUGAAUGGGCGCCCCAUAAAUAAAUUUAUGCGGGUCUUAUUAAGGAUUAAAGCGGACAAUAUCCUAUUAAGUUUAGGUUAGAUCAUGACAGAAUUCCUUUUAGUUUCGAGCGGACAUCCGAUUCAUCAUAAUAAUCGUACCCUUGUCCAUGAAUUAUAAAUAGUCUAUAAUAAAAAAGAAGUGAGUAUAGUAGUUUUUGAAAAAAAUAAAUUUACUUAAAAUAAUCUAAUUUUUCCCAUAUUAAUUUCAUCAAAAUAUCAUAAGGACUUCUAGUAACUUUUCAGUUUUGUCCAGGAGAAAGGCUGUCAAUUAUGUCUCCGUAAGAAAGACGUCACAUAGAUGAUGUAAUCAGAUUUUAUAAUGCGUUUGUUCCCCUUCAAACGUCACAUAGAUGAUGUAAUCAGAUUUUAUAAGCCUCUUGUUCCUCUUCAAUCGAGUACUUGUCACAUCCUGAGUGUUUGUGAAUCUACAUUAUUUUUUAAAGAUCUGUUUAUGUUAGAAUCGCUCUAAGAUAGAAUACUCCUUCGUAAUUACAUUAUUAAAAAAUAUAGAUUAAUUUCAGAUUUAAAACAAAUGAAGCCUUUGUUUUUAUUUGCAAGACUUUUAUAAUACAUUAAUAUGUAACGCUUCAAAUUUCACGGCGGAUUAGAUACAAAUUUUUUAUCCUUAUACUAAACAUGUGUAGAGUAGUAAGAAACAAGUUAAAAAAUAAUAAAAACACACACUUUGAUGUUGUUAUUUUUAUCUUAAAGUAUUAAAAUUUAUAUUUCUUUUAAUCUUUUAACUUGUCUUUUACGAUAUUAAAAUAAGAAAAUCCUUACUAAAAGUAAAAGGGGACUUGCAUGUCAUGUGCACAGUGUACAAUAUGUUUCAAAUGUUACUUGAUAGAAAUUACUGAAAGCAUUGUAUCAUUGGAAAACUCUUGCUGCAUGCUACUAAUUUGACAGUUUAUCAAAUAUUUUUUUGCUGCUCGCUACUUAUGAAUCACGUUUAGUCCCCUUUGAAUUGUGUGCAUCCACCAUCUGUUAAAUUUAUCUUUGAAUUUUCUCGCUUCCAUAAGGGACACAAAUAAGAAACAGACAAGGACGUUCAAAUCCCCGAGUUGUAAAAUUUACAAGAUGCAUCGGGUAGAAAAAUCUUGUAGAAACCUCAGCUGAUGAACUCUGUAAAGAAUAUCCUCAUUCAUUCAGCUAACCCGUUGAACCAAAAUGCAAAAUCAUCCUCAAUAAGUACAAGAAACAAAAACUUUACAAGAAUAACUUAUGAAACUUGAUAAAUUUCUGCGGAGACUACAACGUCAUUUCAAUUUGUGAGGUAAUUAUUUGAUGCCAUGAUGCUGACUGAAUCUCAUUAAAUUAAUGAAAAUAAUACAACAAAUGGUACGAUAACUCCAAAUCAGCUAUCACAUUAUGUUUUUUUUUUUUAUAAGUAUCACAUUAUGUAUUUGAUUCAAAUAAGAGAACAAAAUUUGCAUUAUUGAUAGAUAUUAUAUUGUUUCUUGAAACUAUCCCUUGACAAAUCGCCCAUUAAUGCAGUCAUUGCUGACAAAACAACUUUGUGAAAAAGUUCACCAAGAUAGCAAGCUGAUAGAGAAAUCUGACAAUGCAAUGCAUGCCAUCCUCACACUUCAAUUUCAUCGAAAAUGGAUAAGCCAUUUUGUUCAACUUUCACCUCCGGAAGUUGAAAAGGACAUGAAUGCAAUUAUGCAAGUCCUUAUCAAAGAUGCAAUGAAUGACGCCUAAACUCCUAUAGAGUAGAGUUAAGCUAUUAAUCACUGCACCGAUACAUCAAAAAUUAAGUAUAUGGAUCAAAGACAUCUUCAUUCAAGAGUCGAGAAAUUUCAAAGCAAAGGGACCAAAGAUGGUGGUGCCAUUUUGUUCAACUUUCACCUCCGGAAGUUGAAAAGGACAUGAAUGCAAUUAUGCAAGUCCGUAUCAAAGAUGCAAUGAAUAACGCCUAAACUCCUAUAGAGUAGAGUUAAGCUACUCAUGUCUAAUUUUAGAGGUUUGAUAUGGAUAUGGAUUUUUGUUUAUAUUGAUAUUGAUACGCAUAGAUAUUCGGGAAAAAAAAUUCUACUUAACACUAUAACGAAUAGGAUACUUCUUUUAUUAGAGCGUUGUCAUGCUGACGAUAUGCAAGAUAUCAUAAAUAAAGGGGAUCGUAGGGAACGAAAUGAAAUAAGUUUAAAGAAUUUGAAAGAAACUGAUUAUUCUCUUAUUCAACAACUCGGUGUGCAAUUACAUUUUACACGAGGUCCAUGUAAUUAUAUUUGUCAUUAAGAAUGAGCGUUUGCCAAAAGAAGAGACACAUGUCAUGACAAUGAGUGAUUGACAAGUGACAAAAUUGAUAGACACCGGCCGAAUAUGUCAUAACACAAACUUCUGAAAUUGCUACAGGAAAUGAAAUAUAAUGAUGCACGAUGCCCAUCCAAGUUGUUUACUUGUAUUGUCCAACUGUAAAUGAGUACAGACAUGCUACCAUCAAUCGUUGUUAUUAGACUAGUCACCCACCACCUCGCAAAUCGCAGAUAGCAUUAGCAAGUCCUCAGUAAUUCUUACUGCCUGAAACAACAUGGCUGGAGCAGAGAUUUUUCUAUCAAAGCGUGUCCAGGACAUGGUCCUCAAUGGUGAAGAACCGCCAGCACCAAAUAUUUGUAGAGAUGGUGAUUCAAUUCAAGAGGUUUCUGCUCAUUAUCUCCGGUUCCGAUCAUUGACCUCAGUCUGCUCUCAUCUUCAACACCAUACGCCAAGCAAGAAGAAGAACUGCAGAAAUUAAGAUCAUUGACCUCAAUCUCAUCUUUAACACCAUACUCCGGUUCCGAUCAUUGAUCAUUGACCUCAGUCACUCCUUCAUGACCACAUAAUAAGGAGUGGCUAUUUAUUUAAAAUAUGAAGUGGAAAAUUGAAUUAAUUUAUUUGAAAUAGAAAUGGUCACAUGAAAAAUUUGAAUUAAUUUCUUGAAACAGGAUCCUACAAAUGAAGUGUUUUAAUUUCGUAAUUUAUUAUUAUUAUUGUUAUUUUGUUUGUAAAUAUUAAAAGAAAAAAAGAAAAAAUUGGGUUGUCUUUAGUUUCUAGCGGACAUCAGAUUCAUCAUAAUAAGCGUACCCUUGUCCAUGUAUAAAUUGCAUUUGCCUCUGAAUUCUUCAAUAAUUGAAAAAGAUGGGUGCUCGUGGGACACUCUCAUUUAAAAGAUAACAUAAAUUUUGUAGAUUGCCAGCUAUGGCCGAGCUUUUAAAUUUUAAAUUUUUUUUUUUAGAGAAGAAGAAAAAUAGCCAUUCAAAAGAUAACAUAAAUUUUCUAGAUAGCUAGUUAUGUUUGAGUUUUCAAUUUUUUUUUAGAAAAAAGAUACUUAUGUCUUUGAAAUUUAGAAAAACAAUCACACAAAUUCUCAAAUUUUUAAUAAGAUAAAUCAAGACCUCGUUUUAUUAUAAUAUCUUUUAAUUCUAUAACUAAAAAAAUUGACUAUAAUAUUUUAUAAUAAAAAAAUAACUGAAAUGACCCGCCCCGAAUCCCCGGACGAGUCUAUCUAAUAUCGCCAAUCGAAUUAAUAAUAAUCUAAUAUUUAGAAUUUUACCAAAAAUUCGGCGAGUCUCCUAUAUAAUUAUAACAUUCCCAAACCUGCAAUUUAUAAAAUUUAACACUCCUAAAAAAUGAUACAAUAUUCAAUCAACCUCCACAACCAACUUCUUCAAUCAAAUACCAAUAUCCUUCAAACAUAUAAUGUCAAGAAUACAAUAAUUUAUCUUUAAUCACAAAUAAGUAAUAAAUUAUACAAUUCAAAAUAUCCCAACAAAACAUCUAUGAUUCCUAACAUCAUCACAUGACCAUAAUUCUAAAUUUAACUAUUGUUGUUGGGUCGACUAAUGUACCUACAUAUCUCUUGUGGAGGGGGGGUAUAUAAUAAAAAAAAGAUGAGUAUAAAAUUCAGUGAGCUGAGUUGAGUAUAGUAUGAAAAAAAUAAAUUACUUAAAAUAAUAUAAUCUUUCCCAAAUCAAUAUCAUCAAAAUAUCAUAAGAACUUAAAUAAACUUAUUUAAUUUAAAUCAUGUUUUGAUAUAACAAUAAUACAUAAUACGGCAUGAAAUCAAGGAAAACAUGAUACUUAUAAUAGCAAACACCAAAUACCGAAUCUAUCACCAAACAAGUACCCAGGAAAAUAUCUCAUCAUAUCCAGACCUCGACGGAUCUGCAAUCAGGGAACCAUCAUGGCCCGAAGCUACACGGAUAGACAAGGAAGUACUAUCUCAUAUCUCAUCAUAUUUGUGCAUGCAUAAUCUAGUCCCCAAAGGACAAGGCGCCCAAGAACACGGUCCAAAGCUUCUGUGUGUACUCAAAGGGGCCCCAAAGACCUAUAUUUCAUCCGUAUCAUCAUAUAUCAUAUGUAUCAUCUGUAUCUCAAUAUAUGUAUCUCUGUAAUCAUCAUACACAUAUGCCCUUAAAAGGCAAAAACACCCAAACACACGGCCCAAAACCUUUAUAUGUGUUCAAGCGGGCCCCAAAGGCCUCUCAUCUCAUAUGUAUCACUGUAUCUAGAGGGAAAGGGUAUUGUCUAAUGAUUUUAAAAACAACAUCUUAUACACAUAUAAAUAAACAUAAAAUGACACUUAAAUCUCAUUUCUUUUUCAUGUAACAUACUUUAAAUCUACUUUAUUCUCUUUAAAACCAUUACCAUGCAUUUACUCAAAAAUGAUAAUAAAAUCAUUAAUCAAACUCAUUUUUUAUAAUAAUAAAUAUCAGCAUGUAGACAAAAAUCCAUUUUCUAGAAAGUUAUUAAAUUCGAGUAUUAAAUACUUAUUUAUCAAACAUGUUGUACUGUAUCGUAAAAUCAUAAUAUAUUAUGAAAAUAUGUUUUGUAUAUUCCACUCACAGUGACGAUGUUCGAGCUCGGUAUCGUCAACGUCUGUGGGUUGAUUCUCAUUCAUGGAUCCUCCUAAUAUAAGGAAAUAACAUAAUCCCUCCUAAUAUAAGGAAAUAACAUAAUCAUUCUCCAUAAAUAUGAAAUACAACUAAUUUUAUGCAAUAAAUCUCGAAACGAAUAUAUAUCCGUAAUAAACUAUUCCCGUAUGCAUCAAAUUACCAAAAUACCCCCUGCAUGCUAAAAUUACCAAAAUCCUCCCGAUAUCAAUAUUUACCAAAUUAUCCUCAUAAUCCUAAAUUACCAAGCUGACGUCAAUUCAGAUCACAAUGUUAGAAAUUACGAAAUUACCCUUAGAGUAUAAAAUUACCAAAAUGCCCUUAAUAACAUAAAUGACUGAAUUACCCUCGAAAUCUCAAAUUACCUAACUGCCCUAGUCCAAAAUUACUAAAAUAUCCACCAAUUUUACUCUUUUGAAUAACUAGAGAGUUUCCAUUAUCAGCAUAUGUAACUUCUCCAUCUUCAACAUCCUUUUCGACACUAGGAUUCUCAUGAUCUUCCGCAUUCUCGUCAUCGCUUUCCUCUUCAACAAGGGCAACCACCCUACGAUUAGGACACUCAGAAGCAAUGUGCCCAUAACCAAGCCAUUUAAAACAUUGACGAGAACUAGCAUUCGAACCACUUGCUCGCUGUUUAGAUCCUUCCCCGAUAUCAUUCCUAGUAAUUUUCUUUGCAGUCGAAUUUGAACCAGAAUUAUGCUUAGAAACGGAGUCACUCCCUCGAUUGACAUCACAAACUGUGAACCAAAUACCCCCACCACGAGCAUCCUUUUGUUGCUUUUCCACCUUAAGAGCAAGCCUGCAUACAUCACUAUAAGUCCAAUAUGGUUGGAGCUGGACCACAUUACCAAUCUCAGGUUUUAAACCACCCAGAUAGCGUGCGAUCGUAUGCUCUUCCGCCUCUACCAAAUCACACUUCAUCAUUAGGUUGUCGAACUCUGCUGUAUAGUCUUCCACUGACAAUUCCUUUUGCUUGAAGUUGUGGAACUUAAGGUAGAUAUCUUGCCUGUAGUUAUCGGGCAAAAACUUUCUCUUAAGCUCUUUUUUCAUUUUCUCCCAAGUAACAAUUUUCCUCCGUCCCUCUCGUUCCCUUUGCCUCUUAAGAUUUUCCCACCAUAAAGAAGCAUACUUUUUAAGUUUAAUGGCAAUGAGUUUCACUUUGCGAUCUUCAGGCACAUCUCUGUAUUCAAAAAUGCGUUCAACAGUAUCAAGCCAAUCAACAAACUCUUCUGGUUGCAUUCUUCCUUCAAAUUCAGGAAUUUCGACCUUGAAGUCGAAAGGCUGAUAAAAAUCGCGACGCCUAUGAAUUCGAGAACGAGAAGAGAAUUCACUAUUGGAGCUUUGUUCUUGAUGGAAGGGAUUAUAAUCUACCCCGUCAUUGAUUGAGCCUUCUUCUUCCGAACUACCAUUAGGAGCAGCUUCUCGAGUUCCUUCAAGGUGUUGUAAUCGUUGCUGAAGCUAUUCUACUUGUCUUCUAAGAUCAUCCCUUUCUAUAUCACCCAAGUCCCUCUCACGAACAGGAGGCUCUUCAACUCUUGCAUUACGCCGACGUCGUUGGGCCAUAAAUUUUCAGAACCCAAUGCUCUGAUACCAAAUUUGACACCGGACACAAUAGAUGAGAAAACACAAUGUCACACACCCAAGAAAUCACAAGCUCACCACCACAGCAAACAACAAAAGGAUACAGAAAAAUUCACCACCUAAAGUUGUUAAGCUAAGGAUACAGGGCUUGAAAAUACUCACCACUCAAUGGAAUCCACCAAAGAGAUACAGAGUUUGAUAAUAACUCAAAGUUCAUCUAAUUCCCAAAAUUAAUCUCCGUCCUUUGGUUACAACUACAUAAGCUUAAAUAGCUUUCUUGGAACAAUCCUCCAAGCAUAGAUUUACUACAAAGAAACCCUUCAAAUAAAUUGACUUUAAAGACCAACAUUAAAGCUAGACAUUAAUAAAACAUUGGUAUGCUUAAAACAUAACAAAGAACAUUAAAAAAAAAAAAUCCAAGUCCCGAAAUAUUCUUCUUGACUCAAAACUGAACAGUCUUCACUUAACUGAUCAUAACUUACUGUAUAAAACUCCAAAUUUAGAUUAGUAAAAUUCAUUGGAAAGCUAACAGAAAUAUCUUUCCAAUGAUGUAUGGCUCGAAAAUUAAUUCGAUCUCAUGCAGUACAGUUUAAUUCCCAAAGAUGCCCCUUCUGCACAGAAAUUCUGCUUACUUGAUUAAUGUAAGAACUUGAGCUGCACUUGGUAUAACUUGAUUACCAAAUAUUUCAAACACUCCUGUGUUAUAUAAUGAUGCUCUUGAGUCUGGUAUUGUGGAGGUGACGAAUUUUCCAAAGAAAUUGUUACAUUGUUUACAAUGGGGCUUGCAAAAUCUCAGGUUUGAGCAUAAUCCAAACUUUCUCUUUGUGAUGUUAUGGUUGAAAAGAAAAAAGAAUGAAACAAUAUUGGUUGAAAAAAAUAAAAUACUUUGGUCACUCUUAGACACUAUUUUACCACUAAGGUCCCUGGUAAAAUUUUAAUAUCUUAUUUCAUACUAGUAUUGGUAUAAAAGUAUAGAAAAAAACACAUUGUUGAAAGUUAAACGUCACAUUUUAACAAAUAGAUUAAAUAACUUUAAUUUGCAUUGAUCUAAAAUAAUCAUGUUUUAUGUGAAAAUGUACAUGGAAUAUUUAUUCUGGUAUUGUUUUCAGGGAGCAAAGUAUUACAUAUUCCCCUUUCGAGAAAACUGCCGAUUCUUUCGCAUAGGAGAGUGACUUUAUUCUUUUGUGUAUAUCAUUUCAAAUAAUGCAUAUAGAUUGAACCCUUUGCAGUGCUUUUGGUCAGAACCUCCAAACAAGCACCGAUAUCUGGGAAAACGUUUUUGCAAUUUGCAUGACGAACCUUGGUGUGGUGCUGUUUGUCUUUUUAAUUGGGAAGAUGCAGGUUCGUAUACAUUUUCUAUUUCUUAUAUCUGAAUUAACCUCAAUUCCAAAUGUUAUAAUUAAUAUUGAAGUACAUUUGAAAUUAAUGGAUUGUAACUGCAGUCGGACACAGCAAGAUCACAUAAGAUAAAAAAGAAGUGGAAGGAGAUAAAGCAGUGGCCGAAUUUUGGGGAAAUUUUUUCUGAUGUAAAAGAGCAGAUGAGGACAUACAAGCGAGAGAAAUGGGAAGAAACCAAGCGUGUUGAUGUUGAUAAUUUGGUGAAUGAUCUUCCCCACGAACUUGGCAUCAAAAUAAAGCGCAGACUCUGCAUUAAACUAAUCAAGAAUGUGAGUUCCUAUUACUACUUGUUUAUCCAGUAAUAAGUCACUUCUUUUUGUUAAACAAAAAAAAAAAAGGUUAGGCAAAGUACAAAGAGAACUGCUGAAAUUACCACUCAGCCAAAGCUCUAGGAGCAACAAUUACAACGAGUUCAUUGCCACAAAAUUGCCACUCCUUGUUUAUUACAAGAAAUUGAAACAACAUUUGUUAUAUUCCGGUACCCUUAUUAAUCGUUUGAAUGCAUCUAGUGUAAUUCUCAUUUUUUGGUCUGUACCUAUCUAUGUAUACAGGUAAAAGAGUUCGAAAAUUGGAGCGAAAAAUCAAUGGGGUAUCUGUGUGAAUUUCUGAAGCCAGUCCUUUUUAUUGAGCGUACACGCAUUAUUCGGGAGGGAGACCCAAUUGAUGAGAUGCUAUUUGUGCUGAAAGGCAAUCUCUGGACUUACACUUCCAGGAAUGUAGCAACAACUAGCAGCAAUAGUAGUCGUUGUAGAGAGAAUCGUUUGAAAGAUGGUGACUUUUUUGGAGAAGAACUUAUUGCUUGGGCUCAGAAUGAGCACCCUUCCAAUUUGCCUAUCUCAGCCAGAACUAUUCAAGCGCUUAGCGAGGUUGAAGCCUUUGUUCUUAUGGCAGAUGACUUGAAACAUGUAUUAUCACUCAGACAUUGUGACCGGGCAGCUCUUUUGUUACAAUCACGCUGGCGUUUCAGAAAGCUUUUGCGUGAUAGGAGGGCUAAGCAAAAAUCAAUCUUGAGAAAAGUGCGGAAUUGGGCAGUAGAACUACUGACUGUAGAAUAACAAUUUGAGACUGGAUUUGAAAUUAUUAUUUGUAUGAAUACUACAAAAAUGAAAAUAGGUGGUAAAAGCUGAAAAAUUAAGGGGAAAAUUGUCAAUCUCCCCGGUUUGAUUAUGCAGUCAACAAGAUCAGAGACAUUAAUCGCCAAGUUCGAUUUGGAAAUUUUAUCCAACCAAUGGUACCUUUUUUUUUUUUUUCCCUGAAUCAAGGACUUCACGCUUCGUUGAUGAGGAUACCAUUCCUAAAAUUAAAAGAUAUUGAUCACUACUAUCUCAAACAACAAUUAAUUAUACAUUGGCAGCACGCAAAAAUGAGCGACAAACUUCUUCAUUAACUAAUCUAUAUGAACAACUGCAUUUCUAAGCAUAUAUAUGAUCAUUGCAGAUGAAAAUAGUUUAAAGUGGCGAUAGAAGAACCGAUAGAUCACAGUUGAGAGAGUGAAGCAGAUCAUCAGGGGGCAAUCCUAAGUGUGUCACGUGGGUAGAGUGAUGUUUUGCGAAUGUUGUUGAGAUCGCAGAAAAUCAUCACCACACUCUCCAAUCCCACUUCAAAUCCACUAUGUCUCGAAAGGAAUCCAAUGAUAACAUAAUGCUAACAGUUUUUAGAGGACCAAACUAUUUUUCUAUUUGCGUACAAAUGGACAGCGGUUUCAGAAUAACCUUAGGAUUGCCAAGUUUAACCAGAGAGCAUGGAAAAACCUAAGCCAGAUCAAAAUUCAAUACCACUAUGGAGGAUGUGCAUGGAUUAAUGUUAAAUACUAUAUUCAAUUUGAACGAUAAACACAGUAAAAAUAAAAAUUAUUAGAUUCCAUCUUCUAUCCUAUAAUUUUUAAUUCUUGUACUUCUUUUUCUGGGAAUCAGAUUUUUCUUAUACAGAACGUGAACCAACAAAAGACAAAUUUUGUGGUAUUUGAUAAAAGCAACUUCCAAAAUAUACCAUAACCACACCCAAUUAUUUUUUGUAUAAUAUCUAAGCUUUUAUAGACAUAGAUCGAGCCGUUAUGCUCUCAGCAUAAUAGGCUUGCGGCACUUGAUCAAAUGAGAAAAAUCCGGGUAACAAUACCUGAAAGAUUCAAAGAUAUUUUCUUUACAUCAAUGCCACCUGCCUGUGCACGCUCCACCAAGAACCCUGGCAUAUCAAUACGUUGAGCACCUGAAAUUAUCUCUUCACCUAAAGAGGAGGAACAGAUGCUCAAAAAUCCGGUCAAAUGAACAAUCACAUGAUAUUUUCAUCCAACAAGUAUGAAGGGUUGCAAUGAAAAGAAAAAUGAAACCCGACAGAAAAUUCUUCAACACAAGGAUUUUAAAUGUGGUUAUCAUUAUUAUUAAGCAGUCAACCUAAUACAACCUUCAACCAGAGGUGAAUUCAUUUAUGCCAGUCACAUGACCACUCCUAUCAACACCACUGAAAAAAAAGCGCAUCCUCUUUAUUUAUAAAUGAAGUUUUGUUCCUGCUUUAUUUCACCAUUCAUUUUCAUCUCAUACAAGACCAAUUUAUUGGAAUACAACAUACCUCGAUUAAACUGAAAGAGGAUUAAGAAAAUUUAAAAAAUGAAAACUUCGAGACAAUACGAGUAGUAUCAUGAUAAACUUAACUCUAGAUGGACAGCCAUUUUUUAAUCGUAAGUAAUGAAACAAAUGUAGAUCGAGAUUUCCGGAAAACAACACCACAAAUACAAGUAUAUGUGCAUCCAAAAUGAAGAAGAAAUGUUUCAGCCUCACACAUUACCUCGAAUAAAGACAUCAAAUUAGUUUCUGUGAAGAGCAUUGUCAGAAGGGGGCGCCUAACAGCCCAAGGAUAACGAUGGAGUAUAUAAAAUUCGGCAUUGAUGAUAUACAUAGAAAUUUAAGCUUAAAAAUGAGAAAACACUUAUCAUGAGCUAAGAGCAAUGAGGCUCUUAAUUUUUUCAAAAUUUGAAACUAAUAAUAGAUGUAUGUUAUACAAACAAAUUCAGACUUCAAUAUUUGUAAGAAAAAUCAAGUCAGUAAAUAUGCAACCUACUUAUCUCUGUUCCAUAGGUUGGUUGUCUUUUUUUUUUUUUUUUUAAUGUUCAGAAUCGAUUAAAAAUUAUUUUAAUUCGAGUUCUUUCUAAUUUGAUUUUUUGAUUCCAUUGUGAAAUUCAAUUUUCUUAUUUAAUUUUAUUCCGAUCCUAUCUACCCAUUCGAAUUUUGGUUGCUUAAUUGUUCAGAAUGUUGGAGUUGAGAUUGAUCCUCUUGAAGACUUUAAUACUGAGGCAGAGAGGAAGUUGAUCCAACUAUUUUCCUACGAUUCUUGGGAACAGGAGAUACUACUUUUAAAGCAUCCAAUCUACUAAAUGAUUCCAGGCUUCCAGCACGCUAGUGUUAUCCUUAAAAAUCAUCUAAUUAUUUAUUCAUACACUAAUCUAAAUAAUGGCGUGAUAAAUCAGAAACCUUUCUUCAUGAAACAUGAACUGAGGGGAUGAAAGAAAUUAAGUUAUCUUGAGCAUUUGAAUCCCUUUUUCAAAUCUAAGACGAAGAGUCAACAUUUAGAAAAUGACACAAUCAGGUUCAAGAAUAGAGAAAAGCUGAGGUGAUAUAUAAUUUUCCAUAUUCCAAAUAUAUCUAAACUAUACAAGCACUUCAAAAAUGAUAAUGAUAACAGAAUUUUAAGAACAAAUCAAAAUAAAUAAUGACCUUCAGAGGUUCAAACGGACACUGACUCGCCACAGCUUCAACUUCCUUUUUGCACCUCUCAUUCAAACCAUCAAAAAUUGUGACAAAUAAGGGGUCCACAAUAUCCAUCACCUGUAUUCAGGUGUCAUUGAAAAAUCAACCAAUAAAACCCUCCGGCUAUACCACCAAAUAAUGCUUCUUAAUCUCCAUUUCAACAUCAAGACCGGUAAAUUAACGCACACAAAUGCCUAUGAGUGUACGAGUCCUCUGGUCUAAAAACAGAACCGGUCUCAAAAACCCGCCCAAAAUCACCUCAUACCGACAUUUGCUUGUGACCUUCACUUGAGCCAGCUAUCAGUUUUGGCAUGUGGAUCUCAACAAAAUCCUCAGAAAACAAGAAUUGUCUGAAUAUCUUUACAUUGAUGCAAUCAUUUAAGGACCAGAAUCAUCAGCUCAGAAAUACAAGACAAAGUUAUACAUCUUCAAACCAAACGCAAUGAAAACUAAGUUUAACUUCUCCAGCAUGCAAUUAGAUUCAAGGAAACUCCAGGUUACCUUUGCCAUCUCACUACAAAUAAAAAUUCUAAUUAUUAGAUUAACCAGGAUGCUGAAUGCAGUGUGUUAGGUGUUCGAGAAAAUGCCAAGGUACACCAUCAGCUAGAAUCGAAGCAUCCAGCAGGGCAAUGACAUGUCACAAAGUCAGAGAUGUUGCUGAGUCAUUGUGAUGAUUCAGCAGGUCUCUGAAGAACAAUCUAGAUAGUUAAGUGCCAAGGAUGAGGCAUGGCAUAAGACAAAUAUCCGCUGACACAGUGCAAGGACAUUCGAUACAACCAGUAGAUUCAAGUGAUAUCAGCCGUUAGAUCAUUAGCGACAGCUGUAACUGUACCGAGAAAAGCUUGUAAAGCACGCAUGCAAUUUUCGUUUAUUGUGACAUCAAAUCAAUAACAAGUAUGCGGUGCCAAGUUUCAAAUUUAUUGUUAAUUCUAUAUCAAUAGCUUUAGUUCUUAUUUAUUUUCUCUCUAAUAAAUGGGUACCACAAAGGCACAAACCUUCGGAGGAGAAGCUGAAUGAAUGAUAAUAUAAGCAUCCAUAACCAAGGAAGUAAAAAUUUACAUUCCUAACUUGACUCUCAAUACUGAAAAUAUGAUAUCUGUACGAGUAUUUUAUUCUCAGUUCUGAGUAUAUAAUUAAGGAUUACUUCCGAAUCCGGACAAAAAUGGAAAAGGAUUAUGCAUUUGUUGAAAGAAGCUGCUUUGCAGGAAACAUCUGCUCACGGAUCCCUGAAUUCCCAUUAUUUUUCAAUUUGUUUCCAUUUAAUUUUCAAUCUCGACUAAGUCUAAAGACUUUGGAUGACUAUGAUUGCACCAAGUCAAAGUCUUUGUGGCGUAAAGUCAACCAUUAAGAGAAAGUCUCUGGGGUGCUGCCGCAACAUAAAAAUUUAGAACCCCAACUCAAGGCCUUACUCAUAUUCCAAUCCAAGCUGGUUAAUGGGUUAAGGUUACUUAAACAUUUUAUAUUUUUGUCUAUUCUUAGAUAAUGUUGAAUAUUAUAUAUAUACGAAAAUUUGUGUCUAUUCUUAGACAAAUUCUUGGCGGGAAUUUAACAAACUUCAAGUCUAAUAACACUUUGCAUAACAGCAUGACAGCUUGGCAGUUGACUAAGCACUCUGCUUACAUGGCAAUCUGACUCAGCAGUUUACAUAGCAAUUUGGCUCAACAUAUAUACUCUUAACAGAACCAAAUAAAUAUUAACACGCGUCUCGGCGCAUACCUUGCAUAUCAUCACAUUUAUAUAUGUACGAUGAUAUCACCGCCACCUAAAUUUCUCAUUUAUUAUAUUUGAUUAUUUUCUUUUUUAUUUCAUUGAUUUUCUCGUAUAAAAGUAGAUUUACUACGAUUUACCAUUUUGUUGUUGUGCAAUGGUCACCCUUUUUGUUUGAGCUGCCUAUUGAUGUAUUGCUUUUAGAAAAACUCUCAGAAUAGCUUUACAUUAUACUUUUCUAAUUUGCAAUGAAUGCAUCCAGGAGUAUAGGAAAGAAAGAAAUAAAGGGGGGAAAAAAAAAGGAAAGAAAGAAAUACUCCCCGUGUAUCACCUAAACUAGUUUUAAAACUUCUUGAAUUGGACAAGAAUAAGUUGGCUGACAAGCUUUCCUAACUUCUCACAACUUUUAUUAUUGUUACCUUAUAUUUUCAUAAUCGUUAGAUUUUUAUACUUGAAUUGGUACCAAUCUCUCUUUUAUCAAAUUUAAACAGAGAUAAUUGAUUGAAUGACUCAGUCACCUUCGUCCAAAGGAAUUUUUCUUAUCUACAACGUUCUUAUUUGCUCAAACAGAUGGAAUCCAGAAAACUCAUUCAUUUGAUUCUCUUCAAUUGAAAACUCAUCACUUCCUGCAUGUAAGAGCAAUUUGAGUGCCAUAAAGCCUGUAGUGAAUCUACGUAUUUAGGGAAUAAUUUAAAUAGAAAAGUUAACAUGAAGCUCAUACCCUAAUAAAAAGCUACUCUUAAAAUAACAUGAAUCAAGAAACAGAGCAAAACAGAGUAGCUACUAAGAAGAACACCCAAAUUAACUCCUAAAAUUGACCAAACAUAACAAGCAUCAAAUCAAAGCAUUAAAGCACUAAUCAGAGACUUUACACUAAAUUGUUUGUUUUAAAAUAAUGGGAUUUCAAGAUUAUACUUAAAAAGACCUCUUUUUUUUUCUUUUUUUUUUGGGAAGAGAAAAAUCAUCUGCAUGGUUGAAGGAUCAGAAGCUCAUGGAUGGAACCAAUUUGCUUCAUUAAACCCAAAACGGUGUUUCCCGAAGUCGUUUCACCAUGCAAUACCAUCCAGUACGCAUCAAACGGCCGCAACUCAUGUCGUUUAGCUUAAGUGUCUUAAGCCCAAAAGGCGACACUCGAUGUCGUUUUGCUUAUUUCUGAUUUGCUUCACCCGUCACACAACAUGCAGUGUAGAUGAUGUUUUAACUUUUGAAUUUUAUAUGAUUUUAUUUUGUCUUCUUAAAAGAUAUCUUUUAGAACUGAAGGGCACUUUCGAUGUUUCUUAUUUAUUUUACAGUGACCUCUUCUGGCUCUUUCUGCUGAGGGAGGGUACAAACAAUGAAUCAUCAUCAGAUUAAUCAAAAUAUAACCCCACUCAUAAAAUAAAAAUUAUAAAACGUCUCUUCAGAUGAUUUGAGUCACACACAUCAACAAUCAGAAAUCGUUAACUAAGUAUACAAUUUCUUUUUGGACUCGUUUUUUCCCCAUUGUUGAUCAUGUAAGUUACUGCUAUAUAUGUUGUUUUGAUGAGUAAUUAAUGAUCAUGGAAUUUACUUAAUUUGUCAACUUAAAUCAAUCAUUUAAACUUUUCCGUAACAAAACCCUGAAUUUAUAUUUUGAUCAGGAAUCAGGAUUCGCAAUUACAGGAAGGUGCAGCAGGGCAAGUUCCUGGAGAACGAAUUAGCAGUGUUUAUGGAACUUUCUCCCUAAUAUUGGCUACAUUUUACUAUUUUUAGCAAUCGUCCUUAUAAGUGCAUUGAAAUGGACAAAAUUUUGGGAAACAAUGCAGUUUUUUUUCGUUCUGUGUUUGAUUUGCUCAAGAUACUUAAUUCAUUUUACCUUUGAGUUGCGUAAUUAUCAAUUUCGUUUUGAAGGAAGGAAAAGUUUGCGGCGCUAGCUGCUCUUCUACAUUGACAUUUUGGCCGCUGAUCUUCCCCUCCCUCAGGUAAGUCACAUCACGUAUUAUUAAUUUUAUCUUAAACCUUUAUAGUUUAUCGAACUGAAUGUGGUUAUUUAAUUACUUUGAUUUUCUCACACUUGAUUAUUCCAGGUGCUGGUGAUCUCUCAAAGAAUGAGAGGCACAGAGUUUUUGUAUGCAAUGAUAUUCUCACUUCUUCUUUUUUUUUAUAUUAAUCACGAGGUAUCCUGGGGAGGGCCCCAACUGUGGGAGGCACCUUUAAGCCCGUACCACAACCCAGACUAGAAGUCCCCGCUCGAACCGGGAGGCACAGGUUCUCCCAACAAAGGCGACUUCCCUGCGACUCGAACUGGGGAGCAAACCCAGUCAAGACACUUAAGGGGACUCCAUUACUAGUGGAGCCAACACUUUGUUGGUAUGAUAUUCUCACUUCUUAAUAUUUGCUAAGGGUUAUUCGAGCAUACAGCGUGUUUUCGGAGGCAACAUUGGGCUCAGAAAUACUCGCUGAAGCUACAUGGGCCAUUAUUGGCUUCAAUAUUCUUCUGUACAAGAAAGGAGGUCAUGUAAGUUGAUAAAGCACCAUUCAUGUAAGUCCAUUUAUAUUGACUUAUAUGCACAAGCCUAUAAUACAAACAGCAUUAUUGUAAUACAAAUUUGUUUAGAAAUCCAUGGCCUAUAAUACACCAUUUAUGUCCUAGACUUACUUGUCAACCUUGCAAAAUUUUUGUGCUUGGCAACUGGUUUUGUUGAUGUCGUAAUCUGGAUGAGUUGGUUAGUGACUCGAUCUUAGAUCCCUACAUCAGCAUUAAAUUUGUUUGGUGGGAAGCUGCUAGUUGAUCUCCAAGAAGAUCCUCCGACUAUGAGCAGAACAUUCAUGAGUUGUUGAUCAGUGAGCACCGAGAGCAAAUAAUUGAUGAGCAGACGACCAAUGAGCAGAUGAUCCAUGAGUAGAUAAUCCGCGAGCCUGCGAGCACAAAGAACAGUCAGGGGGGGCGGAAGAUUUCCAACGUAAACCCUCCGACACUCAAGUCAGCGAUUUGGGUCUACUUGGAAAAACUCAUACCACAAUUCACAUGGUUUAACUAUGAUUGUUUUAAACAAAAAGCUUUUAAGUAAAUUUAAAAGAAAAUAAUUGAAAAUAAUUAAUCUUAAAGAAAUCAUAAGCAAAAGAGAAAUUUCCUAAUGGUAGAGAGAGAAAAAGAUUCAAUGGAUUCAAUCACCCAAAGGGAUAGAGGAAAAGAAUCCCCCAUUUUCCCAGGAUUUUUAUAGGAAAUUAUAGCAGUUUUUUCUACAGAGGAUGUAAGUGAGGAAUUUAUGAAACUUUUUGAUAAAAAGAAUUAUCUAGGAUAAGCAAUUGAGCAGAAUUCUUUUACAGUGCAUUUUUGCAAUUCACAUAACCAACGUAGGGGUGGUGCUGUUUGUGUUUUUAAUCGGCAAUAUGCAGUUUGACACAGCAAGAUCACAGAAGAUAAGACAGAAGUGGAAGGAGAUGAAGCAAUGGCCAAAUUUUGAGUAUAUUUCUUCUGAUGUGCGGGGGGCAGUUAAGGAAAUACAAGCUAUACAAAUGGCAAGAAACCAAACGUGUUCGUGUUGAUAAUUUGGUGAAUGAUCUUCCUGACGAACUUGGCAACAAAAUAAAAUGUCUGCAUUAAACUGCUCAAGAAUGUGACGUUGAACUAUUCAAUCACUCAGUGACGUUGAAGCCUUUACUCUUAUGGCUGAUGACUUUAAACAUGUAUUAUCUACCAUUCACACAUUUCGAUCCGGCCGCUCUUUUGUUACAAUCAUACCGGCGUUUUGGGAAGCUUUUACUUGAUAGAAGGAAGGCUAAACAAAGAAAAUAAACAAAGUGGGACAUGUAACAACGACACAAUACAAGAAAAUUUAACGGUACUUGUGACUAAAUCAUUGAUGACAAACUGUUUAUUCUUUAUAUUUACAUGUGAAACCGCAGAAAAGGGCCAAAAUUGUAGUUUGAAAUUUUACAUUUGAUUUUGUCGUCAAUUGAUGAGCUCAUAGCGACAUUAAUUUAUUGAAUGAUAAAAUAAUAAUUUUAUAUUCAGUAAACAUAUGAAAUAUGACUUAAAUUGAAAAUUUGAGAUCUUAAUACAUUGGAGUUACAUUGAGUUGGGAGACGAACUUUGACUCUGAAUGAGACAGCACUUAAUGUGUCAUUUAUUUAUUAAAUUUGUUAAUGGUAUGAUAUUAUCUCAUUACGACAGAAAUAUUAAAUUGCAAUGAGUCUAGUCAAUUGGGAAAACAAUUUGUGCGCGAGUAUUCUCAAUUUCCAAUAUAAAAAUUACAAGACAAAAUUAAAAAGGAGAAUGAUACUUUAUAUCUGUUUAGAAGCCAUUAGUUAUUUGGUCAUAUUCAAAAUUUGUUUUAACCACAUAAGUCCAUGAUAAGGGUUUGCCUACCUUACGUUUAACGUAAGGUGCAUCUCUUCCCAUUGCUGUAGAGAAGACUGUACCUUACGUUAAACAUAAGGUAGCAGCUCCCCAUAAUAAAAGUUAUAAGACAAAAUUAAAAAGGAGAAUGAUACUUUAUACUUGUUUAGAAGCCAUUGGAUGUUUUGGUCAUAUUCAAAACCUGUUUUAACCACGUAAGUUCAUGACAAAAGUUACAAGACAAAAUUAAAAAGGAGAAUGAUACUUUAUACCUGUUUAGAAGCCAUUGGAUAUUUUGGUCAUAUUCAAAACAUGUUUUAACCGCGUACGUAAGUCCAUGAUAAAAGUUUAAAAUACCUUUUGUGGAAAGGAUAAGUAUGAUAUUUUUAAUAAAUAAAUAAAUAAAUAGAUCUAUUAAGUAAAUAUAUAUUUUUUUGAUACAUUGAUAUAUUACAAUUUUGAUAUUUAUAAUUAGAAAUCCAUCGGAACUUAUCUUGAAUAAUCUUAUUACAGCACAACUCGAAUAUCAAUCCUCACUAAAUUAGAGAAAUAUUUACCUUCACUAUUAAUUUAUACUCGGAGGCAAGUCCUAGCGCUGACCCUGCGCUGGGACUUGAAUCCAUGCCCUCAAGGUUGUUGAGGGCAUAGGCGUGCCAAUGGAUUACAGGCCCAUUGGCUAGAUUUAUUUAAUAAAUAGAUUAGGUGGAUAAUUUAGUGAGUUCAAAUAAUUUCGAUUAAUGUAUACCCGAAGAGUGAAGCUAUUGGCACCCUUCAUUAUAAAACUCCACUUUAAAUAAAAUUACAUUUAAGGACAAAUAAGAUUUAAACACACUUAAAAAUUUUCGCAACAAAUUACUUUCAUAAUCAAAUUUUUUUUUUGCAUUCAUAAUCAAUUCAUUUUUUCUUUUUAUUUUUUACUUGUCACUUCUCUCUAAUUAAAAUAAAUUACAAAAAUUUAGAAUAAUUUAUUUUUCUUUUCUUAUUUCUUAAUAAUAGAGAAUUUUUAUACCUAAUACUUUCAAAUUAUAAUUUAAAAUGUGUCAUAUCUAUAACAUAAUACUGUUAUGAGUUUUAAUAAUAUACAAAUUCAAUUAAAAACUAAAAUAAUGCAUUUAAAAGGGAAAAAAAGGACGUUUUUGAAAUUAAAUACAAAUAUUCCAAUUGUUACUGUGAAAAUGUGAUAUUUUCAGCACUAGAGCUACCACUUUAUUGCUUAUCGGAUCCGAAAGGAACUGAUGUGGUCCAAUCGUGUUCGGAUCGGAUUGGUUGCCGUCAUAAUCUGAUCACAUUUAGGUAACUUUUCAGUUUUGUCGAGGAGAAAGGCUGUCAAUUAUGUCUACCUAAGAAAGACGUCACAUAGAUGAUGUAAUCAGAUUUUAUCAUGCGUUUGUUCCUCUUCAAUCGAGAACUUGUCACAUCCUGCCUGUAAAAGUUUUUUUUUUUUUUUGAUAAGCUGUAAAAUGUGUUUCAGUGUUUGUGAAUCUACAAUUAUUUUUUAAGGGCUUAUUGGAACCGCUGAACCACAAGUUACAAUAAUUUUUUAUUAUUUAUUGUGUGUGGUUGAAAUUUAUAUUUCACCGUAAAUUAAUUUUUAUAUAGUUAUUGUCUUAUUUUUAAGGGAGUAAUAUAAAUAGAAACUAAUGCAAAGCUACAUUUACUAUUUGAACAAAAUUAACAUGAAUUAAAAAAAAGGGGCAGCUGCAACUAAUAUCAUUAAAUCAAAGGAUUGAAUUACUAACUAGAGAUUUUAAACAAAACUGUUUGGUUUAAAAUUAUGGGAAUUUGAGAUUACACUUACAGUUUUCAUUUUUAUUUUAUUUUUAUUUUUUUGAAGAGAAGAAAGAAAAAAGAUCAGCUAUAUGAUUAAUGAAAGAGCACAUGGUUAUGCCUGGAAGAAGGGAGGUGGGGGGUGAAGAGUAAUUGGAGUCAGUUAUGUCAGGGCCGACUCAAUUAUAUUUAGGGUUUUAAGCAAAUAGUUUUAAUUAGUUCUUCUUGAAAUUUAGGAUAAAAAAUAUAUAUAUUAGUUAUAUAUUAUUUAUUGAAUAUCAUUUCUUUAAACACUCUAAAAUGUAAAAUUAUUAAAUAAAAUUAUAUUCUACUAUUGCUAAUUCAUGGAAUUUUAAUUCAAUUAUAACAUUUUCACUUAUUGUUUUUUAACUCAAAUCACAUCUUUUUUACUACUCCUUUUCUAGAUUAAACUAAUUUUUCUAUUCUUCUAUUUUCUAAAGUUUUUUGAUAUAAUUUUAUUUCAAAAUAGAUAAAACAAGCACAAAAAAAAAAAUAGUAGAUGAAUAAAAUAAUAUAUUAAAAAGAAAUAAGAAUAAAUAAAUAACACAACUAAUUAAAAGAAUGAUAAAAGGAUAAAAUCAGGAAUUUGAGAUGAAAUCAUAAAUUAACUUUAUCUUUAUAUUAAUUGUUUGAGAAAUUGAGUAAUGACCAAUAACCAUAGAGAAUAGAGAAAACUAUUAGAUUUUUUUUUUCUUGAGUGGAAAGUAGAGGAAGCAAGAUUUUUUUCCCUCUCUCUUUCUUUCUCUCAAAUACCAAGAACAUAUCUUGUCUUGAUUGUUGGAAGAAAAAUUUAAUGGAUAAGUGAUAAAAUGUGGGGCUUUUAUAGAGGUUUAAAAUGAAUAUAACACUUUUUAAUUAUAACAUAUUAAUUCUAACAAUAAAAUAGAGAAUUUGUAGGAUUGAAACUAUUAAUUUAUCGGUUUUGUAGGAAUUAAAACUAUUAAGUACUAUAUUAAAUAAACUUUAUAAGAAUUUGAUAUUUUAUUUAGAAAAAGAUCAUUAUAAAAUAAUAAUAAAUUAAAUGAAUAAGAAUGACUUUUAAAUUCAUUUUUCCCUUUUACAUACAAAAUAAUCAUCUCAUGAGGUCUUCAUGUAAAGUGGGGCCCUAAGCAACCACCUAAAUUGCCUAGAGGUCGAGCCACUAUUGAGUUAUGUAACGAACCGCCGGAGCAUUGAUCGGCGUGUAUUAUAUCAAACUGCUAACAUGUAUGAAACAGUCUUAGAGUGCAAAUAAGAGAAUAGAAAUGGUCAUAAUACAGGAACAUUUGUUGGUUCGAAGGAGCAACAAUUAGGAAUGGCUAUUUAUUUAAAAUAUGAAGUGGAAAAUUGAAUUAACUUAUUUGAAAUAGAAAUGGUCACAUGAAAAUUUUGAAUUAAUUUAUUGAAAUAGGAUCCUACAAAUGAAGUGUUUUAAUUUCGUAAUUUAUUAUUAUUAUUGUUAUUUUGUUUUUAAAUAUUAAAAAAAUUAAGUUUAUAAUACUCUAAGCAAAUUCCACAUUGACAAAGUACGAGAGAGAUGUUGAGUUUAUAAGGAGUGAUUUACACCUUAAGACGUAUUUUGGAGUGUAUGGGCGCCCCGGAAACAAACUCAUGCGGGCCUUGUUAAGAGCCAAAGCGAAUGUAACACCCUAGGCAAAUCCCUCAUCGGUAAAGUAUGAGAGAAAUACUGAAUUUAUAAGGGGUGAUUCACACCUUAAGAAGCAUUUUAGGAUAUAUGAGUAUCCCAAAAAUAAAUCUAUGCGGGCCUUAUUAAGGAUUAAAACGGACAAUAUAUUAUCAAAUCUAAGUUAGAUCACGACGGAAUUCGUUUUAGUUUCUAGCGGACAUCCGAUUCAUCGUAAUAAACGUGCCCUUGUCCAUAUAUAAAUUGCAUUUGCCUAUGAAUUCUUCAAUAAUUGAAAAAGAUGGGUGCUUGUGGGACACUCAUUUAUGAUACAAUUUAGGAAUAAGAACUUAGUGACGCAACCAUUACUAACAGCCUCUUUUUUGGAGGUACUCGGAUGGCUAUUAUUGCCAUUUAAAAGAUAACAUAAAUUUUGUAGAUUGCCAGCUAUGGCCGAGCUUUUUUUUUUUUUUUUUGAGAAAAGAAGAAAAAUAGCCAUUUGAAAGAUAACAUAAAUUUUGUAGAUAGCUAGUUAUGUUUGAGUUUUCAAUUUUUUUUGAGAAAAAAAGAUACUUAUGUCUUUGAGAUUUAGAAAAAUGAUCACAUAAAUUCUCAAAUUUUUAAUAAGAUAAAUCCAGACCUCUUUUUAUUAUAAUAUUUUUUAAUUCUAUAACUAAAAAAAAAUUGACUAUAAUAUUUUAUAAUAAAAAAAUAUAAGUGUAAUGAUCCGCCCCGAAUCUCUAGGACGAGUUUAUAUAAUCUCGCCAACCGAAUUAAUAAUAAUCUAAUAUCUAGAAUUCUACCAAAAAUUUGGCAGUCUCCUAUAUAAUUAUGAUAUUCUCAAACCUGCAAUUUUUUAAAUUUAACACUCCUAAAAAAUGAUAAAAUAUUCAAUCAACCUCCACAACUAACUUUCUCAUUCAAAUACCAGUAUCCUUUAAAUAUAUAAUGUCAAGAAUAUAAUAAUUUAUCUUUAAUCACAAAUAAGUAAUAAAUUAUACAAUUCAAAAUAUCCCAACAAAACAUCUAUGAUUCCUAACAUCAUCACGUGGCCAUAAUUCUAAAUUUAAUUAUAGUUGCUGGAUCGAUUGAUGUACCUCCAAAUCUAAUGUGGGAGAGGGGGGAAUAUAAAAAAAAAGGAAUGAGUAUAAAACUCACUCAAUUAAAAACUCUAUAACAUAAUACUAUUUUUAGUUUUAAUAAUAUACAAAUUCAAUUAAAAACUAAAAUAAUGCAUUUAAAAGGGGAAAAAAGGACGUUUUUGAAAUUAAAUAUAAAUAUUCCAAUUGUUACUGUGAAAAUGUGAUAUUUUCAGCACGAGGGCUGCCACUUUAUUGCUUAUCCGAUCGGAAAGGAGCUAAUGUGGUCCAACCGUGUUCGGGUCGGAUUGGUUGCCGUCGUAAUCCGAUCAGAUUUAGGUAACUUUUCAGUUUUGUCGAGGAGAAAGGCUGUCAAUUAUGUCUCCCUAAGAAAGACGUCACAUGGAUGAUGUAAUCAGAUUUUAUCAUGCGUUUGUUCCUCUUCAAUCGAGAACUUGUCACAUCCUGCCUGUAAAGUUUUUUUUUUUUUUUUUUUUGAUAAGCUGUAAUAUGUAUUUGACUGUUUGUGAAUCUACAAUUUUUUUUAAGGACUUGUUAGAACCGUUGAAUCACAUAAUUAAAGUUAUAAUAAUUUUUUUAUUAUUUAUUGUAUACGGUUGAGAUUUGUGCUCCCGUAAAUCAACUUCUAUGUAGUUAUUGUCUUAUUUUUAAGGGAAUAAUAUAAAUAGAAGGGUAAUGUUAAGUUACAUGCAUGUACCUUACAUCCCUCUCACAUGAAUAGUGUAUGAAUACUAUUCAUGUGAGAGGGAUGUAAGGUACAUGCAUGUAACUUAGAGGGAUCCUAAAUAGAAACUAAUACAAAGCUACAGUUACUAUUUGAACAAAAUUAACAUGAAUUAAAAAAAAGGGCAGCUGCAACUAAUAUCAUUAAAUCAAAGGAUUGAAGUACUAACUAGAGAUUUUAAACAAAACUGUUUGGCUUAAAAUUAUGGGAAUUUGAGAUUACACUUACAGUUUUCAUUUUUAUUUUUUUUGAAGAGAAGAAAGAAAAAAGAUCAGCUAUAUGAUUAAUGAAAGAGCACAUGGUUAUGCAUGGAAGGCGGGAGGUGGGGGGGGGGGGGGGGGUGAUGAGUAAUUGGAGUGAGUUAUGUAACGGACCACCGGAGCAUUGAUCGGCGUGUAUUGUAUUAAACUGCGAACGGGUAUGAAACAAUCUUAGAGUGCAAAUAAGAGAAUAGAAAUGGUCAUAGUACAGGAACAUUUGUUGGUUCGAAGGAGCAACAAUUAGGAAUGGCUAUUUAUUUAAAAUAUGAAGUGGAAAAUUGAAUUAAUUUAUUUGAAAUAGAAAUUGUCACAAGAAAAUUUUGAAUUAAUUUCUUGAAAUAGGAUCCUACAAAUGAAGUGUUUUAAUUUUGUAAUUUAUUAUUAUUAUUGUUAUUUUGUUUUUAAAUAUUUAAAAAAAUUGAGUUUGUAACACCUUAGCCAAAUCCCACAUCGACAAAGUACGAAAGAAAUUCUGAGUUUAUAAGGAGUGAUUUACACCUUAAGACGCAUUUUGGAGUGUAUGGGCGUCCCAGAAACAAACUCAUGCGGGCUUUAUUAAGAGCCAAAGCGGACAAUAUCUUGUAAGGUCUAAGUUGAGUUAUGACAUUAUGGUAUCAGAGCGGCUCCGCGUGUCCUCAUGAGUGAUGGUGGGGCAAACUUCAACGAGGACGCUAAGUCCCUAGGGAGAGUGUAUGUAACACCCUAGGCAAAUUCCUUAUCGACAAAACACGAGAAAGAUACUGGGUUUAUAAGAGAUGAUCCACACCUUAAAAUGUGUUUUAUGGUGAAUGGGCGCCUCAUAAAUAAAUUUAUACGGGUCUUAUUAAGGAUUAAAGCAAACAAUAUCCUAUUAAGUUUAGGUUAGAUCAUGACAGAAUUCCUUUUAGUUUCUAGCGGACAUCCGAUUCAUCAUAAUAAUCGUACCCUUGUCUAUGAAUUAUAAAUAGUCUAUAAUAAAAAAAAAGUGAGUAUAGUAGUUUUUGAAAAAAAUAAAUUUACUUAAAAUAAUCUAAUUUUUCCCAUAUUAAUUUCAUCAAAAUAUCAUAAGGACUUCUAGUAACUUUUCAGUUUUGUCCAGGAGAAAGGCUGUCAAUUAUGUCUCCGUAAGAAAGACGUCACAUAGAUGAUGUAAUCAGAUUUUAUAAUGCGUUUGUUCCCCUUCAAACGUCACAUAGAUGAUGUAAUCAGAUUUAUCAGGCGUUUGUUCCACUUCAAUCGAGUACUUGUCACAUCCUGAGUGUCUGUGAAUCUACAUUAUUUUUUAAAGAUCCGUUUAUGUUGCAAUCGCUCUAAGAUAGAAUACUCCUUCAUAACUACAUAAUUAAAAAAUAUAGAUUAAUUUCAGAUUUAAAACAAAUGAAGUCUUUGUUUUUAUUUGCAAGACUUUUAUAACACAUUAAUAUGUAACGCUUCAAAUUUCACCGGCGGAUUGGAUACAAAUUUUUUAUCCUUAUACUAAACAUGUGUAGAGUAGUAAGAAACAAGUUAAAAAAUAAUAAAAACACACACUUUGAUGUUGUUAUUUUUAUCUUAAAGUAUUAAAAUUUAUAUUUCUUUUAAUCUUUUAACUUGUCUUUUACGAUAUUAAAAUAAGAAAAUCCUUUGAAAAUAAGAAAAUCCUUACUAAAAGUAAAAGGGGACUUGCAUGUCAUGUGCACAGUGUACAAUAUGUUUCAAAUGUUACUUGAUAGAAAUUACUGAAAGCAUUGUAUCAUUGGAAAACUCUUGCUGCAUGCUACUAAUUUGACAGUUUAUCAAAUAUUUUUUUGCUGCUCGCUACUUAUGAAUCACGUUUAGUCCCCUUUGAAUUGUGUGCAUCCACCAUCUGUUAAAUUUAUCUUUGAAUUUUCUCGCUUCCAUAAGGGACACAAAUAAGAAACAGACAAGGACGUUCAAAUCCCCGAGUUGUAAAAUUUACAAGAUGCAUCGGGUAGAAAAAUCUUGUAGAAACCUCAGCUGAUGAACUCUGUAAAGAAUAUCCUCAUUCAUUCAGCUAACCCGUUGAACCAAAAUGCAAAAUCAUCCUCAAUAAGUACAAGAAACAAAAACUUUACAAGAAUAACUUAUGAAACUUGAUCAAUUUCUGCGGAGACUACAACGUCAUUUCAAUUUGUGAGGUAAUUGCCAUGAUGCUGACUGAAUCUCAUUAAAUUAAUGAAAAUAAUACAACAAAUGGUACGAUAACUCCAAAUCAGCUAUCACAUUAUUAUUUUUAUUUUUAUAAGUAUCACAUUAUGUAUUUGAUUCAAAUAAGAGAACAAAAUUUGCAUUAUUGAUAGAUAUUAUAUUGUUUCUUGAAACUGUCUCUUGACAAAUCGCCCAUUAAUGCAGUCAUUGCUGACAAAACAACUUCGUGAAAAAGUUCACCAAGAUAGCAAGCUGAUAGAGAAAUCAGACAAUGCAAAGCAUGUCAUCCUCACACUUCAAUUUCAGCGAAAAUGGAUAAGCCAUUUUGUUCAACUUUCACCUCCGGAAGUUGAAAAGGACCGGAAGUUGAAAAGGACAUGAAUGCAAUUAUGCAAGUUCUUAUCAAAGAUGCAAUGAAUGACGCCUAAAAUAGGGAUAGCAAUGGCGAGGGGAGGGGAGGGGACGCACUUAUUUAUGAUGUUCUUUAUAUAUCUGUCUCCUCCUCGUCCCUAUUAGAAUGGUUUGAGGGGAUUUUUGUUUCCUCCCUGAAUAAUAAGAGGGGAUUCCUAAGGGAUCUCCGAUCCCUGAAUAACUGAUACAUUUUUUAUUUCUGAACUUAAUUUAAUAAUAUUAAAAUAAAAUUUUAAACAAAGGUAAUGUUUGAUAAUAUAUCUUAGAUUAACAUUAAUUCAAUACAAAAAUUACACUACAAAAUACAAAUAAUUAGAAUAAUUAUCUUCCUCAACCUUUAUAAUCCUAUAACAAAAAGAAAUUACUCUUAUAUUAAUAAUGAAAUAAAUGAAAUGGGUAUAGAUAUUGAAAUUAAUAUCUAUAUCUAUAUCUAUAUAUAUAUAUAAAGCUAGGACUUGAGGAGGUGAUGUGGCAUCACCAUUUUGCUUCUUUGUAUAUUCUCUAUUAUCUAAUAAAUAGAGAUUUUUUUUUAGAUUUGACUUUUCAUCUCCUUAUAAUUAAUUUGAUUGUAUUUAACACAUUUAAUAAAUAGUAACUUUAUUAAUAUAUAUCAUUCAUCAUCUUUUUAUAUUUUCUUUUAUCUAAAAUAUCUAAAAUAUUGGUGGAUAUUCUUUGUACUUUUUUUUCUCUUUCUAUUUAAAUUCAACAAUAUGUAAUCAUUAAUAAUAAUUAAUUAUAAGUCUUUUGAAACAUUUAUUUAUUUUAUUAUGCUGGCAAUUAAACUUUAGUAGAUUAAAAUACAUGAAUUAAUUAACAUAGGAAGAGAGGUUCUUUCAUUUUCCCUCAACAAUGCCACUAAGGCCUAAUUUUAAUGCCAUAAUCCCAUAUUUAAUUAUGCAACCUUUUGUUGAGUGUCUUUUGGCUUCUUCAAAAUUUAUUAUACUAUCAAUUAAACUUUAGUGCCUUAAAAUACAUCACCUAAUCUAUCUCUCUCUCUCUCUCUCUCUCUCUCUCUCUCUCUCUCUCUAUAUAUAUAUAUAUAUAUAUAUAUAUAUAUAUAUAUAUAUAUAAAGUUGGGACUACAAGAGGUGAUGUGACAUCACCAUUUCUCAUCAUUUCAUAUUCUCUAUUAUCUAAUAAAUUGGUUGAAAUUAAAAAAUAAUUACAUUACAAAAUAUUAAAAUAGAAAAUAAUUAUUAGAUUAUAAAUGAUUACAUGUCUUUUCCUCUUUCUAUUUAAAUUCAACAAUAUGUAACCAUUAAUAAUAAUUAAUUAUAAGUCUUGAAACAUUCAUUUAUUUUAUUAUGCCAACAAUUAAAUUUUAGUGGAUUAAAAUACAUCAAUUAAUUAAUAUAGGAAGGAAGGUUCCUUCAUCUUCCCUCAACAAUGCCAUUAGAGCCUAAUUUUAAUGUCAUAAUCCCAUAUUUAAUUAUUCAAUCUUUUAACAAUGCCAUUAGAGCCUAAUUUUAAUGUCAUAAUCCCAUAUUUAAUUAUUCAAUCUUUUGUUUAGUGCCUUUUGGCUUCUUCAAACUCCAUAAACAUUAAAUAUUUAAGAUUUGUGGUAUCAUUAUUUCUCAUCUUUUUUUAUUCUCUAUCAUCUAAUAUAUUGGUUGAGAUUAAAAAAUAAUUACAUUACAAAAUAUUAAAAAUCUAUAUCUAUCUAUAUAUAUAUAUAUAUAUAUAUAUAUAUAUAUAUAUAUAUAUAAAGUUGGGACUAGAGGAGGUGAUGUGGCAUCACUAUUUCUCAUCUUCUUGUAUUCUCUAUUAUCUAAUAAAUUGGUUGAUAUUAAAAAAAUAAUUACAUUACAAAAUAUUAAAAAUAAAAAAUAAUUAUUAGAUUAUAAAAGAUUACAUGUCUCUUCCUCUUUCUAUUUAAAUUCAAUAAUAUUUAACCAUUAAUAAUAAUUAAUUAUACAUCUUGAAACAUUUAUUUAUUUUAUUAUGCCAACAAUUAAACUUUAGUGGCUUAAAUAUAUCAAUUAAUUAAUAUAGGAAGGAAUGUUCCUUCAUCUUCCCCCAACAAUGCCAUUAGGGUCUAAUUUUAAUGCUAUAAUCUCAUAUUUAAUUAUGCAACCUUUUGUUUAGUGCCUUUUGGCUUCUUCAAACUCUAUAAAUAUUAAGUAGUUAAGAUUUGUGGCAUUAUUAUUUCUCAUCUUUUUAUAUUCUCUAUUAUCUAAUAUAUUGGUUGAGAUUAAAAAAUAAUUACAUUACAAAAUAUUAAAAAUAGAAAAUAAUUAAUAGAUUACAAAAGAUUACAUGUCCCUUCCUCUUUCUAUUUAAAUUCAACAAUAUGUAACCAUUAAUAAUAAAUUAAUUAUAAGUUUUGAAACAUUCAUUUAUUUUGUUAAGCCAACAACUAAACUUUAGUGGUUUCAAAUACAUCAACUAAUUAAUAUAGGAAGGAAGGUUCAUUCAUCUUCCCUAACCAAUGCCACUAGGACCUAAUUUUAAUGUCAUAAUCCCAUAUUUAAUUAUGCAACCUUUUAUUUAGUGUCUUUUGCCUUCUUCAAACUCUAUAAAUAUUAAGCAUUUAAGAUUUAUUAUGUUUGGGGUUUUUUUUUAUUUAACCAACAUCCUCUUUAGAAAUGUUCUUGUCUUUUUAUUUUUUGACUUAUUUAAAUUUUUAAUAUUGUGUGCUUCAUGGAGUACUCUUUUCUUUAUGAGUUAAACAAUGAUAAAGAUAAUUGGAUGAUAAGGGUUAGGUUUUUUAAGAUGUGAGAGUCUGUUAAUACCAAGAAAAAUAGAGAGUUGAUUAGUAUGAACAUAAUUUUUAUUGAUGAAAAGGUUGUGUACAUUUAACUAUACACAUUAAUAUAUAUUUUUAAUGUUAACAAAAAAAUAAUUAACUUUCAUAAAUAACAUUAGUUUUAUAAGGCUGCGUCAUCUUAAAAAAAAUAAUUAAUAUUUUUUAUCAGUUUCAUCAAGUGCAAAGUAAUAAAAAAAGAUAAUACUAAAUUAUUUUUUUAAAGCCGCACGAAGUGCGGUUCUAUUUCCUAGUAUAUAUAUAAAGCUAGGACUUGAGGAGGUGAUGUGGCAUCACCAUUUUGCUUCUUUGUAUAUUCUCUAUUAUCUAAUAAAUAGAGAUGUUUUUUUUAGAUUUGCUUUUUGAUCUUCUCAUAAUUCAUUUGAUUGUAUUUAACUCAUUUAAUAAAUAGUAACUUUAUUAAUAUAUAUCAUUCCUCAUCUUUUUAUAUUUUCUAUUAUAUAAAAUAUCUAAAAUAUUGGUGGAUAUUCUUUGUACUUUUUUUUCUCUUUCUAUUUAAAUUCAACAAUAUGUAAUCAUUAAUAAUAAUUAAUUAUAAGUCUUUUGAAACAUUUAUUUAUUUUAUUAUGCUAGCAAUUAAACUUUAGUGGCAUAAAAUACAUGAAUUAAUCUAUCUAUCUAUCUAUACAUAUAUAUAAAGUUGGGACUACAAGAGGUGAUGUGGCAUCACCAUUUCUCAUAAUUUCAUAUUGUCUAUUAUUUAAUAAAUUGGUUGAAAUUAAAAAAUAAUUACAUUACAAAAUAUUAAAAUAGAAAAUAAUUAUUAGAUUAUAAAUUAUUACAUGUCUUUUCCUCUUUCUAUUUAAAUUCAACAAUAUGUAACCAUUAAUAAUAAUUAAUUAUAAGUCUUGAAACAUUCAUUUAUUUUAUUAUGCCAACAAUUAAAUUUUAGUGGCUUAAAUAUAUCAAUUAAUUAAUAUAGGAAGGAAGGUUCCUUCAUCUUCCCUCAACAAUGCCAUUAGAGCCUAAUUUUAAUGUCAUAAUCUCAUAUUUAAUUAUUUAAUCUUUUGUUUAGUGCCUUUUGACUUUUUAAAACUCUAUAAAUAUUAAGUAGUUAAGAUUUGUGGCAUCAUUAUUUCUCAUCUUUUUUUAUUCUCUAUUAUCUAAUAUAUUUGUUGAGAUUAAAAAAUAAUUACAUUACAAAAUAUUAAAAAUAGAAAAUAAUUAAUAGAUUACAAAAGAUUACAUGUCUCUUCCUCUUUCUAUUUAAAUUCAACAAUAUGUAACCAUUAAUAUAAAUUAAUUAAAAGUUUUGAAACAUUCAUUUAUUUUAUUAAGCCAACAACUAAAUUUUAGUAGUUUAAAAUACAUCAACUAAUUAAUAUAGGAAGGAAUGUUCCUUCAUCUUCCCUCACCAAUGCCAUUAGGACCUAAUUUUAAUGUCAUAAUCCUAUAUUUAAUUAUGCAACUUUUUAUUUAGUGUCUUUUGGCUUCUUCAAACUCUGUAAAUAUUAAGCAUUUAAGAUUUGUUAUGUUUAAGUUUUUUUUUUAUUAUUUAACGAACAUCCUCUUUAAAAAUGUUAUUGUGUUUUUAUUUUUUGACUUAUUUAAAUUUUUAGUAUUAUGUGCUUCAUUGAGUACUCUUUUCUUCAUGAGUUAAACAAUGAUAAAGAUAGUUGGAUGAUAAAGGUUAGGCUUUGUAAGAUGUGGGAGUCUGUUAAUAUCAAGAAAAAUAGAGAGUUGAUUAGUAUGAACAUGAUUGUUAUUGAUGAAAAGGUUGUGUACACUUAACUAUACACAUUAAUAUAUUUUUUUAAUGUUAACAAAAAAAUAAUAAACUUUCAUAAAUAACAUUAGUUUUCUAAGGCUGCGUCAUCUUAAAAAAAAAAUUCAUAUUUUUUAUCAGUUUCAUCGAAUGCAAAGUAAUAAAAAAAGAUAAUAUUAAAUUCUUUUUUUAAAACCGCACGAAGUGCGGUUCUAUUUCCUAGUAUAUAUAUAAAGCUAGGACUUGAGGAGGUGAUGUGGCAUCACCAUUUUGCUUCUUUGUAUAUUCUCUAUUAUCUAAUAAAUAGAGUUUUUUUUUUAGAUUUGUUUUUUCAUCUUCUCAUAAUUAAUUUGAUUGUAUUUAACUCAUUUAAUAAAUAGUAACUUUAUUAAUAUAUAUCAUUCCUCAUCUUUUUAUAUUUUCUAUUAUAUAAAAUAUCUAAAAUAUUGGUGGAUAUUCUUUGUACUUUUUUUUCUCUUUCUAUUUAAAUUCAAAAAUAUGUAAUCAUUAAUAAUAAUUAAUUAUAAGUCUUUUGAAACAUUUAUUUAUUUUAUUAUGCUAGCAAUUAAACUUUAGUGGCAUAAAAUACAUGAAUUAAUCUAUCUAUCUAUCUAUACAUAUAUAUAAAGUUGGGACUACAAGAGGUGAUGUGGCAUCACCAUUUCUCAUAAUUUCAUAUUGUCUAUUAUUUAAUAAAUUGGUUGAAAUUAAAAAAUAAUUACAUUACAAAAUAUUAAAAUAGAAAAUAAUUAUUAAAUUAUAAACGAUUACAUGUCUUUUCCUCUUUCUAUUUAAAUUCAACAAUAUGUAACCAUUAAUAAUAAUUAAUUAUAAAUCUUGAAACAUUCAUUUAUUUUAUUAUGCCAACAAUUAAAUUUUAGUAGCUUAAAAUACAUCAAUUAAUUAAUAUAGGAAGGAAGGUUCCUUCAUCUUCCCUCAACAAUGCCAUUAGAGCCUAAUUUUAAUGUCAUAAUCUCAUAUUUAAUUAUUCAAUCUUUUGUUUAGUGCCUUUUGGUUUCUUCAAACUUCAUAAACAUUAAAUAUUUAAGAUUUGUGGCAUUAUUAUUCCUCAUCUUUUUUUAUUCUCUAUUAUCUAAUAUAUUGGUUGUGAUUAAAAAAUAAUUACAUUACAAAAUAUUAAAAAUCUAUAUCUAUCUAUAUAUAUAUAAAGUUGGGACUAGAGAAAGUAAUUUGACAUCACUAUUUCUCAUCUUCUUGUAUUCUCUAUUAUCUAAUAAAUUGGUUGAUAUUAAAAAAAUAAUUACAUUACAAAAUAUUAAAAAUAAAAAAUAAUUAUUAGAUUAUAAAAGAAUACAUGUCUCUUCAUCUUUCUAUUUAAAUUCAAUAAUAUGUAACCAUUAAUAAUAAUUCAUUAUAAAUCUUGAAACAUUUAUUUAUUUUAUUAUGCCAACAAUUAAAUUUUAGUGGAUUAAGUAUAUCAAUUAAUUAAUAUAGGAAUGAAUGUUCCUUCAUCUUCCCUCAACAAUGCCAUUAGGGUCUAAUUUUAAUGUUAUAAUCUCAUUUUUAAUUAUGCAACCUUUUGUUUAGUACAUUUUAACUUCUUCAAACUCUAUAAAUAUUAAGUAGUUAAGAUUUGUGGCAUUAUUAUUUCUCAUCUUUUAUAUUUUCUAUUAUCUAAUAUAUUGGUUGAGAUUAAAAAAUAAUUACAUUACAAAAUAUUAAAAAUAUAAAAUAAUUACUAGAUUACAAAAGAUUACAUGUAUCUUCCUCUUUCUAUUUAAAUUCAACAAUAUAUAACCAUUAAUAAUAAAUUAAUUAUAAGUUUUGAAACAUUCAUUUAUUUUAUUAAGCCAACAACUAAACUUUAGUGGUUUAAAAUACAUUAACUAAUUAAUAUAGGAAGGAAUGUUCCUUCAUCUUCCCUCACCAAUACCCUAUGACCUAAUUUUAAUGUCAUAAUCUCAUAUUUAAUUAUGCAACCUUUUAUUUAGUAUCUUUUGGCUUUUUCAAGCUCUAUAAAUAUUAAGCAUUUAAGAUUUGUUAUGUUUGAGUUUUUUUUAUUAUUUAACCAACAUCCUCUUUAGAAAUGUUCUUGUGUUUUUAUUUUUUGACUUAUUUAAAUUUUUAGUAUUGUAUGCUUCAUGGAGUACCAUUUUCUUUAUGAGUUAAACAAUGAUAAAGAUAGUUGGAUGAUAAAAGGUUAGGCUUUGUAAGAUGUGGGAGUAUGUUAAUACCAAGAAAAAUGGAGAGUUGAUUAGUGUGAAUAUAAUUUUUAUUGAUGAAAAGGUUGUGUAAACUUAACUAUACACAUUAAUAUAUAUUUUUAAUGUUAACAAAAAAUAAUUAACUUUCAUAAAUAACAUUAGUUUUAUAAGACUGCGUCAUCUUUAAAAAAAAAUUCAUAUUUUUUAUCAAUUUCAUCAAUUACAAAGUAAUAAAAAAAUAAUACUAAUUUUUUUUUAAAGCCGCACAAAGUGCGGUUCUAUUUCCUAGUUUUUAAUAAAAGAAUUUACUCUUGUAUCUCAUACUCAUUCUAUUCUUCCUCGAGGAAUGUUGGAAAUUGAGAGAUAGCAUCAGGUUUCAAAUCUAAAACAAUAAAAAUAAUAUAAGCAAUAUAACUCAUAAUCUAAAAUAAUUUUGGGUCAAGACCAUUGAAAUAAGGUAUGAUCAAAUAAUAAUUUAGGACUACAACUACUUAACCAGGCUUGAAAUUUUUAUAGUAGAUGCGUAUAAAUAUUUUGAUAUUUGUUAUUUAUACUAAUAUUUAAUAUUUUAUAAUUUAAAUUUUAUAAUUCAUUUAUUAAUAAUUCUAAAAAAUAAAAUCAAAAUAAAAAAAUUAAUAUGAGGAAAUGGGGAAAUGGGUAGGGGAUGGGGAUUCCAUCUCAUCUUCGUCCCUUCCCCGAAUAAGAAAUUUGAUAUAAAAUUAUUCUCAUAUCCUCCCCGAAUAGAAAAAAAUCUCCAAGGGUCCCCGUCCCCGUGAGGAGUUUUGCCAUCCCUAGCCUAGACUCCUAUAGAGUAGAGUUAAGCUAUUAAUCACUGCACCGAUACAUCAAAAAUUAAGUAUAUGGAUCAAAGACAUCUUCAUUCAAGAGUCGAGAAAUUUCAAAGCAAAGGGGCCAAAGAUGGUGGUGCCAUUUUGUUCAACUUUCACCUCCGGAAGUUGAAAAGGACAUGAAUGCAAUUAUGCAAGUCCGUAUCAAAGAUGCAAUGAAUGACGCCUAAACUCCUAUAGAGUAGAGUUAAGCUAUUAAUCACUGCACCGAUACAUCAAAAAUUAAGUAUAUGGAUCAAAGACAUCUUCAUUCAAGAAUCUCGAAAUUUCAAAGCAAUGCUUGUCAUUUACAUAUCAAGCAAAGGGACCAAAGAUGGUGGUGCUCUAAUAUUUUGUCUAGUCAGAUUUCAGAUUUACCUUGUUCAUGUCUUUUUCUUUGGUGCAGAAGUUGACCGUGGCCUAUUUCAACAUCAUUCAUCAUCCUCUCAAUCUCCUCCUUUUUCACUGGCAGAACCAAAAAUAUCUUGCACCUCAGUGAAAUAUCAUUGGAGACAAAAAAGUUUCUCCAGCUUAUUCAACAACCAAAACCAGCCAAAUAUCAUCUCCAACCACAAAGCAAUGAGCCAAGUAAUUAAAUUUCCUUGAUGCAGGCUGAGGAAAGCCAAUAAGCAAUCAAAGGAGAUGGAAGAAUAGCACUAUUAAUUCAAGACCAACAAAGUUUGCAGCAAAACUGAUAGUAUUUAUGAUCUUGCAAAAGUCAAUCUUGUCUGGUUAUCAACACUGCAAUUAUAGCUUUUGUGCACCUCAGUUAGCCUUAAAUUGUGAAAGUUUCAGCCAAACCAACAAUUUCUAACCUACUUCUCAUGGUUAUACAAGCUAACUAGCAUCUGCUUCACUGCAUUAUGCUUAAAAAACAAUCAUACUAAAUGUCACAAUUCUGGUAUAUAAAAGUUCAGCCGUCUACACCAUUCAAGUUGAGCAUUUGACUGCAUCUCUAUGGGUACUAUUAAGGGAUGGCAAUAAUCAGUUAUGAUACGAAUAAUUGACAUCCAUAAUCCGAUAUAUCCGUCCACACCCAUGUCUAAUUUUAGAGGUUUGAUAUGGAUAUGGAUUUUUGUUUAUAUGGAUAUUGAUAUGCAUAGAUAUUCGGGAAAAAAAAUUCUACUUAACACUAUAACGAAUAGGAUACUUCUUUUAUUAGAGCUUUGUCAUGCUGAUGAUGUGCAAGAUAUCAUAAAUAAAGGGGAUCGUAGGGAACGAAAUGAAAUAAGUUUAAAGAAUUUGAAAGAAACUCUGAUUAUUCUCUUAUUCAACAACCCGGUGUGAAAUUACAUUUUACACGAGGUCCAUGUAAUUAUAUUUGUCAUUAAGAAUGAGCAUUUGCCAAAAGAAGAGACACAUGUCAUGACAAUGAGUGAUUGACAAGUGACAAAAUUGAUAGACACCCGCCGAAUAUGUCAUAACACAAACUUCUAAAAUUGCUACAGGAAAUGAAAUAUAACGAUGCACGAUGCCCAUCCAAGUUGUUUACUUGUAUUGUCCAACUGUAAAUGAGUACAGACAUGGUACCAUCAAUCGUUGUUAUUAAACUAGUCAUUGACCUCAGUCACUCCUUCAUAACCACAUAAUAAGGAGUGGCUAUUUAUUUAAAAUAUGAAGUGAAAAAUUGAAUUAAUUUAUUUGAAAUAGAAAUGGUCACAAGAAAAUUUUAAAUUAAUUUCUUGAAACAGGAUCCUACAAAUGAAGUGUUUUAAUUUCGUAAUUUAUUAUUAUUAUUGUUAUUUUGUUUUUAAAUAUUAAAAAGAAAAAAAGAAAAAAAUUGGUUUGUCUUUAGUUUCUAGCGGACAUCAGAUUCAUCAUAAUAAGCGUACCCUUGUCCAUGUAUAAAUUGCAUUUGCCUCUGAAUUCUUCAAUAAUUGAAAAAGAUGGGUGCUCGUGGGACACUCUCAUUUAUGAUACAAUUUAGGAAUAAGAACUUAAUGACGCAACCAUCACCAACAGCCUCUUUUUUUGGAGGUACUCGGAUGGCUAUUAUUGCCAUUUAAAAGAUAGCAUAAAUUUUGUAGAUUGCCAGCUAUGGCCGAGCUUUUAAAUUUUUUUAUUUUUUUUAGAGAAGAAGAAAAAUAGCCAUUUAAAAGAUAACAUAAAUUUUCUAGAUUGGCAGUUAUGUUUGAGUUUUCAAAUUUUUUUCAGAAAAAAAGAUACUUAUGCCUUUGAGAUUUAGAAAAACAAUCACACAAAUUCUCAAAUUUUUAAUAAGAUUAAUCAAGACCUCUUUUUAUUAUAAUAUCUUUUAAUUUUAUAACUAAAAAAUUUGGCUAUAGUAUUUUAUAAUAAAAAAUAACUAAAAUGACCCACCUCGAAUCUCCAGGACAAAUCUAUCUAAUCUCACCAACCGAAUUAAUAAUAAUCUAAUAUCUAAAAUUCUACCAAAAAUUCGGCAAAAUCUCUUAUAUAAUUAUGACAUUCCCAAACUUGCAAUUUAUAAAAUUUAACACUCCUAAAAAAUGAUACAAUAUUCAAUCAACCUCCACAACCAACUUGUUCAAUCAAAUACCAAUAUCCUUCAAACAUAUAAUGUCAAGAAUAUAAUAAUUUAUCUUUAAUCACAAAUAAGUAAUAAAUUAUACAAUUCAAAAUAUCCUAACAAAAUAUCUAUGAUUCCUAACAUCAUCACAUGACCAUAAUUUUAAAUUUAACUAUCGUUGUUGGGUCGACUGAUGUACCUGCAUAUCUUUUGGGAGGGGGGGGGGAGGGAAUAUAAUAAAAAAAUGUGAGUAUAAAAUUCAGUGAGCUCAGUUGAGUAUAUUAUGAAAAAAAAAAUUUACUUAAAAUAAUCUAAUCUUUCCCAAAUCAAUUUCAUCAAAAUAUCAUAAGAACUUAAAUAAACUUAUUUAAUUUAAAUCAUGUUUUAAUAUAACAAUAAUACAUAAUACGGCAUGAAAUCAAGGAAAACAUGAUACUUAUAAUAGCAAACACCAAAUACCGAAUCUAUCACCAAACAAGUACUCGGGGGAAUAAUCUCAUCAUAUCCGGACCUCGACGGAUCGGCAAUCAGAGAACCAUCAUGGCCCGAAGCUAUACGAAUAGACGGGGAAGUACUAUCUCAUAUCUCAUCAUAUAUGUGCAUGCAUAAUCUAGUAUCCAAAGGACAAGGCGCCCAAGAAUGCGGUCCAAAGCUUGUGUGUGUACUCAGAGGGGCCCCAAAGACCUAUAUUUCAUCUGUAUCAUCAUAUCUCAUCUGUAUUUCAAUAUCUAUAUCUCUGUAAUCAUCAUACUACAUGCAUAUGCCCCUAAAAGGCAAAAAUGCCCAAACACAAGACCCAAAGCCUCUAUUUGUGUUCAAACGGGCCCUAAAAGCUUCUCAUCUCAUCUGUAUCACUGUAUUUAGAUGGAAAGAGUAUUGUUUAAUGAGUUUAAAAACAACAUCUUAUACAUAUAUACAUAAACAUAAAAUGACACUUAAAUCUCAUUUCCUUUUCAUGUAACAUACUUUAAAUCUACUUUAUUCUCUUUAAAACCAUUACCGUGCAUUUACUGAAAAAUGAUAAUAAAAUCAUUAAUCAAACUCAUUUUUUGUAAUAAUAAAUAUCAACAUAUAGAUAAAAAUCCAUUUUUUAGAAAGUUAUUAAAUUCGACUGUUAAAUACUUAUUUAUCAAACAUGUUGUACUGUAUCAUAAAAUCAUAAUAUAUUAUGAAAAUCGAUUUUGUAUAUUCCACUCAUAGUGACUAUGUUCGAGCUCGAAAUCGUCAAUGUCUGUGGGUUGAUUCUUGUUCAUGGAUCCUCCUAAUAUAAUGAAAUAACAUAAUCAUUCUCUUAAAUAUGAAAUACAACUAAUUUUACGUAAUAAAUUUCGAAACGAAUAUCUAUCAAUAAUAAACUAUUCCCGUAUGCAUAAAAUUACCAAAAUACCCCAUGCAUGCCAAAAUUACCAAAAUGCCCCUUAUAUCAAUAUUUACCAAAUUAUCCUCAUAAUCCUAAAUUACCAAGCUGACGUCAAUUCAGAUCACAAAAAUAACCACAAUGUUAGAAAUUAUGAAAUUACCCUUAGAGAAUGUCCUUAACAACGUAAAUUACUAAAUUACCCCCGUAAUCUCAAAUUACCUAACUGCCCUAGUCCAAAAUUACUAAACUAUCCACCAAUUUUGGAAAUCACAAAAUUAUCCCCCACCGUUUUGUGAAAUUACCGAACUACUCCUGGCAGUUAAUGGUGACCGGACUUCGGUCGACGGCGACGAGAAGAUCAGAUCUGAUAGUUCUUAUCUCAGUGAGUCCAAUGGUGCCGGCGGUGACCAGCCACGCGCGCCGACGGUGGUAGAUCGAGCUUCCCUAGUCGCGAGCUUUUCGGUGGUCGAUCGGUGGAAUUCCAACCGUUUCAGGCAGCGAGUUUGGUUGGAAAAUGAUGAGGGUGAGCUGAGGAACAAGAUCCAAGCAGUGGCGCGGCCUAAUUCCGGCGAAAUCAAUGGCGACGAAAACGAGUUGAGAUGUGGGUUUUUCAAGCUUGAUCGCCGGCAUUCUACCCAUUUUCCGAUGAGGUGACCGGAAUCGGUGGCUGGAGUUGGGUCGGGUUGCGCGAUUUCGGGUCGGGUCAGGUCAAACUCGGUCAGCUUCUCUCUUUCUCUCUCUCCCUCUCCCUUUCUCAAUUUAUACAACCAAUUCUCUUUUUUUUUUUUCAAAGCUUAAUACAAAUUAAGCUAAUACUGAACCCAUAUUGAAAAAAAAAUCCGACUACCCAACCUUUUAAUCACGCUCAAUUUGUCUUGAUUUAUUGUCGCGACAAAUUUAAAAUAAUCCAAACACAAUAUAUAUUAAUAAAUAUGUAACAUUUAACAACCAUCCCCCAUAAUAUCGGGAAAAAAUUGAGUUGCAUCAACUUCACUGUAAAAAUUCGUAACGAGUCUACUAAAUUUAAAAUUAAUGCCAAAGGAGAAAAAUAAAAUGAUACACUUAAUUAGCAAAUUUAAAGCGCAUAUAUUACAAUAACAUUAAAAUAAAUGAAAUAAUAUAUACAUUUAAAUAUUUUAAUAUUUACAAUCUAUUAGAUAUAUUUUAUUAUAUUAAAGCAAAUUUUUAAUAAUAAAUAGAAACAUAAUAUUGAAUAUUUUGUACAAUUUUAACAUUAUUAAUGAAGAGAUUUUGUUAACUUUAAAAUCUAUUUAACUCAAAUAUUUAUUUAAAAUCUUUGUAAUAAAUCCAAAUAUAUUAUUAAAUUUAAUAAUUUUAAAUGUAAAAAUAUUUUAAUAUUACUACUCUAUAGAUAUAUUUUAUUCUUUUAUAUUAUUUUUGUAUUAAAUAAAAAUUUUAAAGUUAAUUUUUUAGUUACUAUAUUCAAAGUGUAUUAUGAUUAAAAAAGGAUCCUAAAGUCUAUAUAAUCAUUUUUUAAAAUUUUAGGAGUGUAAGUGUUGAUUUUUCUUUUUUUUAAAUAAUUCUUUUCGUACAAAACUUAUAUUCACGUUCUUUUAACUUCUCAUUAAUGCAUUUUCAUUGCCAGGGUUUCUACGUUUUCAAUCAAAAAUCUAGUGAAGAAACUGGAAAAUGUUGGAGGAAACGCUAAUGCAUUAUACGUACAACCUAAUAAACAAGUUGUUGGAGUGUACGGCUAGAGCAAUUUGUUUAUGGUCAUCUGUGCUUGUGUAUACUAUUAGUAAAUCUAUUUUGCAAUGAACCCAAAUAAUCAAAUUGUCCCGUGGUACUUACGGUCCAUGGAUCUAAUAAUUUUUGCUUCUUUUUAUUUAUUUAUUUAUUGCAUAUCAUAACCUGUCAGUCUCAUAAUAUUGUCCAACAAGAUUGCCUUUUUGAAAAAUUUCACAUAAAUCGGACACGGGUGAUUAUGUUAUCCUUUAAUUUUUCUAACGAAUAUAAUUUUCACUGUCAUUUUGUGUUUUGGAUAGGUGGAAUGACAGUGACCUGACUGAAAAAUAUGUUAUCUGGACGACGAACGACCAAGUCAAGGUCUUUUAAGUGUACAGUCCAACUCCUUUUAAAUAGCAAUUGAAUUCUGCACUUUAAGCAAUAAGUUACUCGGCCAAAUUUGCAGAAAUAUUUCAAAGUUUAAUUCUUCACUUGGAUUUUUCAUUGCUGAUCAUGUAAGUUAGUUGUUAUUAUUAUUAUUAUUUUUUCACCAAGGUAACUCUUGUGCUUACACUUUUCGCGGAGCUAGUUCUAUUUUCUUAAUGUUCUAAUUUUCAAUGAAUGUAUUUGGACAAAGCCACGAACUUGUCUUUUAGAGGACUUAAAUUGUAUUAAUAUUGCUGAUAUAUUCCUUAUAAAUAAAAAAGAGCAAACAAAGUUCUUAUAAAAAACGCAAGGAUAGCAGACAGUGAUUUUAAUUUUUUUUUGUUGAUGUUAUCUCUAUUUUAAUAAUAGAUGAUUGAUUGAUUCAAUCUUCUUCUUGUCCAUAAUUAAAAUAACUACUUUCUACUUCCUAAAGGAAUCUCUAAUCUGUCGAAAUGACUUUAUACACAUUUGUAGAAAUCAAUAUCUUGAUUAUUUGGUUGUCAAGUGUAUAUAAGUUAUACCGUCUGUUAGUUUUUUUAAUUGGCAUGUUUGAUAUUUUUCAACCAAAAUUCCCCUUGAUUGGGAAAAUAAACCAUUUCCUGCUCAUGUUUUUUAAUCCUACUCCAAAAUUCUCAUCUUAUUUGGUGAAAAUUUUAUUUUUGGGAUUUAUACGUGCAACCUAAUCAAGAAGUUGUUGGAAUGUGCUUGUGUAUUAUUUUAAUAAAUCUAUUUUGCAAUAAACCCAAAUAGUCAAAUUCUUAAUUCUCCCGUGCUAUAUAUAUGGUCUGUGGAUAUAUUAAUGUUUGCUUCUUUUAAUUAAUUUAUUUAUCUUUUGCAUAUCAUAACCUCUCAGAUUACUGUCUAACAAGAUUGCCUUUAAGUUUGAAAAUUUUCACAUAAAUUGGACGCGGGUGAUUAUGGUGUCCUUUCAUUUUCUGACGAAUUAAUUUUCACUGUCAAUUUGUAGUUUGGCUAGCUGGAAUGACAGUGGCCUGACUGAAAAAUAUGUUAUCUGGACAAAGCCAUGAACUAGUCUUUUAAAGGACUUAAACUUGUAUUAAUAUUGCUGAUAAAUUCCCUAUAAAUCAAAAGAGCAAACAAAGUUCUUAUAAAAACUGCAAGGAUAGCAGACAGUGAUUUAUUUAUUUAUUUUUUGAUGUUAUCUCAAUUUUAAUAAUCGAUGAUUGAUUGAUUCAAUCUUCUUCUUGUCCAUAAUUAAGAUACCUACUUUCUACUUCCUAAAAAAUCACUAAUCUGUCGAAAUAAGUUUAUACACAUUUGUAGAAAUCAAUAUCUUGGGAUUGUUGCUUGUUAAUUAUAUGUAAGUUAUACCAUUUCUAUGUUUUUUUUAAUCUGCUCGGCAUGUUUGAUAUUUUUCAACCGAAAUCCCCCUUGAUUGGGAAAAUGAACAAUUUCCUGCUCAUAUUUUGAAAUCCUACUCCAAAAUUCUCAUUUUAUUUGGUGAAAAUUUUCUUGAUGUUGAUAAACUUAUGUUAACUGUCAACUAAUGUUAAAUUAAGUCAAUUUGUUUUUCAACUAUCAGAUUUGGUAAUUUCCCCCUUUUUCCAGUGUAUGCAAAUCCACGACAACCACCCUACGCCUCCUUCCCUUAUUUUUCAAGGAAGUAUGUGAUUUUUUAAACUGGGUUUUGAUUGCUGGCAACUGUAAUAUGUUGGACUUCCGUAAUUGGCUUGUUUGUACUGUACAGAUAUAUAUGUAUUAAAAAAAAAAGGAAAAAAAAUGACAAAACCUUAACUUGCGUUUCGAUCAUAUCAGGUCUCAGGAUCCAGAAGCAGGUUCAAAAGAUAAACGAUAUUCUAAAGUGUAUGGUACUGGAACGACGUCGGCCGAUAAAGAACAACCUACAUGCUUAGGUUGCGUUAAAAAUCUUCUAGGUGUCAUACUUCUUUGUGUGGCGCUAUUAUGCUUUAUAAUAUUUGGUGGGACAAUAAUGCUAGUACUUUAUUACCUGUUGAUUACAAUGAUUGUGUUAUAUCAUGAAACCGGUAAAGCGAUAGCGAGAGCAAUACUCAGGAUUAAAACAAUCAAGGAUAAAGAAUAUAUUGAUGGUCUAAUGAAUGUGACUGCAAUGAUCCUUGAUGUGACUGCAAUCAUCCUUGAUCCUUUAUUCUUCUACAUUCUGGUGCUGGAUGAUGAAAAGAAAUGCAUUCACUGGGACAAAACCUUGGGGAUUACAGCUACCGUCAUCCGUUCCGUCCUCGAUUUCCUUAAGCUAGGCCAUUUUAUCUCUCACUCUAAGCUGCAUAUGGCAAAGGGGAACCAAAGAGAAAAAUUUAAGUAUUUGUGGGGGCAGUUAAAAAAUUUCAAGGUGUAAUUUACUUUCGCUAACUAGUUGUUUCUUCAACUUCCAUAAUUUAUAUAAAUAUAGUCUCCGUUAUCUUCUUUGCUCCCUACGAAGUAUUUGCUUUUUUUUUUUUUUUUGCCUUAAAAGGGAGAAGGAGAAGUACCUGAAGAUCCAAUGGGACGAAUGCGGAAGCUCUUCCUCAUUGACUGUUUGGCCAUCCUUCCCAUCCCCCAGGUAAAGGCACUAUCUAAUUUACAAUUACGUAAAUUCUGUUUAUUGACAUAUUAUGUAGUUCAAUCCUUCCCAUCCCCCAUGUGCAUAUCGUAAUAGUCUGCUUGAUUCCUGUCAUAUGUACAUCACAAAGUGGUUUUGAUUGUGAUAAAGAUAGAUCUUCAUACGAUUCAUGUCAAGGAUAAUGAUUUCAAUGUCAUUUUUCCCUUUACUUUGAUUAAAGUUGUAUUUAGACAUACAACCCUAAAUGUUUUGCAUGGAUAUUAGGGGUGGCAAUUUUCGCUAGUGAGUAGUGUUAAAUUUCAGCUAUAGGAAUUCGAUACUUUAUUAAUCUUGUUAAUAAUUUCAAACACCAACUCCACCUGUCUAUUAAUAAUUAUGUCACAUGCUUAAUAUGCUUUGAAAGUAUAUUUUUAAAUUUGACUUGUUUACAAGUUUUUAAUAUAUUUGUUUAAUUAAGAUAUUUAUAGUACUGCCUCUCAAAUUCAAAUCAAUUCUAGUCUUAAUAUAACUAGAUAAUUUUGAAAUAUAUACAAAUAGAAAGUAGUUCAAUUGUAUCCAAAAUCUAGUCGUACAACCAUUAUUAAUCAAAUAGUUAAUUAUGUCAUAAUUACAUAGGCUCACGUGACAGUAACUUAAAACCUGAAGAAGUGAAGAGAACAAAAAAUAUUUGUGUUCCUUUUCACCAACGCGAACAAACUAUUAUUUUCAUGCCAUUGGAAUCAGUUUCGCAGGUCAUUUCAAAAUUUGUCACCCCAGCUAUACCAUCAUUUUGCACAAAAAUAAAUAAUCAAUUUUGUUCAUAUUCAAUAUCCUUCAAAAUAUUUAUUUCCAUUAUUCCAUAUCAACUAAUAGGACAAACCGUCCAGGUUUUGGUGAUUUUUGGAAUAAGAGGCCCAGGAUUUUCGACGGCAAUGACCUUCUUUAUUUUACAAUAUUCGCUAAGGGUUAUUCGAACGUACUUUCUCUUCACACAUGCUACACGGGUUUCAGGGAUACUUGCCGAUGCUACAUGGGCCAUUUUUGCCUUCUAUCUUCUUCUUUAUCUGCAAAGCGGUCAUGUAAGUUCAAAGUAUCAUCAUUUUACCGAAAUAUUUUUUGGGAAAUUACAAUUUUUCCACCAUAUAGAUCGCCAAAUUAAAGGCCAAAAACAUUACAAAAUUUUGAAAUUUACAUUUUUAUUCAAGAAGUUUCCACAAACACCAUUUUUAUAUUAAUUUUUUUGGAAUCAGAAAAGCAUGAACUACGAUAUUCAGUAUUUUGUAAUUUAGAAAAGCAUAUUCUAAUAAAACUAGAAUUUUAGCAACGCCCAGUUAUUACACAUAUAUACGCACAGUCAGUUAGCUUUUUUUUAUGUAAAUUUUAGAUAUUGGAAUUGUCGAUGUAUGAUUUUCCCUCUACUCUGCAAAUUAAUUUUUCUGCUAAGCUAUCUUUCAGAUGUUUGGAGCCAUAUGGUACUAUAAUGCCAUAGAAAAAGUGACUGAAUGCUGGAGGGAAGCCUGCAAAAAUCAUACCGGAUGCAGCGGUCAUAGUUAUUUUUCCUGUAAUAAAAGUUCCAGAGACUACAAUUUUCUAAAUGAUUUUUGCCGUAUAAGUACAGGAAGUACUACCAGCUAUAGUUUUGGAAUAUAUAAUGAUGCUCUUCAGUCUGGUAUUGUGGGGGAGACAGAUUUUCCUAAGAAAUUGAUACGUUGUCUACGAUGGGGCCUGCAAAAUCUCAGGUUUGCUGUUUUUUAUAUGGCUUGGAUAAUGAUUAUUGUGCAUGUGAUCAGGUCCGUUACAGGUUCUCUUAGUCCGGUGCAGGUUUAUUUUGUAGUUCUUUUCGCAUCCAUGUAUUUUUUUUUUCCCCAAUUCUCUUUUAUUCUUUUCUUUGUAGCUUUAUGCAUAUUGUAAGGGCUAAAUUUUAUUAAAACCCACUAAUUAGCCAAUGCAGACCAAGACAUUUUAUUGAAAGGGGCUACAUCUAAUAAUACCAACAAUAUACAUAACAUAAGGGAUUAAUUAAGUUUAAAUGAUAAAAUUAAGCAAUUUCAUAAUUUUUAUUAAAUUAAGAUGACAUGUGAAAGUAAAUGAGGGAUAUUUUUAUUAUUUUUGAAAGGUUUAACAAGGAAAAAAUACUGUUUAAUUUUUUUAUAAAUUCAGAAUAAUUGAGGGGUAUGUUUUUAGGGGUUUAUUUCAAACGAACUCUUUUAUUCAGCUCAAAUAUUAAAAAAAUCAUUGGGGGUUUAACUAAUAUUUCCUGCUAAGGUCUCGAAUGAAAUUUCAGAGGGGUUAUAUGAAACAUUUCUUUUCUAUCGGCUGGUCAUUAGGUAAGUUCAAUCUUGUUUAUUCUCAUAAAAAGAGUACGAAUGUUUGGGCCACGCACAUUAUUUAAAUAUGCAAUUAUGGGCUUUAGUUACCUUACAUUAUUAUGUAAGUUUUAUAAUUUUUUUAUCUAAUGGUUGUGGGAAUAAUGUGAUUUUAUUACUUCAUAUUUUCAUAACUAUUGAAUUUUCAUCAAAUGACUAUGAAAAAAUUAUACAAUUUACGUAAUAAUGUAAGGUAACAAGCUCCCGCAAGUAUGUAAUACUUAUGAACUGUAUUGAACUUUUUGCAGUGCAUUUGGUCAGAACCUCGAAUCAAGUAACGAUGUCGGGGAAAAUAUCUUUGCAAUUUGCAUGACCAACUACGGCGUAGUUCUGUUUGUCUUUUUAAUUGGAAGGAUGCAGGUAACAUACAUUUUCUGUUUCUUCUCGAUUUCUCAAUUAACUCUCUCCUCGAGCUCUUAAUUACCUUUGAUCCUUUUAAAUCUUGGAACACGAUAUACAUAAGUUUUAAUUAGAUUUGAAAACACACAAGUUAAUUAUUUAGGUCAAAUUAAUUAAUGGCUAGAUGUACAGACUGAAAUUGCAAGGUCACAGAAGAUAAACCAGAAGUGGCAGGUGAUCAGGCAGUCGAAACACUAUGCGGAUAUCUCUCGUGAUCAAAAUGUCCGAGGGCAGUUCAAGAAAGCCAAGCGUGAAAAAUUGGCAAACAAACAUGUUGAUGUUCGCAUAGAUAGUUUUAUAAGCGAUCUCUCCCUCGACGCUGAAAAACAAGUAAAACGCCAUAUGGGCCGAAAACUGCUCAGAAAAGUGAGUUUCUAUUUCUCUGGAUAAUAAUAAUCCUUAGCUACGUACCUGCCUCUUAUUAAUUAGUUAUUCAUCAGAAGAUGUCGAAGGGGGAAUUUUGUUAGAAUUUUUUUGUGUUGACGUCUUAUAGCAACAUCUAGAAUGAUUCUUCAUUGUAUGUCCUUGAUUGUUAGAAAAUUAAUGGCAAAUGAAUUAGUAAAUAUGAACCAUAUAGGAGCAACAAUACAUAUAAUGACACAAAAUUUUUGAAUGCUGUCAAGAGGGCACCGAAUACGAAAGCAUUUUUAUCUUAUUAUCAUUUUCUUCUUAGUAAACGAUAAUUAAGGAAAAGAGUAAUGACAAAGAGUACUGAUCUGGUCCAAGAUUUUGAAUCUUAUUAAAGUUUGAGAAAAUUAUUAAGUUAUAAGGUCUAAUAGUAUAACACCAUUACACUCUUAAACAUAAGUUUUCACAAGUACGCAGUAGAUGGUGAGAUAAUGUGUAAUUAAUAGUGUAAUUGAGUAAUGAUGCUUCUUGAUGAGCCAUCAUCAAAUGGGUGAUUUUGACAAAAGUUAUAGAAUUUAUGUAUUUCAAUAUUCUAUAACUUUAUAAUCGUUGUAUAUAUUUGUAUUGACUCUGAUUCUCCUUUAUCAAGGUAGAAGAAUUACUUAAUGUAUUUCAAUAUUCUAUAACUUUAUAAUCGUUGUAUAUAUUUGUACUGACUCUGAUUCUCAUAUAUCAAGGUAGAAGAAUUUCAAAAUUGGGAUGAGUUCUAUUUGGACUAUCUGUUUGGUUGUCUGAAGCCAGUCGUCUUUAGUGAAAGGACUGUAAUUAUUCAGGAGGGAGAUCCAAUUAAUGUGAUGACCUUUGUGUUGCAAGGCAAGACUUGGGCCUACUCCAACAGCUUGCCGAUCACUAGACAGAGACAUCAAGAAGAUUGUGAUGUUCGCCGAAAAGAACUCAUAGACUGGGCUAAGAAUGAAAACUCGUACCAGCAGCUCCCUAUCUCAGACAGAACCAUUCGAGCACUUACCGACGUUGAAGCCUUUACUCUUAAGGCUGAUGACGUGAAAUGUGCAUUACUUUUCCGUCUUGUUUCCAAAGAGGCAGCAACUCUCAUACAAUCAUUCUGGCGUUUCAGGAAGCACAAACAUGCAACGCCAAGAACAUGCAUGGUCGGCUGUUUCAGGACACAGGACAAAGUUGUACUGCAUUAGAUUAACUAUUUGGGAUUGGACUUGAAGUAUUUAUUACACUAAUAUAUCUGUUAUUUAUGUUUGGUGUUUCUGUUUAGGUAUCGGAAAUAAACUACUUCUGUUGAGUGACAUAGUAGAUUAGGGGUGUUCAGAAUCCAAUUCGAUCCGCUUAAUCCGUCCGAUCCGUUUAAUUCGAUCCGUAUAAAUCCAAUCCGUGGAUUGGAUAUAGAUUGAAAAUUUAAAAAUCUGCAGUCGAUGGAUUGGAUAUGGAUUUACUUCUGUAAAUCCGCAGAAAUCCGUGAAUCCGUAAAAAAAAAAAAAAAAAAAAAAAAUAUAUAUAUAUAUAUAUAUAUAUAUAAUUAAAAAAUUAUUAUAAAUUUAAUUAAAAAAAUUAUAAAUGUGACAUUACAUAGUUACAUAAGCACUAUAACAUAUUUUAGCCAUUACCCAAUAAUAAUAUAAAAUAAAAAAUAAUUAAAUAAUCAAAUAUACAAAUAUAACUUGUAAAAAUUGUAAAACAAAAUAAAAGCAAAGUCACACGCACUAGCAAAAGCAAAGUCACAUGCACUAGCAAAGUAAAGUAACAUAACGCCAAGUCACCAACAAUUUGCAAAGUCACCCAAAAGCAAAGUAACAUGAUGCCAAGUCACCAACAAUCUGCAAACCCUAAGCUUUCCCGCCGUCACACACACUAGCAACACUCAAUACUGAUUGGAUACACUCUCGACACGGAUUUGAAGGACAUCGGCCGCGCGAUUCCAGCGAGAGCAAGCCAUCUUCUUUCCCAAGUCCAUCGAGCCACUUCACAUUCAUUGGUUCCAGCUGAACAAUUUCACUAUCACAACCUUCAAGAUCGCCACCCGUACGGCUUCUCCUGGUUCCCAUCGUGGACGGCUCCGUAAUCACCACUUUUCGACAGGCGCAACAGCCCUAGUGAAGGAUCAUACUGUAUUUGGUUUCCGAAACUUCGCCAUUUCAAUUAAUUGUGGCUUUAUUUGAACAAUUAAUUUCGGUGUUAUGUUAACGUAUUAUUGUAACUUUAUUUGAACAAUUAAGCUUAGUGUGUUAUAUUUUGAAACUUUGAACGUAUUAUUGUAGCUUUUUUUGAAUAAUUAGUCUUGAUGUGUUAUAUUUUGAAACUUUAAAUGUAUUAUUUUAGCUUUAUUUAAAUAAUUAAUUUAUUUAAAUUUUAUUCAAUUUUAAAUUUAAUUGGUAGCAAAAUUAUUUUUAUUUUAGAUUUUUUUUAUUUCAUUAGUUGGAGAGAACUAAAAAUUUUUAAUUCAAAAACUAAUGCGUAAAAUGGUGGAUUGGAUAUAGAUUAAGUCAAAUCCGUAUCCGAUCCGCAGACGUAUGGAUUGGAUAUGGAUUGAGUCAAAUCCACAUCCAAUCUGUAGAUGUAUGGAUUGGAUUUGGAUUGAAUUUUAUCAAUCCAUGAAUUAGAUUGGAUUGAAAAAUUAUAAUCUGCAAAAUCAUGGAUCAGAUAUGGAUUGAUGUCCAAUCCGUAAAAUCCGAUCCGCGAACACUCCUAUAGUAGACUAUAAUUAUCUGGUACAUGGUUUUGGAUGAAAAUAGUGUAAAUAGCAAUAGAACAACCCAUAGAUCACAGUCUAGGGAAUGAACAAAUGCACAAUUCCAGUCAAGUGAAUAAUCACAGGAUAUUUUCAUCAACUUUUAAUAAAUAUAAAAAUGAAAACUACGCAGAGAAUAUUCUUAAACACAAGUUCUAUGACUGUGAUUAUCAAUAUUAAGCAAUCAACCUCGUACAAUCAUCAACUUGUGAUAAACUAUUCAUGCCAGUAACAUGACUAUCUUAUUAAUUUCAGUUCACUGCAAAGUGAAAAAAAAUUAAUCACAUCCUCUUCGACUAAAAUUGAAGUUAAUUCUUGGCUCCCUUCAACAAAUUUUCUUUUCUAGUACUCUAUUAUUCACGUUCAUCUCAUAAAAGAUAUGUAGAGAUUGUCAAGUUAUGUAAUCAACUUGAGCAACAUCUUCCCAAGAUUACUGGAUUAGAUUUACAAGAUGAAUUAAAGAUGAUCUGAACUUACAAUGAUUUUAAACAACUCAAUAUCACAACGAACCAACAGUAAGCAAUUAAAGAAACUAAAAGAAACCCAAGAAUUAACUCAGACACAGCAAGUUACGUGGCUCAGUCAAUUCAUCAUUGACUUACAUCCACGGAGGAACAAAUUGACCAGCUUUAUUGAUUGAACCAAGUCUCUUUUACAACCAGAUUUAUAGAGCCCUAAUCAAGGAACAAGAACACUAUGUUUACACAAGCUCUCUCUCUCCUGAAUCCUCUGAAAUCCUCUCGGUUUGUUACACCAGAAUUAGCUUCAGCUUAUGUGUUUAUAACAACCCAGAAGCAGCCCAAGCUGAGCACGUGAGCAGCAUAUGUCUUUAACGGCUUUUAACAGCCUUCUUACGUCAUUAAAAACUCACGCGCAUUGCUCGUCAUUAUUAUAACCCAAAGCGCUAGAGUCUUAUGUCGUUUCUCAAAGAGGUAUUAAGAUAUCCUGAAACGCAGAUUGCUGUGCCGUUUUCCUUUUGACAUCAAAUGCCAAAACGCAGAGCUUCCUGUCGUCUCCUUAAAUCUCUUUUUGAUUUGUUUCAUUCUGGUCCAACAUAACUCCACCUUGAAGCAAAUCAACCCUGAUCUAAUUUUCUCCUCGUCCCUCUGUAUAAUUAGAGGCUAUCAACACCAGCCAUGUUCAAGCAAGCUUUGAACUUGGCUGUAAGAACAAUUUUAGUAAGUAUGUCUGCUGGGUUAUCAUCUGUGUGAACCUUUACUAUCUUGAUUACUCAUUUUGACACUUCAUUUAUGAUAAAGUGUAGUUUGACAUCAAUAUGUUUGGUUAUUUUAUGAUGAGCUGGGUUUUUGCUUAGGUAGAUGGCACUUGAGCUAUCACAAUGGACUUCAACUGUUUUCUGACUCAUCCCCAACUCUUCGAUCAUCCCUUUGAGCCAUAAAGCUUCUUUGAUAGCUUCUAUGGCUGCUGUGUAUUCAGCUUCUGUUGUUGAUAGAGCAACAACAUGUUGGAGACUUGCCUUCCAACUGAUGAUGCAUCCAUUGAGCAUAAACAAGUACCUUGUUAAUAAUCUUUUUCUGUCAUUGUCUCCAGCAAAGUCUGAGUCUACAUAACCCCAUAGGCCACUACUUCUCCCUUCUGAUCUUCCAUACAGCAGUCCAAGUUUCUCAGUACCAUUCAGAUACCUUAGUAUCCACUUAACUGCUUGCCAAUGCUCAUUCCCAGGUGUUGCCAUAUACCUACUAACAAUGCUUAUAGCAUAAGAAAUAUCAGGUCUUGUUAAGACCAUGGCAUACAUCAUACACCCUAUAACAUUAGCAUAUGGAAACUUUGCCAUUUCAUGUCUCUCUUCAUCUGUCUUAGCACAUUGCAGAUUGGAGAGCUUGAAAUGGGAGGCUAGUGGUGUCAAUACUGACUUACAGGCUGACAUCCCAAAUGUCUUAAUUAUCUUCUUCGCAUAGCCUCAUUGUGACAGAAACAUUGUGCCUACCUUCUUGUUCCUCAUUAUAUCUAUGCCUAAGAUCUUCCUAGCACGUCUUAAAUCCUUCAUAUCAAAUUCUGAACUCAGUAGCUCUUUCAACGCUUCAAUCUCAUCCCUUACCUUACAAGAAAUUAACAUAUCAUCUACAUACAUCAACAAGUAUAUGUAGUGAUGUGUCUUAAGUAUCUUGUAGUAGACACAACAAUCGAAACUGCAUCUUUUGAAUCCAUUUGUUGUAAUGAACUCAUCAAACCUGAGGUACCAUUACCUUGGGGACUGUUUUAAACCAUACAAUGAUUUCUUUAGCAAACACACAUGUUCUGGUCUCUCUGGAUCCACAUACCCCUCUGGCUGAACCAUUAGAAUUUCAUCUUGUAAUAUUCCAUGAAGGAAUGCUGUUUUGACAUCGAGUUGAUCAAGCUCCAUGUCAUAAACUAUAGUCAUAGCUAGCAAUACUCUGAUUGAAGUAUGUCUAACUACUGGUGAAAAAACUUCUUUAAAGUCAACCCCUUCCUUUUGAGUGUAGCCCUUAGCCACUAACCUAGCUUUGAAUCUCCUAAGUUCUGAAGCUGUCAGGCCAUCCUUAAUUCUAUAGAUCCAUUUACAACCAAUGAGUUUUCUUUUUUCAGGUUUUGUUACUUGCUCCCAGGUGUUGUUUUUAUAGAGGGAUGAUAUUUCUUCAUCCAUUGCCUGCUGCCAAUCAGUUUUGUAUGAGCUUUGCAUUGCUUCUUUAUAGCUCAUUGGUUCUUCUUCAUCAACCUCUUGUGAGGUGGCCAGUGCAUAUGCUAUAAGAUCUGCAUAGCCAAACCUCUUUGGGGGUCUUAUUACUCUUCUCUUUCUGUCUCUAGGUAGAUGAUAAUCUUCUAUAUGGGAGGGUUUUGGGUGUUCUGAGCUUGUAUCCCUAUCACCAGCAACUUCUUUAUCUGAAUCUACAGCUUCACCAAAGGUUUUCUUUGCUGGAUGCUUCACCUCAAACUGUAUAACAUCAUCAGUUUUAUUUUGAGGUUUAGCAUUUUCAACAGGGUUUUUCCUCACUUAGCACCAUCUGCUCAUUAAACACCACAUCUCUGCUGACUAUACAUUUUGGAGGGGCCAAGUCUGCGUACCAAAUCUUAUAGCCUUUUACCCCUUCUGGAUAACCUAUAAACAGCCCCUUUAGAGCUCUAGAUGCUAGCUUUCCUUGGUUUGUAUGUGCAUUGGCAGUGCAACCAAACACUUUCAGCUUGCUGUAAUCUUCUAGUUUACCACACCACUUCUCAUGUGGUGUUUUGAAGUCUAAGACUGGGGAAGGGCUCAAAUUUAAUAGCAUGCAAGCUGUCAGUAGUGUUUUUGCCCAUAGCCCUUUAGGUAAAUAUGAUUAUAUCAUCAUGCAUCUUACCUUCUCCAUCAAAGUUCUGUUCAUUCUUUCAGCCAAGCCAUUCUGUUGUGGUGUUAGUCUCACUGUUUUGUGUCUAGCAAUGCCUUCUUUUGAGCAGUAUUCAUCAAACAUAUGAUUACAAUAUUCUAGUCCAUUGUCAGUUCUAAGAAACCUUCAGCUUCUUCCCUGUUUGAUUUUCAACAAGUGCUUUCCAUUCUUUAAACCUCUCAAACACAUGAUCUUUGGUUCUAAGUACAUACACCCAAACCUUUCUAGAGUAGUCAUCUAUUAUAGACAUAAAGAACCUAUUGCCUUCUAAAGAUGGAACCUGUGAAGGUCCCCACAGAUCUGUAUGCACAUAGUCCAGGAUACUUUUGGUUUUAUGGACAGAUUUCUUAAAGCUAGCUCGUAUGGAUUUCCCUAGAACACAAUCCUCACAGAAAUCUAGUUCUUCAAUCUUGUCACCCCUCAAAACCCCCUGCUUUUCUAAUUCUUUAAGACCAUUUAGGCUUAUGUGUCCCAAUCUUAAAUGCCAAAGCCUGGUAUUAUCAGCAUUAGUCUUGACAGACACAUUGGAUUCACUAGUCAUUACUUCCCCAUCCAGGACAUAAACCCCAUUUCUCCUUGUGCCUUUCAUAAUCAAUGUUGAGCCAUUUAGGAUUCUUAAGUCACCACACUCUAAUUUUAUACUACACCCAAUUUGGUCAAGCAUCCCUAGAGAGAUUAAAUUCCUUUUAAGGUUUGGUACAUGCCUGACCUGUUUUAUUAGCCUCACAAUCCCAUCAUGUAGUUUUAGAUGUAUGUUUCCUAUCCCAAUGACCUUACACAUUGCAUUGUUUCCCAUCAUUACCCUUCCCCCAUCAUAUUCAUGGUAAUCUGAAAAGUAACUCUUUACAGGACUCAUAUGAAAAGUAUAGCCAGAAUCAAGGAUCCACUUACCUAUCUGCACUUCAUCAGUUGCCACACACACUCCAGCUGAUUCAUAUCCCUCAUCUUCAACUAUUGCUGCAUCUCCAAUCUUUUGUUUAUUUUUAGGGCAAUCUUUCUUGAAGUGUCAUUCCUUGUGACACUGAAAACACUUCAAGUUCUUGUUUUUGUUCUUCCCCUUUCCUUGCUUCUUUUUCUUUCCAUCAAUUCUUUCAUUUCUUCCUUUCACAGUUAAUCCCACUCCACUCUCUGUGUUAACUUGCUUUUCUUGUAGACCUCUGGUAUUCAAUGCAGCCUUAACCUCAUCUAGAGACAAGGUUUGUCUACCAUACAUUAAAGCAUCCACAAAAUUGGAGUAUGACUGUGGUAAUGAACUUAUCAGAAGUAGAGCUUUUCCUUCAUCAUUCAGGCCCUCAUCAAUGGUCUCCAAGGUGUCACAAACUUUGUUGAACUCAUCGAUAUGUUCAUCAAGAGAUGAUCUCGCAGCCAUCUUUAAUGAAAACAUCAUCUUCUUUAUAUAGAGCCUAUUUGCCAGUGACUUUGUCAUGUACAGAUUCUCAAGUUUAGCCCAUAGCUCUGCCACUGUUCUCUCCUUUGCCACUUCUCUAAUAACUGAGGCACUCAAACUCAGAAUUAUCGUGCUUCUUGCUUUCUUGUCGAUCUCAGCAGCCAGUUCUAGAGAUUUUGAUGAAGAUACCUCAUUCCCUUCUUUCUUGGUUGUUGGUUCUAUGGUUUCACCUAGGCCUUGAGUAAUUAACAAUGCCUCCAUUUUCACUUUCCACAUAUUGAAGUCGUUCUUCCCAUUAAACUUUUCAAGAUCAACUUUAGGAGCAGCCAUACUUGUAUCUGAUCAAGAAACCGAGCUCUGAUACCAAUUGUAGAGAUUGUCAAGUUAUGUAAUCAACUUGAGCAACCUCUUCCCAAGAUUACUGGAUUAGAUUUACAAGAUGAAUUAAAGAUGAUCUUAAUUUACAAUGAUUUUAAACAACUCAAUAUCACAACGAACCAACAGUAAGCAAUCAAAGAAACUAAAAGAAACCCAAGAAUUAACCCAGACACAGCAAGUUACGUGGUUCAGUCAAUUCAUCAUUGACUUACAUCCCCAGAGGAACAAAUUGACCAGCUUUAUUGAUUGAACCAAGUCUCUUUUACAACCAGAUUUACAGAGCCCGAAUCAAGGAACAAUAACACUCUGUUUACACAAGCUCUCUCUCUCCUGAAUCCUAUGAAAUCCUCUCGGUUUGUUACGCCAGAAUCAGCUUCAGCUUCUGUGUUUAUAACAACCCAGAAGCAGCCCAAGCCGAGCACAUGAGCAGCAGAUGUCUUUAACAGCUUUUAACAGCCUUCUUACGUCAUUAAAAACUCACGCACAUUGCUCGUGAUUAUUAUAACCCAAAACGGUAGAGUCUUAGGUCGUUUCUCAAAGAGGUAUUAAGAUAUCCUGAAACGCAGAUUGCUGUGCCUUUUUCCUUUUGACAUCAAAUGCCAAAACGCAGAGCUUCCUGUCGUCUCCUUAAAUCUCUUUUUGAUUUGUUUCAUUCUGGUCCAACAAGAUCAAUUUAUUAGAAGACGAUAUUCCUCCAUCAAAUUGAAAGAGAAAUUGAAAAUAUCAAAAAGGGAACAGUAAGACGAUACUAUAUAUAUUAUCAUGAUAUUUUUGGUUUUUGUUUUGGAAAUGGAACAUCAUGAAACCGAGUAGAGGUGCACAAAAAUGGUGAAGAUAUAUUUCAGCUUCAUCGAUUGUCUCGAAUAAAAACAUCAAUGAUGUGUUAAACAAUUAACUCAAAAAUAGAUUGCUUACCUUAAAGGUGUGCCCAAAUUAUAAAUUUCAGUUUCGACUAUUGACCUUGGUUCGUAACGCGAUAAACUAAUCCGUGGCAUUUCACAUACCCAACAAUCUUGUAAGAAUUGGUUGAACUCUCAGAUCCCAUUCCACAACAUGCAAAACUCCCUGAUAUUGCCAAUGGCGGUGAUAUGAUUCAUUUAAAGGGUUCCCCUUGUUGCCAAUUACCUUUAAAGAACAAUAAACUAUUGCCAAUGUUCUCGACACGGUUCCAUCACUCUGAAAAACUAACGCAUGUGAGCAAAACAAAGGCAGUCAAUUAUGUCACUCCAGUAUUCAGAGACAGAUCGCCGACUCAUAAGUGAUUUAGUGGGCAAUCCAAGAAAGAUGUCAUAGAUGAUAUAAUCAGAAAUUUCUUCCUCCAUCAGUUUUAUACAAUUUUUAACAUCCCUUUGAGAUUCUGGUCAAUUAAGAACUUAAUCAGUUCCUGCAUGUCAAAGUUGUUUGAGUGUCAUAAAACCUGUAGCGAAUCUACAUUUUCUGGGAAUAAUUUAAUAUAAAACUUAGCAGAAAGCUAAUACAAAUAUGCAGUUUUUAUUCGAACAAAAUUUAUGUGAACCAAGAAACAGAGCAUAACAGGGUAGCUGCAACUAAUAACACACAAAUUAACUCGUAAAAGUGACCUAACAAGCGUCAGAAUCAAUGGAUUAAAGCACUAAUCAGAGAUUGUGAACAAAACGUUUGUUUUAUAAUCAUGGAAAUUUGAGAUUACAUCAGCUAUAUGAUCCAUGAAAGAUAAGAAGCUUAAAGUGAGUUUAUGUAGCAUUGAUAGGCCUGUAUGGUGUCGCCAGCGCAGUGGCGUCGUCGGCGUGAGUGCGAGUGAAUUUUGGGAGACCUCCGGCUCCGGUUCCGUUGACUUUGCAUUAAAUUUGGUAAUAAUUUUUUUUUUAAAAUUUAAAGUGUUAAAAUAUUCUAUUUAGCAGAAAAUAGAAACAAAUUGCGAAUGAGAUUAGAAUCCAAAUUUCAUUGCUAUCAUUUGAUAUAGAGGCAUUUCAAGUAAACUUUGGUCGUUUUUCAUUACCCAUGAGAGUGAGAACAGAGAACUCGAGUUAUCAUAUUGAAAAAUGGUAAUGAGACAGAAUUUAAAUCCUUACAAACCAAUAAUUAAUUAAUCGGUGUUAGUUUAUCGUGUUUGCAGCUAUAUUUUAUUGGAAACCUUAAAAAAGAAAUGGAAUCUUUCAGUUCAUAAUGUAUUAUUAUAUUUAUCCCACUCUUGUUUAUGACAAUUUGCAUCUGAGCCAGCUGGAAUGCUAUAGACUGAAAAAAUUAACAAUGUUUUCUGAGGAUGACUGACCAAGUCAAAGUCUUUGAGGCGCACAAUUAAUCUAACCGGGGCGAGCAGAAAUUACUGUAUUUAUAAAAUUUUGAUUCACUAGUUUCAAGUGAAAGAAAUAUUAAAAUAUAUAUCAUUCGCAUUUAUGAUGGAGCCUCUAACGAUUAUUAAAUCAUUUUAAGCAUUUAUGUAUGACUAUUACAUUUAAUUAAUUGUAUUGCAUAAUUUGCAUAGGCUCCUCCACUUUGAGGCAGUUACUUGGGUUCAAAUUUGCAGUUGCAGAGCACCAAAGUUUGCUUUUUCGAUCUACUUGGAUUUUUCUUUGUUGAUCAUGUAAGUUAUACAUACAGCACUGCAAAAUGCCUCUACAAUAUUGCCAGUUUUCGUAUAACAUGUCCUUAGGAGGACUCUUGUGUACAUAAAUAUGUUGUUCGGUUAAUGUCGGUCUCGUUUAAUUGUAAUUCAUUGUAGAUCCAAAAUUGUAAACUAUUGUUUCUUUAGCCUGAACUUGUGAACCAACUGAUUUGAUCAUCAGGUCUCAAGACUUGGACGCAGAGGAAGGUCUUAAAAGAAGGCUUCUGCACGGAGAUGGUAGGCCCAGUGAUGGAACAAAAAACUCAUCAGUUGUGUCCGUAACCGGAAGAUCCGGAACGCAAGCAGUAAAGACAAGUUUUCUUCAGCUGGAAAAGAUGAGAAAUUAUGCAGCAAAUUACAGAAUCGAUUUACCAUGGUAUGUGAUUUCAAUAUUAUGGGAUCCUUUGUACUUCUACACUCUGGUGAUCAAUGAUGAAAAGCAGUGCAUUGAAAUGGACUUUUCUUUGGCUUCCUUGGUGAUUGAACUCCGCUUCUACUUUGAUUUGGCCAAGUUGAUCCACAGUUCGUUUGUGAUUUGUGUUGAAUAUUUUGAAAAUAGAAAGAUAAGCGUGUGGCUGAUGUUCGCAUGGCUCAUUGACUUUGUGUCCAGUAUAAUAUUUACCCAGGUGCGUAAUAGAUCUGAAUUUAAUUUAUUUAGUUGUCUAAUAUUUCAAUAUCAUUUAUAUGAUUACUAAUACUUCAAAUUCAUAAAACAACAUCCAGAUGGUGGUGGGAAUAACGGACAUUCUGUACUCGAGGAAUUUCUUUCUGUUUCAAUAUUUGCUGAAGAUUAUUCGAACCUACCACCUGCUUACAGCAGCAACAGGGGUUUCAGGGAUAUUUGGUGAAUCUACAUGGGCCAUUGUUGCGUUCAAUGUUCUUCUUUACAUGCACGGCAGUUACGUAAGUCAAAAGUACUAUCAUUUAUGUAAGUUAAUUUAUAAUAAAACCCUUCUCAGGCAAAAAGAAAAAUUAAAAUAGAACCACAUUCAUGCAUCCUGCUUUCUUCCUUCCUAAUUUUGAUAAAUGAAUUCUUUUAGUCCUUAAGAUUCGAGUUAAUUAUUCAGUUACUACUGUCGCAUAUAUUGUCAGACAGAAGUAAUGACAAAGACAUUUUUGUGUAAUUCUUAAAAAUAUGGAGAUUAACUGAAUAAUUAACCCAAGCCCUCGUGAAUGAAGGGAAAUUGACACUCGAAGCUUUUCUACUUUCUCAACCGCGCAUGUUUCUAAUCGAGUGGUCCUUUAGGUAUUUGGUGCCUUGUGGUACUUUUUUGCCAUAAACAAAGCGACCGCAUGCUGGAUGGAUACCUGCAUGAAGAAUACUGGUUGCUGGGGCGUCUUAAACAUUGAUGCCUAUUGUGAGGGCCGUUCAGGAGACUAUAAGUUUCUAAACGAUGUUUGCUCUGUAAAGACGGGAAACUCAACAAACAAUUUUUAUGGCUUAUAUGGUGAUGCUUUUCAGUUAGGAAUUGUGGGGUUGACCGAUGUUCCAAUGAAAAUCUUGCUUUGUUUACUAUGGGGACUGCAAAAUCUCAGGUUUGUGCCUUGCAUUGUCGUUACUGUGUGAUGUGAGGUCAGCCGUUAAUAACUUCGAAAAUUGUGAGUUCAUUGAAUUGCUUUUUGCAGUGCUUUUGGUCAGAGCCUCCAACCAAGUAACGAUUUCUGGGAAAUUAUCUUCGCAAUUUGCAUGACCAACUAUGGCAUCGUUCUGUUUGUCUUCUUAAUUGGAAAGAUGCAGGUUCACAUAUAUAAAUUCUAUAUCGUAAUUGUUAUGACAUAUGAUGAUAUAAUAAAUUAUCAUGCGUUAAUUAAUGACCGGCAUCUUACCAUCUCGCUGUUACAUAAAGAAAUAUUUUAGGGCUGUGAGAAUGCCAUGUCAAUUAGAAUUAAUACAAACUUUGCAUCCCAAUUCCUUAUAAAAUUAGCGUUACUCAUAAUUUUCUGUUUACGUCUAUAGAUUUGAAGAUUGAUGCACAAUUCAAUUAUUGACUCUGUUUCAUUUGAAAUAUCUGAUACAUAAAUAUAUAUGCAGUCUGACACAGAAAGAUCACAAAAGAUCAAACAGAUGUGGGAGGAGAUAAAGCAAUGGCAGCACUUUAAGGAUAUAUCUAAUAAAGUUCAAGAUCAAAUAAGGAAAGACAAGCGCAACAACUGGGAAGAAACCAAAGGAGUUGACAUAGAUAAUUUGGUGAAUAAUCUCCCUAAGGACACUGGAAAAAAAAUAAAACGCGAUCUCGGCCGAAAGCUGCUCAAGAAUGUGAGUUCUCAUCAUCCCUCUUUAUAAUUAUAAUAAUUGAUCACUUUUCUAUCCUGCCCGCUCUGAAGUUCAAAUGUCUCGAUGUUUCAAUCAUUUUCAUUCUUAACCUGAUCGGGCGAGCCAAAUUAAUCCUUCGUUACAUUAAAAUUACAGAUUCGUCUUAUUUUCCCUCUUUGAUUGGUACUCCUUCUGAAUCCAAGCAUCGAACCUAAGUCAUACCUCAUUGAAGUUCAUGGGCUUAACUAACACAUGGUCAAAAGCUAGCUAGUUCGUAGUUAGGUUGAGAUUUGCCUCAAGGUUAAAUACUUUAUUCAUGAUUUACUCUUAGCUGACAUGCAAUGUUUUACAUACGCAGAGAGAUAGAGAUAGUCAUUCUCAAAUGCACGCCCUCAUUUUUUUUAAUAUGAAUACUCUGUUAACAGAGUUAAUUUCCAAUAAAUUGUAAACCCAUAGCAUUAAAAAUUGACUUUAUUAAACUGCAUAGUUUAGAUAUGUGUCCGCAAGAAAAAAAAAAAAGAGGGCACCCGCACUUAAGAAUGAUUAAUAUAUAAUAUGGACGCCCUCAUUUUUUUAAUCAGAAUAUGCUCUUAAACUGUGCAGUUUAGGAGAGUUAAAGACUAACUCUCUUAAACCUCAUGAUUUAAAAGCGUUUUUGUAUGAAAAAAAUGAGCGCGCUCGCACCAAAAAAGAACUCUCGGGUGUGUGUGUGUGUAUAACUUUUUAUAAAUGUAUUUUUAAAGUCACAUGACGAGGUGGGCUUUCAUUCUUAUAACUAAUCUUUGUUAUCUCGAUUUACCCAUGUAAUGGUUGGAUAUAUUUAUACUCUAAUUCUCAUUCUUGGAUAUGUGUAAAUAUAUAUGAAGGUAAAAGAGUUUCAAAAUUGGAGCGAAACAUCAUUAGAGGAACUAUGUGAUUGUUUGAAGCCAGUGUUCUUUAUUGAACGUACUCGAAUAAUUCGAGUAGGAGAUCCAAUUGAUGAGAUGCUCUUCGUGUUGAAUGGCAAGCUUUGGACUUACUCAUAUGACUUCAUGAAUGUAACAACAACUGCCUCUAUGUUGAUCCAUCGUCGUAGCCGGGAAAAUCUUCUAGAAGAUGGUGAUUUUUGCGGACAAGAACUUAUAGCUUGGUCUCAAAAUGAAAGCUCAUCACCCCACCUCCCUAUCUCAACCAGAACCAUUCAGGCACUUACUAACGUUGAAGCUUUUACUCUUAUGGCCGACGACUUGAAACGUGUAUCAUUACUUCGACAUUUUGAUCGGGCAGCUCUUUUGUUACAAUCACGCUGGCGUUUCAAAAGGCUGUUGCGUGCUAGAAGGAAUCCAGAGAAACGAUCACGCCUGGAAUCACUAAUGUAUAAAUUUAUAUAGAGAAACAUAUAUACGUUUGUUGCAGCAUUAUAAUUAGUCCCGAUUAUGUAAAAGCAAGUACAGAAAGCCAUUUAAAUAUGGGAAACCAACGUGCUGUUGCUCAUACUACACUAGGGGUGGCAAAACGAAUUGGCAAAUCGAAUUCGUGUAGAAUCCUAAAUGAAUCAAAUCAAAAUUCGAUGGAUUCAAAUUCGAUUUGUUUAUUAAACGAAUCGUAAUCUCAUGAUUUGGACUCAAUUCGUUUAGUAAACGAAUAUUCAUUUACAAUUCAUUUACUAUACAAAGUUAAAUUAAAUAAUAAAUAAUGAAAGUUUUUAAUAAAGAAUCCAAUGGAUUAAUUUAAAUUUAUUUAAAAUCUAAUCACAAAAUCGAUUCAUUACAACUAGAUCCAAGCAAAACACAAAUACAAUUCAAAAACAAGAAGCUGAAGAAACUCAAAGGCAUGAGGACGGACGAAGCUAACAGUCCAAUCAGUGGUGGGUGUGGCUAUUCGAGACCUUGUCACUACCGUAACCAAGAGAAGUGAAGCUUGCCGAAAAAUUUUAAGUGAGAGCACUGAUCUAAUUUUUGGGAGUGUUUGGUUUGGCUUUCGUUUGGGGGAAUGAAGAAAAGGGUCACCAAAUUCAAGUGAAAGAGAACAAUGGAGGAAGGACAAUGAAGAGUGGAGCUAGGCUCAAUUAAUGAGUGAUGAUGCCCUUGCUUUCAUUUUCUUUUUUGGUUUGUUUUCAUUUCAUAAUUUCAAAACUAACCUUAUACCUUGAAAUGUUAAAACAGAUUUUUUUUUUUAAUUUUAAUGAUAUAUAAGUUUUUUAUUAAAAUCUAUUAUACUAUUUGGUUACAACCUAUUUAAUAAAUGAAUUAUAAACGAAUAAAUGAAUUGUUGGCGUCAAAUUCAUAUUCAAUUCGUUCAUUUAACAAAUCAAAUUGAAUUCACUCAUUAAUCAAAUGAAUCAAUUUUUUUAACUCAGACCAAUUUAAUUCAACUCGAAUUAAAUCAAAUUAACAAAUCCUGACCCGGCUUGUCACCCCUAAUAAUAUGCAAAGGUAAUAAUUGAGUAUUAUGUAAAUAGUCGAGGUUAAAUGGUAAAAGAUGAAAACUAUAGGGGGUAUGUGUCAAUAUCGUUUUUUAUUAAUUUAACAACCGAUGGUUGAAUGAUUCAACCUUCUUCAUCCAAAUGGAAUUUUUCUUAUGUAUAAUGUUCAUUUAUGCUGAGACAAAUAGGUUAUCUCUUUCCACGUUGUUUUUUUCACCCAUUUUGGGCCCGAUAUAGCUGAGUAAUUGUGAUGAUGUGAACGGUCUUACACUUGAAUGAAGUCACAAUGUGAGUCAUACACUUGUAAUUUUUUGAACAUUUGUAGUUAGCUAGCCUUUGAUUGUGCUGUUAUUAAAUUUCCAAUUUUCGUCUUUUAAACGAUGACUUUUAGAAUGGUACCACAAUAAACGUUCUGGUUAGCCUUUGUUUGAUCAGCUGUUGCUAAAUGCCUUGUUUUUAUCUUUUAAUUUAAUAACUUUUAAAAUGGUACUUUAGAUGUUAUGAUACCAUUUCGAAACAACAUCGUUGUUAGUCUUUGGUUGAGUUGUUAAAUAUCUUGUCUUUGUCUUUAAGACGAUAACUUUUAAGAUGGAAUUUUGAAUGAUAACUUAAAGCUUGGACGUUAUUUUGUCUAUUUUGGCCGGCCAUUACCCAUUAAAACAACACUUUAAAUGAUUAAAUUUAUUAUUUUACUUUUAAAACUCACAACACUCUCUAAACAUGGUUUACUAAAUAACCUAAUAAUUUUUUUUUUUGUUUAGCUGAUUAUUUUUGUAAACACGACAUAAGCAGAAUAUUUUGUGAGCACCAACAAUCUCCAAUAAAUAAACUUUUAGAGUGGCUUGCCUACAACGUUUCUUUCUACAUGUUUUUCUACACCCAUUUUGUGCCCGAUCUAGCUGAAGUACUUCUGAUGAUGUGAAGGAUCCUGCACUUGAAGGAAGUCAAUCGGCCAAUUUUGCAGAAACCCUAAUUUUGAUUCUUCUACUUGGUUUCUAACAUUAUCGAUCAUGUAAGUAACUGAUCUAGGUAUUGGUACAUAAUAUUCGUCGAUUAAUUUUGCCCUUGUAAUUCCUUGAACAUUUUUUUCUUCCUGGACAAAUCAAAAGCACAGACUGCAUGAUAAACAUUUUGGUUAGUCUUUGUUUUAGCAGUUGGUUAAUGUCUUGUUUCUGUCUCCAAAAUGGCUUUUAGAAUGGUACUUAAGAUGUUUCUAACUUUACAGUGGAUGUAUUUGGGCAAAGCUACGAAUUGAUCUUAAAGGACACACGCACACAUACAUCUUUAUUUUUGAACAUCCAAAAAGGUUCAAAUGAGUGGAAAGCAAGUGUGAUGAUCAAGAAGAAAUUAUUAUUACUUUUGAUGUUUUGUUAGUCUUCAAAACAGAUGAUAGGAUGAUUCAAUCUUUCUAAAGAAAAUGCAAAUGAUGAAACAUAUGUAUAUUUUUCAUUUUGGAUUCUUCUUAAUUACCCAUUGUUGAUCAUGUAAGUAAAUGUUGUUGUUUCCAACAUUGAUCAUGGAAUUUUGCCAACUUGACACUUUUUAAACAGUUUUUCUUUGCCUGGAUCACUUGAAGAAGGGUUAAAUGCUCUUUAUAUCUCUGCAAUUGAUACCGCUCCUUUUCGUUUUCUUAGAUACGCUUAGAUUUACAUUGGAAAUCCUUUUACCCCACUCGAUAGGAAGUUUUAUAAUUCAGCGAAAUUUCAUUGUGAUUUAUUUUAAAACCUUGUUUUGUUAAAGUUAAUUUGCAAGGGAGUCGUAAUUUUUUUUUGAGUUUUUAAAUAUUGUUAAUUAUACUCAUCUUGAAAAAAUUAAAAUUUUUAAUACGAAUGUAAAAUGUCCAACUUUUUAUUUUUUUAAAUUAAAUUUUCGUAAAUUUGUAUAUUUAUCAAAAAUAAAUUCUAACAAAUAAAAAAGUAAUUUAAAUUAAUUUUCUACUUAAUAACAGUUAUAUUCCUAGCAAAAAAUUAUUUUCUAUUAGGGAUCAAAUAUUUUCCUUUACGGAAAAUGAGUUUUACAUGAUUAAUAAUUAGAGUGAUAUAUAAAAACUAAUUCGUGAGCACAACAAACAUUUUCCAGUAUUUAAACAAUGAUUUUUUAAAAUAAUAGUGAAAAAUCAUUCAUUCAUUUGAAUUAAGUCUAAAUUAGAGGCAAUGAUGUUGACGUAUUUUACAAAGAUGCCAAGAGUAUUUGUCUGUUGAGCUACUACAAUGUUGUCAUAAAAUUUACGCAUUGCAAAAAAAUUCUAAUUACUCAUAACGUGUCUUGAUCAGGUCUCGGAACCCGCAAUUAGAGCAAGGCACAGCAGCACAAGCUCUCGGAGAAGAUAGUGAACCACCACGUAAAUGGCCAUUGUUCUUCUUGGUUGGCCAAAUUUUAUACUGGUUACUCUAUGUGACAUACAAAAUUUUAUACUUGUUGCUUUAUUUGACUGCCAUAAGUUUAUUCGGGUGUUUUGCUGGGAUGUUUGAAAGCAUAGGGUUGAUUGUGGCGGUAGUGAUAUUGGAUAUUUUCAGGCCGAUGAUAAAGUUGGCUAUCAAAAAAAAGAUUUUUCUUCUACUGUCUGUUAUUGCAAUUAUAUUGGAUCCUUUGUUCUUCUACAUUCCGGUCAUAAAUGAUGAAAAGAAGUGCAUUGAAAUGGACAAGAUUUUGGGAACUACAGCCAUUUCUCUUCGUUCGGUAAUCGAUUUAUUUAAGAUAAUUCAUUUUAUCUUUGAGCUGCUCACUAAAUUACCCGUAAAAGGAAGGAUGCGUGUGUGGUUGGUCUUUCUCAUUGACAUUUUGGCCAUUCUUCCCCUCCCUCAGGUAUGACAAACUAAAUAUCCGGAUACUUAAGCUAGCACAUUUGUUAUUUUAUGAACUAUGACAGCAAAUAUAUAAUGCUGUGCAAAUGAUAUUCGGUGCUAUGUCCAUUCAGGAGGAGAGAGUCUUUCAUGAUCCUAGAGCAUUUCUAAUUAUAUAUUCACCUACUUCCUAACACAUGUGUAUAAAUAUUAUUACAAUUGUUUGAAGCAUACACGUGCCAAAGAAUGAAUGAAAAAGAAGCAGUUCUACUAGAGCACCCAAGACUUUUCCCCAUUAUUUAUAGCCACUUUCAAGGUUUAAAUUCUUUUUUAGUUCCGAAUGGUUUGGCCAAUUACCUAUUUAGUCCCCUUUUUUGGGGAAAUUAAUUAAAAUUAUCUAUUGUUACUCUUAUAGCUAUUAGAUCUAAUCUUUUAAGAGUAAAUUAAUAUUUUUAUCUGAUGUAAUUAAAAUUUAAACAAAUAUGACAUGUCAUAGGUGAAAAGUAAAGAAUAAUUGAGUAGAAUUUAAUUGAUACAUACAUACAAUAAGUACAUUUUGGAUAAUUUUCUAAAAUACCAGGAUAAACUUUAGAGGCUAUAGUAGAAUUUACCUCAGUUUCAAGCUAUACAUUGUACAAAGGGUUCAUAGUCCGGAUUUUGAAAACGUGCAGUCAUAUACAGAGGGGAAUUCUCAUACUAUGCAUUGUAUGAGGUAUUUAAUUAUCUACAUAUAAUACUGACUACCACUCAAUUGUCCAGGUGCUUUUGAACUUACAAAAAGUAAGAGGCACGGAAUUUCUAUACGCAAUGAGCUUCUCCCUUGUACAAUAUUUGUUGAGGGUUAUUCGAACCUACUACUUGUUUACAGAAGCAACAGGUGUUACAGGAAUACUUGCCGAAGCUACAUGGGCCAUUGUUGGGUUCAACAUUCUUCUUUAUAUGCAAGGCGGUCACGUAAGUUAUAAAAGACCAUUCAUUCAAUUUAAUUCCUAAGAUAUGCACGAGCCGAAUGAAUAUAUCUUUAUGCAUACUUUAUAUUGUUGGCACUGGGACAUACAGUUAUUUCUGAAUCAUGCACCCUUUUCAGGUAUUUGGAGCCUUAUGGUACUUCUAUGCCAUCGGAAAAUUGACAGGAUGCUGGAAGAAAGCGUGCCAAAAUAAUACUGGAUGUCAUCAUAGUUCGUUUUAUUGUGAAGACAUGAUCAGUACAAGAGAUUACACGUUUCUAAAUGAUUUUUGCAGUAUAAAGUCAGGAAAUACAUCAGAUUACAAUUUUGGAUUAUAUAAUGAUGCUCUUGAGUCUGGUAUUGUGGAGGUGACGAAUUUUCCAAAGAAAUUGUUACAUUGUUUACAAUGGGGCUUGCAAAAUCUCAGGUUUGAGCAUAAUCCAAACUUUCUCUUUGUGAUGUUAUGGUUGAAAAGAAAAAAGAAUGAAACAAUAUUGGUUGAAAAAAAUAAAAUACUUUGGUCACUCUUAGACACUAUUUUACCACUUAGGUCCCUGGUAAAAUUUUAAUAUCUUAUUUCAUACUAGAAUUGGAAUAAAAGUAUAGAAAAAAACACAUUGUUGAAAGUUAAACGUCACAUUUUAACAAAUAGAUUAAAUAACUUUAAUUUGCAUUGAUCUAAAAUAAUCAUGUUUAUUCUGGUAUUGUUUUCAAGGAGCAAAGUAUUACAUAUUCCCCUUUCGAGAAAACUGCCGAUUCUUUUGCAUAGGAGAGUGACUUUAUUCUUUUGUGUAUAUCAUUUCAAAUAAAGCGUAUAGAUUGAACCCUUUGCAGUGCUUUUGGUCAGAACCUCCAAACAAGCACCGAUAUCUGGGAAAACGUUUUUGCAAUUUGCAUGACCAACUUUGGUGUGGUACUGUUUGUCUUUUUAAUUGGGAAGAUGCAGGUUCGUAUACAUUUUCUAUUUCUUAUAUCUGAAUUAACCUCAAUUCCAAGUGUUAUAAUUAAUAUUGAAGUACAUUUGAAAUUAAUGGAUUGUAACUGCAGUCGGACACAGCAAGAUCACAUAAGAUAAAAAAGAAGUGGAAGGAGAUAAAGCAGUGGCCGAAUUUUGGGGAAAUUUCUUCUGAUCUAAAAGAGCAGGUGAGGACAUACAAGCGAGAGAAAUGGGAAGAAACCAAGCGUGUUGAUGUUGAUAAUUUGGUGAAUGAUCUUCCCCACGAACUUGGCAUCAAAAUAAAGCGCAAACUUUGCAUUAAACUAAUCAAGAAUGUGAGUUCCUAUUACUUCUUUAUCCAGUAAUAAGUCACUUGUGGUUUCUUUAUCUAUUGAAAAAAAAAAAGGAAAAGAAAAAAUGCUAGGCAACAGUUACGAGUUCAUUGCCACAAAAUUGCCACUCCUUGUUUAUUACAAGAAAUUGAAACAACAUUUGUUAUAUUCCGUUACCCUUACUAAUCGUUUGGAUGCAUCUAAUGUAAUUCUCAUUUUUUGGUCCGUACCUAUCUAUGUACACAGGUAAAAGAGUUCGAAAAUUGGAAUAAAAAAUCAUUGGAGUUUCUGUGUGAAUUUCUGAAGCCAGUCUUCUUUAUUGAGCGUACACGCAUUAUUCGGGAGGGAGACCCAAUUGAAGAGAUGCUAUUUGUGCUGAAAGGCAAUCUCUGGACUUACACUUCCGGGAAUGUAGCAACAACUAGCAGCAAUAGUAGUCGUUAUGGAAAGAAUCGUUUGAAAGGUGGUGACUUUUUUGGAGAAGAACUUAUUGGUUGGGCUGAGAGUGAGCACUCUUCCAAUUUGCCUAGCUCAACCAGAACUAUUCAAGCGCUUAGUGAGGUUGAAGCCUUUGUUCUUAUGGCAGAUGACUUGAAACAUGUAUUCUUACUUAGACAUUGUGACCGGGCAGCUCUUUUGUUACAAUCACGCUGGCGUUUCAGAAAGCUUUUGCGUGAUAGGAGGGCUAAGCAAAAAUCAAUCUUGAGAAGAGUGCGGAAUUGGGCAGCAGUACUACAGACUAUAGAAUAACAAUUUGAGACUGGAUUUGAAAUUAUUAUUUGUAUGAAUACUACCAAAAUGAAAAUAGGUGGUAAAAUCUGAAAAAUUAAGGGGAAAAUUGUCGAUCUCCCUUGUUCGAUUAUGCAGUCAACAAGAUCAGAAACAGUAAUCGCCAAGUUCGAUUUGGAAAUCUUAUCCAACCAAUGGUACCUUUUUCUUUUUUCUUUUUUUCCCUGAAUCAAGGACUUCACGCUUCGUUGAUGGGGAUACCAUUCCUAAAAUUAAAAGAUAUUGACCAUUACUAUCUCAAACAACAAUUAAUUAUACAUUGCCAGCACGCAAAAAUGAGCGACAAACUUCUUCAUUAACUAAUCUAUUUGAACAACUGCAUUUCUAAGCAUAUAUAUGAUCAUUUCAGAUGAAAAUAGUUUAAAGUGGCGAUAGAAGAACCGGUAGAUCACAGUUGAGAGAGUGAAGCAGAUCAUCAGGGGGCAAUCUUAAGUGUGUCACGCGGGUAGAGUGAUGUUUUGCGAAUGUUGUUGAGAUCGCAGAAAAGCAUCACCACACUCUUCAAUCCCACUUCACAUCCACUAUGUCUCGAAAGGAAUCCAAUGAUAACAUAAAGCUAACAGUUUUUAGAGGACCACACUGUUUUUCUAUUUGCGUACAAAUGGACAGUGGUUUCAGAAUAACCUUAGCAUUGUCAAGUUUAACCAGAGAGCAUGGAAACCAAAGCCAGAUCAAAAGAGGAGGAAGAGAUGCUCAAAAAUCCGGUCAAAUGAACAAUCACAUGAUAUUUUCAUCCAACAAGUAUGAAUGUUUGCAAUGAAAAGAAAAAUGAAAACCCGACAGAAAAUUCUUCAACACAAGGAUUUUGAAUGUGGUUAUCAUUAUAAUUAAGCAGUCAACCUAAUACAACCUUCAACCAGAGGUGAAUUCAUUUAUGCCAGUCACAUGACCACUCCUAUCAACACCACUGCAAAAAAAGCGCAUCCUCUUUAUUAAUAAAUGAAGUUUUGUUCCUGCUUUACUUCACCAUUCAUUUUCAUCUCAUAAAAGAGCAAUUUAUUGGAAUACAACAUACCUCGAUUAAACUGAAAGAGGAUUAAGAUAAUUUAAAAAAUGAAAACUGCGAGACAAUACGAGUAGUAUCAUGAUAAACUUAACUCCAGAUGGACAGCCAUUUUUUAAUCGUAAUUAAUGAAACAAAUGUAGAUCGAGAUUUCCCCAGAACAACACCACAAAUACAAGUAUAUGUGCAUCCAAAAUGAAGAAGAAAUGUUUCAGCUUCAUACAUUACCUCGAAUAAAGACAUCAAAUUAGUUUCUGUAAAGAGCAUUGUCAGGAGGGGGCGCCUAACAGCCCAAGGAUAACGAUGGAGUAUAUAAAAUUCGGCGCCAUACCUACAAUAGGAAGCAACAAUCAGGCACGCAUUGAUGAUAUACAUAGAUAUUUAAGCUUAAAAAUGAGAAAACACUUAUCAUGAGCUAAGAGCAAUGAGGCUCUUAAUUGUUUCAAAAUUUGAAACUAAUAAUAGAUGUAUGUUAUACAGACAAAUUCAGACUUCAAUACUUGUAAGAAAAAUCAAGUCAGUAAAUAUGGAACCUACUUAUCUCCGUUCCAUAGGUUUGGUUGUCUUUUUUUUUUUUUAAUUAAUGUUCAGAAUCGAUUAAAAAGUUUUUUAAUUCGAGUUCUUGCUAAUUUCAUUUUUUGAUUCCAUUUUGAAAUUCAAUUUUCUUAUUUAAUUUUAUUCCGAUCCUAUCUACCCAUUCGAAUUUUGGUUGCUUAAUUGUUCAGGAUGUUGGAGUUGAGAAUGAUCCUCUUGAAGACUUGAAUACUGAGGCAGAGAGGAAGUUGAUCCAACUAUUUUCCUACGAUUCUUGGGAACAGUAGAUACUACUUUUAAAGUAUUCAACCUACUAAAUGAUUCCUCCACACUACUGUUACCCUUAAAAAUCAUCUAAUUAGUUAUUCAUACACUAAUCUAAAUAAUGGCGUGAUAAAUCAGAAACCUUUCUUCAUGAAACAUGAACUGAGGGGAUGAAAGAAAUUAAGUUACCUUGAGCAUUUGAAUCCCUUUUCCGAAUGUAAGACAAAGAGUCUUUGCCUUGUACUGCAACAUUUAGAAAAUGCCACAAUCAGGUUCAAGAAUAGAGAAAAGCUGAGGUGAUAUAUAAUUUUCCAUAUUCCAAAUAUAUCUAAACUAUACAAGCACUUCAAAAAUUAUUAUGAUAACAGAAUUUUAAGAACAAUUCAAAAUAAAUAAUGACCUUCAGAGGUUCAAACGGACACUGAUUCGCCACAUAUUCAACUUCCUUUUUGCACCUCUCAUUCAAAUCAUCAAAAAUUGUGACAAAUAAGCGGCCCACAAUAUCCAUCACCUGUGUUCAGGUGCUUACCUUAAUAGAACCAAAUAAAUAGUAACACGCGUCUCGGCGCAUACCUUUCAUAUAAUCACAUUUGUAUAUGUACGAUGAUAUCACCGCCACCUAAAUUUCUCAUUUAUUAUAUUUGAUUAUUUUCUUUUUAUUUCAUUGAUUUUCUCGUAUAAAAGUAGAUUUACUACGAUUUACCAUUGUGUUGUUGUGCAAUGGUCACCCUUUUUGUUCGGGCUGCCUAUUGAUUUAUUGCUUUUAGAAGAACUCUCAGAAUAGCUUUACAUUAUACUUUUCUAAUUUGCAAUGAAUGCGUCCAGGAGUAUAAAGCCAUGAACUGAUUUUUGAACAACUUAUAUCUUACUUGCUAAUGUCGAUGGAAUUCAUAAAUUCAUAAUACAUCCAAUAAAGGGGGAGAAAAAUAGGAAAGAAAGAAAUACUCCCUGUGUAUCAUCUAGACUAGUUUUAAAACUUCUUGAAUUGGACAAGAAUAAGUUGGCUGACAAGCUUUCCUAACUUCUCACAACUUUUAUUAUUGUUACCUUAUAUUUUCAUAGUCGUUAGAUUUUUAUACUUUGAAUUGGUACCAAUCUCUUUUUUAUCAAAUUUAAACAGAGAUAAUUGAUUGAAUGAUUCAGUCUCCUUCGUCGAAACAACGUUCUUAUUUGCUCAAACAGAUGGAAUCCAGAAAACUCAUCCAUUUGAUUCUCUUCAAUUGAAAACUCAUCACUUCCUGCAUGUAAGAGCAAUUUGAGUGCCAUAAAGCCUGUAGUGAAUCUACCUAUUUAGGGAAUAAUUUAAUUAGAAAAGUUAACAUGAAGCUCAUACGCCCUAAUUACAAAGCUACUCUUAAAAUAACAUGAAUCAAGAAACAGAGCAAAACAGAGUAGCUACUAAGAAGAACACCCAAAUUAACUCCUAAAAUUGACCAAACAUAACAAGCAUCAAAUCAAAGCAUUAAAGCACUAAUCAGAGACUUUACACUAAAUUGUUUGUUUUAAAAUAAUGGGAUUUCAAGAUUAUACUUAAAACUCAAGUAAAAUCAUCUGCAUGGUUGAAGGAUCAGAAGCUCAUGGAUGGAAUAAUAGAGAAAUUAAAGUAAACAAUGUAACUAACCGGUUCCUUGAAGAAGUUGGUUAUCGACGGAGGCCCAGUGACUUUGUCGGAGUGGUGGCAUCGCUGGCUUAGGCGUGAGUGAAGAGUGAAUAUUGGGAGAUCUCUGGCUUCGGUUCUUUGACCUUACGUUAUUUUAUUUAUUCAUUAUUUUUUUUUUCUAGUGUAUGCAGAUGCUCCGCUCACUUUAAACUCUAGUGGAUGCAGUGUGGCAACUGAAGUGAUCAGUUGCUGCCCAAGAUCACAAACCAAAUCUGCCAAGAUGCUUCCAAGAUCAAACUGAUUUGAAGCUUAAUUGAUAUGAAAUGCAAACGAUGAUGAUGAUGAAGAACAUAAAUCAAUUUAGAGAUGAAUAGAAUCAACGAAUCAAAAGAAAAACGGAGGAUAAAUCGAUUUGCGUGGUUCAGCUAAUUUUUGGUGUUUUUAAAUAAUUACCUCAGCGGGUGGAAAUUUCUGUUCAGCUUUUAUUGAUUGUUCAAGAUGUAUUACAGGGUUUUUACAAAGUACAAAGCAACGAACAAGAGUGCUUCAAUUCUCUCAGCAAUCUCUCCCUAUAAAGCUCACACAAUCCCCCCUUUUUGUUGCACCAGAGCGAGCGGUUUAACGGCUUUGUAACCAACCCAGAUGAAACCCAGAAAACCACGUGACAUGCAUGUGCGUUAACAAACUAUAACGAACAUAAGCAGCUUUCUUUAAGCACGUGAAGCGUCCGCGCUUCAUUAAACCCAAAACGGUGUUUCCCGAAGUCGUUUCACCAUGCAAUACCACCCAGUACGCAUCAAACGGCCGCAACUCAUGUCGUUUAGCUUAAGUGUCUUAAGCCCAAAAGGCGACACUCGAUGUCGUUUUGCUUAUUUCUGAUUUGCUUCACCUGUCACACAACAUGCAGUGUAGAUGCUGUUUUAACUUUUGAAUUUUAUAUGAUUUUAUUUUGUCUUCUUAAAAGAUAUCUUUUAGAACUGAAGGGCACUUUCGAUGUUUCUUAUUUAUUUUACAGUGACCUCUUCUGGCUCUUUCUGCUGAGGGAGGGUACAAACAAUGAAUCAUCAUCAGAUUAAUCAAAAUAUAACCCCACUCAUAACAUAAAAAUUAGAAAACGUCUCUUCAGAUGAUUUGAGUCACACACAUCAACAAUCAGAAAUCGUUAACUAAGUAUACAAUUUCUUUUUGGACUCGUAUUUUCCCCAUUGUUGAUCACGUAAGUUACUGCUGUAUAUGUUGUUUUGAUGAGUAAUUAAUGAUCAUGGAAUUUACUUAAUUUGCCAACUUAAAUCAAUCAUUAGUCUUAAACUUUUCCGUAACAAAACCCUGAAUUUAUAUUUUGAUUAGGAAUCAGGAUUUGCAAUUAGAGGAAGGUGCAGCAGGCCAAGUUCCUGGAGAACGAAUUAGCAGUGUUUAUGGAACUUUCUCUCUAAUAUUGGCUACAUUUUACUAUUUUUAGCACCAAUAAGAAUGAUAGGGACGAUUAUCGGGACAAUUAUAAAGAUUUUUCUUGUAUCGUGUGUGAUUGCAAUCAUAUUGGAUCCUUUGUUCUUCUACAUUCCGAUAAUGGAUGAUGAAAAUAAGUGCAUUGAAAUGGACAAAUUUUUAGGAAACAAUGCAGCUUUUUUUCGUUGUGUGUUUGAUUUGCUCAAGAUACUUAAUUCAUUUUACCUUUGAGUUGCGUAAUUAUCAAUUUCGUUUUAAAGAAAGGAAAAGUUUGUGGCGCUGGCUGCUCUUCUACAUUGACAUUUUGGCCGCUGAUCUUCCCCUCCCUCAGGUAAGUCACAUCACGUAUUAUUAAUUUUAUCUUAAACCUUAUAGUUUAUCGAACUGAAUGUGGUUAUUUAAUUACUUUGAUUUUCUCACAUUUGAUUGGUGAUCUCUCAAAGAAUGAGAGGCACAGAGUUUUUGUAUGCAAUGAUAUUCUCACUUCUGUAAUAUUUGCUAAGGGUUAUUCGAGCAUACAGAGUGUUUUCGGAAGCAACAUUGGGCUCAGAAAUACUCGCUGAAGCUACAUGGGCCAUUAUUGGCUUCAAUAUUCUUCUGUACAAGAAAGGAGGUCAUGUAAGUUGAUAAAGCACCAUUCAUGUAAGUCUAUUUAUAUUGACUUAUAUGCACAAGCCUAUAAUACAAACAGCAUCAUUGUAAUACAAAUUUGUUUAGAAAUUCAUGGCCUAUAAUACACCAUUUAUGUCCUAGACUUACUUGUCAACCUUGCAAAAUUUUUGUGCUUGGCAACUGGUUUUGUUGAUGCCGAAAUCCGGAUGAGUUGGUUAGUGACUCGAUCUCAGAUUCCUACAUCAACAUUAAAUUUAUUUGGUGGGAAGCUACUGGUUGAUCUCCAAGAAAAUCCUCCGACUAUGAGCAGAACAUUCAUGAGCUGUUGAUUAGUGAGCACCGAGAGCAGAUAAUUGAUGAGCAGACGACCAAUGAGCAGAUGAUCCAUGAGUAGAUAAUCCGCGAGCCUGCGAGCACAAAGAACAGUCAGGGGGCGCCGGAAGUUUUUCCGACAUAAACCCUCCGACACUCAAGUCAGCGAUUUGGGUCUACUUGGAAAAACUCAUACCACAAUUCACAUGGUUUAACUAUGAUUGUUUUAAACAAAAAGCUUUUAAGUAAAUUUAAAUGAAAAUAAUUGAAAAUAAUCAAUUUUAAAGAAAUCAUAAGCGAAAGAGAAAUUUCCCAGUGGUAGAGAGAGAAAAAGAUUCAAUGGAUUCAGUCACCCAAAGGGACAGAGGAAAAAGAAUCCCCCAUUUCCCCUAUUUUCCCAUGGUUUUUAUAGGAAAUUAUAGCGGUUUUUAUCCUCUUAUUUAGAAUUCUCAAGAAAAUUACUAAUUUUGAGCCCAUUAGAAUAUGGUUCCUAAUAUUUCGGAGAAAAUAAGUGAGAUUUGUUUUAACUGAGUCGUGUUUUCUAAUAACAUCCUGGUCGAGUGUUUUCUAAUAACAUCCUGGUCGAGGUGAUGUGGUCGAGAUGACCAAAUAACAUCCUGAUCGAAGUGUUGCUCAUUUUUUACUUAGAGGGGAGCACAAUAAUGUAUGAACAAACACCUUAUCUUGGUCACCUUAUUCUAUUCCCCAAACAGGUUUGUCGGUCCUCCAGGUAUUUGGAGCCUUAUGAUACCUUUUUGCCAUGGAAAAAGUUCGAGGAUGUCGGAAGGAAGCCCGCAUAAUUAAUCGAGCUGGAUGCAAACACAGUUCGUUUUACUGUGAAGACAGAGUUUAGGAGACGACAGAAAAUUCUAAAUGACUUGUGCGGCAUAAAUAAUUUUGGAUAAUUUAAUGAUGCUCUUGAGUCUGGCAUUGUGGAGGUGACUGAUUUUUCAAAGAAAUUGUUACAUUGUUUACAAUGGGGCCUGCAAAAUCUCAGGUUAAUUUGCUCAUACAAUAAUAUAUUUUCCUUGUGUGUGUUGCAUAAUAUGAUUAAUUCUUGCGUUGCAGGUUCUUCAUUUUGGAAAAUUGAGUUAAAGAAGUAAUGCUAACAGUACAUUAUAUCUCUUUCAGAUAUUUAAUAACACUUAGGGGCAAAAAUUUUAACUGAUAGUUGUGUUAACGGCACAAUCAAUUUGUUUGAAUGUCAAAGGUAGUCAAGGACUUGAGUGAUAGAAGUUUUUUCUACAGAGGAUGUAAGUGAGGAAUUUAUGAAACUUUUUGAUAAAAAGAAUUAUCUAGGAUAAGCAAUUGAGCAGAAUUCUUUUACAGUGCAUUUUUGCAAUUCACAUAACCAACGUAGGGGUGGUGCUGUUUGUGUUUUUAAUCGGCAAUAUGCAGUUUGACACAGCAAGAUCACAGAAGAUAAGACAGAAGUGGAAGGAGAUGAAGCAAUGGCCAAAUUUUGAGUAUAUUUCUUCUGAUGUGCGGGGGGCAGUUAAGGAAAUACAAGCUAUACAAAUGGCAAGAAACCAAACGUGUUCGUGUUGAUAAUUUGGUGAAUGAUCUUCCUGACGAACUUGGCAACAAAAUAAAAUGUCUGCAUUAAACUGCUCAAGAAUGUGACGUUGAACUAUUCAAUCACUCAGCGACAUUGAAGCCUUUUUACUCUUAUGGCUGAUGACUUUAAACAUGUAUUAUCUACCAUUCACAAAUUUCGAUCGGGCCGCUCUUUUGUUACAAUCAUACCGGCGUUUUGGGAAGCUUUUACGUUGAUAGAAGGAAGGCUAAACAAAAAUCAUGCCUGAAUUGUUGGACUUGGGCAACCAAAGGAAAUAAACAAAGUGGUACAUGUAACAACGCACAAUACAAGAAAAUUUAACAGUGCUUGUGACUAAAUCAUUGAUGACAAACUGUUUAUUCUUUAUAUUUACAUGUGAAACCGCAGAAAAGGGCCAAAAUUGUAGUUUGAAAUUUUACAUUUGAUUUUGUCGUCAAUUGAUGAGCUCAUAGCAACAUUAAUUUAUUGAAUGAUAAAACAAUAAUUUUAUAUUCAGUAAAUAUAUGAAAUAUGACUUAAAUUGAAAUUUUGAGAUCUUAAUACAUUGGAGCUACAUUGAGUUGGGAGACAAACUUUGACUCUGAAUGAGAUAGCACUUAAUGUGUCAUUUAUUUAUUAAAUUUGUUAAUGGUAUGAUAUUAUCUCAUUACGCAGAAAUAUUAAAUUGCAAUGAGUCUAGUCAAUUGGGAAAACAAUUUUUGCGCGAGUAUCUCAAUUUCCAAUAUAAAAAUUACAAGACAAAAUAAAAAAGGAGAAUGAUACUUUAUACCUGUUUAGAAGCCAUUGGUUAUUUGGUCAUAUUCAAAACCUGUUUUAACCACGUAAGUCCAUGAUAAAAGUUACAAGAGAAAAAGAAGAAUGAUACUUUAUAGUUUAUACCUGUUUAGAAGCCAUUGGAUAUUUUGAUCAUAUUUGAUAAAAGUUACGGGACAAAAUUAAAAAGAAGAAUGAUACUUUAUACUUGUUUAGAAGCCAUUGGAUAUUUUUAUCAUAUUUGAUAAAAGUUACGAGACAAAAUUAAAAAGAAGAAUGAUACUUUAUACCUGUUUAGAAGCCAUCGGAUAUAUUGGUCAUAUUCAAAACCUGUUUUAAUCACGUAAGUCCAUGAUAAAAGUUUAAAAUACCAUUUGUGGAAAGGAUAAGUAUGAUAUUUUUUAAUAAAUAAAUAAAUUUAUUUAGUAAAUAGAUUAGGUGAAUAAUUUAGCGAGUUCAAAUAAUUUCGAUUAAUUUAUACGUGAAGAGUGAAGCUAUUGGCAUCCUUCAUUAUUCUUAUAAAUCUCCACUUUAAAUAAAAUUACAUUGAAGGACAAAUAAGAAUUAAACACAUUUAAGAAUUUUCAUAAUAAAUUACUUUCAUAAUCAAUUCUUUUUUUUUUUUUGCAUUCAUAAUCAAUUCUUUUUUGCUUUUUCUUUUCUACUUGCCACUUCUCUCUAAUUAAAAUAAAUUACAAAAAUUUAUAAUAAUUUAUUUUUCUUUUCUUAUUUCUUAAUAAUUGAGAAUUUUUAUACCUAUUACUUUCAAAUUAUAAUUUAAAAUGUGUCAUAUCUAUAACAUAAUAAUGUUUUGAGUUUUAAUAAUAUACAAAUUCAAUUAAAAAAUAAAAUAAUGUAUUUAAAAGGGAAAAAAGGACGUUUUUGAAAUUAAAUACAAAUAUUCCAAUUGUUACUGUGAAAAUGUGAUAUUUUCAGCACUAGAGCUACCACUUUAUUGCAUAUCCGACCCGAAAGGAACUGAUGUGGUCCAACCGUGUUCGGAUCGGAUUGGUUGCCGUCAUAAUCUGAUCACAUUUAGGUAGCUUUUCAGUUUUGUCCAGGAGAAAGGCUGUCAAUUAUGUCUCCAUAAGAAAGACGUCACAUAGAUGAUGUAAUCAGAUUUUAUCAUGCGUUUGUUCCCCUUCAAACGUCACAUAGAUGAUGUAAUCAAAUUUUAUCAUGCGUUUGUUCCUCUUCAAUCGAGUACUCGUCACAUCCUGAGUGUUUGUGAAUCUACGUUAAGGGUAUGUUUAUGUUGGAACCGCUUUACGGUGGAGUAUUUUUUUGUAACCACAUAAUUAAAAAAUAUAGAUUAACCUCAGAUUUAAAAUAAAUGAAGUCUUUGUUUUUAUUUGUAAAACUUUUAUAACACAUUAAUAUGUAACUGGAACAUCCCAGUCCAAAAUUUAAGGACAAAUAUGUCCACAACUCAUAUAUGAUUUAAAUAACUCUUUUCUAAAAUUAUCUCAUAAAUAACCUUUAUUUAUAGUUUAGUAUCCAUUUUCUUAAUAAGGGUUAUAGGCACCUAUAAUUCCCAAUGAAAACCCAAUUUCCUUAAUUUAAUAUUAUGAAAAUUUGUGGCGUUACAGUAACGCUUCAAAUUUCACAGCAGAUUAGAUACAAUUUUUUUAUCCUUAUACUAGACAUGUGCAGAGUAGUAAGAAACAAGUUAAAAAAUAAUAAAAACACACACUUUGAUGUUGUUAUCUUUAUCUUAAAGUAUUAAAAUCUAUAUUUCUUUUAAUCUUUUAACUUGUCUUUUACGAUAUUAAAAUAAGAAAAUCCUUUGAAAAUAAGAAAAUCCUUACUAAAAGUAAAAGGGGACUUGUCAUGUGCACAGUGUACAAUAUGUUUCAAAUGUUACUUGAUAGAAAUUACUGAAAGCAUUGUAUCAUUGGAAAACUCUUGCUGCAUGCUCUACUAAUUUGACAGUUUAUCAAAUAUUUUUUUGCUGCUCGCUACUUAUGAAUCACGUUUAGUCCCCUUUGAAUUGUGUCCAUCCACCAUCUGUUAAAUUUAUCUUUGAAUUUUCUCCCUUCCAAAAGGGACACAAAUAAGAAACAGACAAGGACGUUCAAAUCCCCGAGUUGUAAAAUUUACAAGAUGCAUCGGGUAGAAAAAUCUUGUAGAAACCUCAGCUGAUGAACUCUGUAAAGAAUAUCCUCAUUCAUUCAGCUAACCCGUUGAACCAAAAUGCAAAAUCAUCCUCAAUAAGUACAAGAAACAAAAACUUUACAAGAAUAACUUAUGAAACUUGAUAAAUUUCUGCGGAGACUACAACGUCAUUUCAAUUUGUGAGGUAAUUAUUUGAUGCCAUGAUGCUGACUGAAUCUCAUUAAAUUAAUGAAAAUAAUACAACAAAUGAUACGAUAACUCCAAAUUAGCUAUCACAUUAUGUAUUUGAUUCAAAUAAGAGAACAAAAUUUGCAUUAUUGAUAGAUAUUAUAUUGUUUCUUGAAACUGUCUCUUGACAAAUCGCCCAUUAAUGUAGUCAUUGCUGACAAAACAACUUUGUGAAAAAGUUCAACUAGAUAGCAAGCUGAUAGAGAAAUCUGACAAUGCAAUGCAUGUCAUCCUCACACUUCAAUUUCAUCGAAAAUGGAUAAGCCAUUUUGUUCAACUUUCACCUCCGGAAGUUGAAAAGGACAUGAUUGCAAUUAUGCAAGUCCUUAUCAAAGAUGCAAUGAAUGACGCCUAAACUCCUAUAGAGUAGAGUUAAGCUAUUAAUCACUGCACCGAUACGUCAAAAAUUAAGUAUAUGGAUCAAAGACGUCUUCAUUCAAGAAUCUCAAAUUUCAAAGCAGUGCUUGUCAUUUACAUACCAAGCAAAGGGACCAAAGAUGGUGGUGCUCUAAUAUUUUGUCUAGUCAGAUUUACAUUAUUCAUGUCUUUUUCUUUGGUGCAGAAGUUGACCGCGGCCUAUUUCAACAUCAUUCGUCAUCCUCUCAAUCUCCUCCUUUUUCACUGGCAGAACCAAAAAUAUCUUGCACCUCAGUGAAAUAUCAUUGGAGACAAAAAAGUUUCUCCAGCUUAUUCAACAACCAAAACCAGCCAAAUAUCAUCUCCAGCCACAAAGCAAUGAGCCAAGUAAUUAAAUUUCCUUCAUGCAGGCUGAGGAAAGCCAAUAAGCAAUCAAAGGAGAUGGAAGAAUAGCACUAUUAAUUCAAGACCAACAAAGUUUGCAGCAAAACUGAUAGUAUUUAUGAUCUUGCAAAAGUCAAUCUUGUCUGGUUAUCAACACUGCAAUUAUAGCUUUUGUGCACCUCAGUUAGCCUUAAAUUGUGAAAGUUUCAGCCAAACCAACAAUUUCUAACCUACAUCUCAUGGUUAUACAAGCUAACUAGCAUCUGCUUCACUGCAUUAUGCUUCAAAAACAAUCAUACUAAAUGUCACAAUUCUGGUAUAUAAAAGUUCAGCCGCCUACACCAUUCAAGUUGAGCAUUUGACUGCAUCUCUAUGGGUACUAUUAAGGGAUGGCAAUAAUCAGUUAUGAUACGAAUAAUUGACAUCCAUAAUCCGAUAUAUCCGUCCGCACCCAUGUCUAAUUUUAGAGGUUUGAUAUGGAUAUGGAUUUUUGUUUAUAUGGAUAUUGAUAAGCAUAGAUAUUCGGGAAAAAAAAUUCUACUUAACACUAUAACGAAUAGGAUACUUCUUUUAUUAGAGCGUUGUCAUGCUGAUGAUGUGCAAGAUAUCAUAAAUAAAGGGGAUCGUAGGGAACGAAAUGAAAUAAGUUUAAAGAAUUUGAAAGAAACUGAUUAUUCUCUUAUUCAACAACUCGGUGUGCAAUUACAUUUUACACGAGGUCCAUGUAAUUAUAUUUGUCAUUAAGAAUGAGCAUUUGCCAAAAGAAGACACACAUGUCAUGACAAUGAGUGAUUGACAAGUGACAAAAUUGAUAGACACCCGCCGAAUAUGUCACAACACAAACUUCUAAAAUUGCUACAGGAAAUGAAAUAUAACGAUGCACGAUGCCCAUCCAAGUUGUUUACUUGUAUUGUCCAACUGUAAAUGAGUACAGACAUGGUACCAUCAAUCGUUGUUAUUAAACUAGUCAUUGACCUCAGUCACUCCUUCAUAACCACAUAAUAAGGAGUGGCUAUUUAUUUAAAAUAUGAAGUGGAAAAUUGAAUUAAUUUAUUUGAAAUAGAAAUGGUCACAAGAAAAUUUUGAAUUAAUUUCUUGAAACAGGAUCCUACAAAUGAAGUGUUUUAAUUUUGUAAUUUAUUAUUAUUAUUGUUAUUUUGUUUUUAAAUAUUAAAAAGAAAAAAAGAAAAAAUUGGUUUGUCUUUAGUUUCUAGCGGACAUCAGAUUCAUCAUAAUAAGCGUACCCUUGUCCAUGUAUAAAUUGCAUUUGCCUCUGUUGUGAUGUGAAGCAAAUCUGUUGGUGAAAACGUCAGCUGAUGCUGCGUUUUGGGAAGUCAAACUCGUGCUUCCUGGAACGACGUGAAUGAAGGUCGUUUUGGUUAAGUGAUGCACGAGAGUUUCACGUGCACGAAUAAGUUGUGUUCUAGGUUCGUUAGAAUCAGUUAACUCACAUGAUUGUCACGUGAUUUUCUGGGUUGGUUGCUGAUUCGUUAACGAGCUGUUAUAUACAGCUGAUUCUGGCAACAGAGAGCGAGGACGUGAGAGCUACUGUGAGUUGAGAAGAUUGAAAACCAAAGGCUUCUUGAGAGACUCUGUAACAAGCUUGAUAAACUCUCUGUAACUUCUUUGAACAAUCAAUAUAAUUGGGUUCUGUUUCUCCCGUGGAUGUAAGCUAGACUGAAACUAGCUGAACCACGUUAAUUCUUGUUCUUUUCUUUAAUUCUUUCAGUUCUAAUAAUCUAUGUGUAUUCUGCUGGAUUGAUUCUUGGUGCAUCUUGUUUGUUUGAUUGUGAUCUUGGGAAGUGUUUUGAGUUGAUUGGGAUAGUUAGUCACUCUUAAACACUACAAUUGGUAUCAGAGCCUGGAUUACAAAUCAGACACAAGUAUGGCUGGUUCAAAGAUCGAUCUAGAGAAGUUUACAGGGAAGAAUGACUUCAAUAUGUGGAAGGUUAAGAUGGAGGCACUACUGAUCACUCAAGGGCUAGGUGAUGCCUUAGAACCUAUCAUCAAGAAAGAAGGAUUAGAAGCCUCCACAUCAUCAUCAUCACUAACACCACAACAAGCUGCUGAGAUUGACAAAAAGGCAAGGAGUACCAUAAUCUUGAGUCUUGGAGACUCGGUGAUCAGGGAAGUUGCUAGAGAAAGAACAGUGGCUGAUCUGUGGGCAAAACUUGAAAGGGUGUAUAUGACUAAAUCAUUAGCCAACAGACUUUACAUCAAGAAGAGGAUGUUCACGCUAAAAAUGGCUGAAGGAUCAUCUCUUGAAGACCACAUUGAUGAAUUCAACAAAGUCUGUGAUACACUGGAAAUAAUUGAUGAAGGUUUAGAUGAUGAAGGUAAAGCAUUGCUUCUGGUCAGUUCACUUCCACCCUCAUAUUCAAACUUUGUCGAUGCACUCAUGUAUGGGAGACAAACUUUAUCAUUGGAUGAAGUUAAGGCUGCCCUAAAUACUAGAGGGCUGCAAGAAAAGUCAAGGAAUAUGAACUCUGGAGAAGUGCUGGCAGUAAAAGCAAGAACUGAUAAGUAUGAUGGAAAAAAAAAGAAGCAAGGGAACAACAAACAAAAGACUAAAGGCAAGAAAUGUUUUCAAUGCCAGAAAGAAGGGCAUUUCAAGAGAGAUUGCCCAGAACUCAAGAACAAGAAAAGGGAACAAAAUGGAGCUGCUGCUACUGCUGAGGAAGAAGGGUAUGAGUCAGCAGGAGUAUGUGUGGCUACAGAUCAUGUGCAAAAAGGUACCUGGAUUCUAGACUCAGGUUGUACAUUUCAUAUGUGCCCCUUUAAAGACUACCUAUUAAACUAUCAUGAAACUGAUGGUGGAAAAGUUAUGAUGGGUAACAAUGCUGUCUGUAAGAUUGUGGAGAUAGGAAAUGUAAACCUAAAACUGCAUGAUGGAACAAUUAGAGAAUUAAAGGAAGUUAGGUAUGUGCCUGAACUUAAAAGGAACUUAAUAUCUCUAGGUAUGCUUGACCAAAUGGGGCUUAGUAUUAAGCUUGAAUCUGGUGAGCUGAGAAUCUCAAAUGGAGAUGGGGUAGUUAUGAAAGGUUACAAGAGAAAUGGAGUUUAUAUUUUGAAUGGGGAAACUAUAACUGGUGUGUCAGGAGUAUCAAUAAGUUCAAGUUGUGAUAACACUUUGCUGUGGCACCUUAGAUUAAGACAUAUGAGCUUGAGAGGUCUGAAAGAAUUACAGAAGCAAGGGGUUCUAGGCAGCAGUCAAAUCUCAGAACUGGAUUUUUGUGAAGACUGUGUACUAGGCAAAGCUACAAGAAAUAGCUUUGGGAAAUCAGUUCAUUCCACCAAGGGCAUCCUUGAAUACAUACACUCAGAUUUAUGGGGACCAGCACAGACAGUUUCACUAGGCGGCAACACCUAUUUCUUGUCUUUAAUAGAUGAUUAUUCAAGGAGAGUAUGAGUUUAUGUCUUAAAACACAAAGAUCAGGUAUUUGGCAAAUUCAGAGAGUGGAAAUCCCUGGUUGAAAAUCAAACUGGAUUGAAGGUGAAGAAACUCAGAACUGACAAUGGUCUUGAGUUUUGCAAUCAGGAGUUUGAUAGCUACUGUGCAGAUAAUGGCAUUGCAAGGCAUAGAACUGUAAGGUUGGCUCCUCAACAAAAUGGAUUAGCCGAAAGAAUGAACAGAACCCUGAUGGACAGAGUAAGAAGCAUGAUGAUCCAGUCACAACUUCCCAAAGGAUUGUGGGCUGAGACUCUGUUAACAGCAAGCUAUCUGGUAAAUCUAAGUCCCUCUGCAGCACUUGACUUCAAAACCCCAUUUGAGAAAUGGCAUGGAAAACCAGCAGACUAUGGCAGCCUCAAAGUAUUUGGAUGUCCAGCCUAUGCACAUGUGAGUUAAGGGAAGUUAGCUCCAAGAGCCCUUAAAGGAAAGUUCAUUGGGUAUCCUGAAGGUGUUAAGGGAUUCAAACUAUGGUGUACAGACCUUAAUCCUCCCAGGUGUAUUAUCAGUAGAGAUGUAAUAUUCAAUGAGAAAGCUGCACUGGAAAUGAAGAAAUCUACUGACACAGAUGCACAAAAGGAUAAGGAGAGAACCAAGGUUCAGUUUGAGGUGGAGCCCUACACUAGAGAAGCUUCAAAAGAUAAUGAGGAAUCUUAUCAAGGAGCUGCUGAUGAAGAAACUGAUCAUGGAAAGCAGACUGAAGCUCAACAUCAGGAGUACCAACUAACAAGAGACAGAGAAAGAAGGAAAGCAAAAGCACCUGUCAGAUAUGGAUAUGCAGAUCUGAUAGCCUAUGCAUUGACAGCAUCUCACCAAAUUGAUGAUGAACCCAAGAACUACAAAGAGGCUAUCCAAGGACCAUACAAAGAUGAGUGGAAAAAGGCCAUGGAUGAAGAAAUAUAUUCACUGAAGAAGAACAAUACAUGGGAGCUGGUUAAAAGACCUGCCAACAGCAGAACAGUAGGAUGUAAAUGGAUUUACAAAGUCAAAGAUGGACUAACAGCUAUUGAACCUAGAAGAUUCAAAGCUAGGUUAGUAGCUAAGGGUUACACACAGAGGGCUGGAGUGGAUUUCAAAGAGGUGUUUUCACCAGUAGUCAGACACACAUCAAUCAGAGUGCUACUGGCUUUAACAGCUGUAAAAGACAUGGAGCUUGAUCAACUCGAUGUCAAGACAGCCUUUCUACAUGGAAGACUAAAUGAGGACAUCUUAAUGACACAGACUGAAGGGUACACAAGUCCUGAAUCUGUUGACUGUGUGUGUCUGCUAAAGAGGUCACUGUAUGGGCUAAAACAAUCACCCAGACAGUGGUACCUUAGGUUUGAUGAGUUUAUGGUCACUCAUGGGUAUCUAAGGUGCAGCUAUGAUGUAUGUGUUUACUACAAGAUCAUACAAUCAGGUAACUACAUAUAUCUGCUGUUAUAUGUAGAUGAUAUGUUGAUUGCUUGUAAUGAAAGGGAAGAGAUUGAGGCUUUGAAGCAACUGCUCAAUUCAGAAUUUGAUAUGAAAGAAUUGGGUCCAGCUAGGAAGAUUUUGGGUAUGGAAAUAAUAAGGAACAUGAAGAAGGGUACUAUGAUUCUGUCUCAAGAGAAGUAUCUAGAGAAGGUACUGGGAACUUUUGGGAUGUCAAACAGCAAGUCAGUAGUAACCCCUCUUGCAUCUCACUUCAAGCUGUCAUGUUCACAAUGCCCCAGUACAGAUGAAGAGAGAAAUGAAAUGACAAAGGUUCCUUAUGCAAAUGUUGUUGGUUGCAUGAUGUAUGCAAUAGUACUUACAAGACCAGACUUAGCUCAUGCUUUAAGUGUUGUAAGUAGGUUUAUGGCUACACCUGGAAAGGAGCACUGGAAGGCUGUUAAAUGGGUGCUGAGGUAUCUGAAGGGUACACAACAGUAUGGGCUGGUAUACGGAAAAUCAGCUGGGAAGGUUGCAGGUCUCUGUGGUUAUGUUGACUCAGACUAUGCUGGGGACUUAGACAGAAGGAGAUCUUUAACUGGCUAUAUGUUUUUCCUGAAUGGUUGCCUUGUUAACUGGAAGGCAAGUUUGCAGCAUGUUGUUGCCUUGUCAACAACAGAGGCUGAAUAUACUGCUGCAACAGAAGCUGUCAAGGAAGCUCUGUGGCUGAGAGGGUUGAUAACAGAACUGGGGAUGACGCAGGAGACUGUGGAAGUUCAUUGUGACAGCUCAAGUGCAAUUUACUUGAGUAAGAACCCAGCUCACCAUGAAAAAACUAAACACAUAGAUAUCAAGUUACAUUUUAUCAGAAAUGUGAUCUCUAAAGGUGUGCUUAGCAUGGUGAAAGUGCAUACAGAUGAUAAUCCUGCUGACAUGCUUACUAAGGUUGUAACUACAGCUAAGUUCAAGAGUUGCUUGGACAAAGCUGGGCUGAGUGAAUUCUAAAUACUCAGGUUGGAGAAAUCAGGAUCAGGAAGUGAUUUGUUCAAGGUGGAGAAUUGUUGUGAUGUGAAGCAAAUCUGUUGGUGAAAACGUCAGCUGAUGCUGCGUUUUGGGAAGUCAAACUCGUGCUUCCUGGAACGACGUGAAUGAAGGUCGUUUUGGUUAAGUGAUGCACGAGAGUUUCACGUGCACGAAUAAGUUGCGUUCUUGGUUCGUUAGAAUCAGUUAACUCACAUGAUUGUCACGUGAUUUUCUGGGUUGGUUGCUGAUUCGUUAACAAGCUGUUAUAUACAGCUGAUUCUGGCAACAGAGAGCGAGGACGUGAGAGCUAUUGUGAGUUGAGAAGAUUGAAAACCAAAGGCUUCUUGAGAGACUCUGUAACAAGCUUGAUAAACUCUCUGUAACUUCUUUGAACAAUCAAUAUAAUUGGGUUCUGUUUCUCCCGUGGAUGUAAGCUAGACUGAAACUAGCUGAACCACGUUAAUUCUUGUUCUUUUCUUUAAUUCUUUCAGUUCUAAUAAUCUGUGUGUAUUCUGCUGGAUUGAUUCUUGGUGCAUCUUGUUUGUUUGAUUGUGAUCUUGGGAAGUGUUUUGAGUUGAUUGGGAUAGUUAGUCACUCUUAAACACUACAGCCUCUGAAUUCUUCAAUAAUUGAAAAAGAUGGGUGCUCGUGGGACACUCUCAUUUAUGAUACAAUUUAGGAAUAAGAACUUAAUGACGCAACCAUCACCAACAGCCUCUUUUUUGGAGGUACUCGGAUGGCUAUUAUUACCAUUUAAAAGAUAGCAUAAAUUUUGUAGAUUGCCAGCUAUGGCCGAGCUUUUAAAUUUUUUUUAUUUUUUUUAGAGAAGAAGAAAAAUAGCCAUUUAAAAGAUAACAUAAAUUUUCUAGAUUGGCAGUUAUGUUUGAGUUUUCAAAUUUGUUUCAGAAAAAAAGAUACUUAUGCCUUUGAGAUUUAGAAAAACAAUCACACAAAUUCUCAAAUUUUUAAUAAGAUUAAUCAAGACCUCUUUUUAUUAUAAUAUCUUUUAAUUUUAUAACUAAAAAAUUUGGCUAUAAUAUUUUAUAAUAAAAAAUAACUAAAAUGACCCGCCUCGAAUCUCCAGGACAAGUCUAUCUAAUCUCGCCAACCGAAUUAAUAAUAAUCUAAUAUCUAGAAUUCUACCAAAAAUUCGGCAAAAUCUCUUAUAUAAUUAUGACAUUCCCAAACUUGCAAUUUAUAAAAUUUAACACUCCUAAAAAAUGAUACAAUAUUCAAUCAACCUCCACAACCAACUUGUUCAAUCAAAUACCAAUAUCCUUCAAACAUAUAAUGUCAAGAAUAUAAUAAUUUAUCUUUAAUCACAAAUAAGUAAUAAAUUAUACAAUUCAAAAUAUCCUAACAAAAUAUCUAUGAUUCCUAACAUCAUCACAUGACCAUAAUUUUAAAUUUAACUAUCGUUGUUGGGUCGACUGAUGUACCUGCAUAUCUUUUGGGAGGGGGGGGGAGGGAAUAUAAUAAAAAAAUGUGAGUAUAAAAUUCAGUGAGCUCAGUUGAGUAUAUUAUGAAAAAAAAUAAAUUUACUUAAAAUAAUCUAAUCUUUCCCAAAUCAAUUUCAUCAAAAUAUCAUAAGAACUUAAAUAAACUUAUUUAAUUUAAAUCAUGUUUUAAUAUAACAAUAAUACAUAAUACGGCAUGAAAAUCAAGGAAAACAUGAUACUUAUAAUAGCAAACACCAAAUACCGAAUCUAUCACCAAACAAGUACUCAGGGGAAUAAUCUCAUCAUAUCCAGACCUCGACGGAUCGGCAAUCAGAGAACCAUCAUGGCCCGAAGCUAUACGGAUAGACGGGGAAGUACUAUCUCAUAUCUCAUCAUAUAUGUGCAUGCAUAAUCUAGUCUCCAAAGGACAAGGCGCCCAAGAAUACGGUCCAAAGCUUGUGUGUGUACUCAGAGGAGCCCCAAAGACCUAUAUUUCAUCUGUAUCAUCAUAUCUCAUCUGUAUCUCAAUAUCUAUAUCUCUGUAAUCAUCAUACUACAUGCAUAUGCCCCUAAAAGGCAAAAAUGCCCAAACACAAGACCCAAAGCCUCUAUGUGUGUUCAAACGGGCCCUAAAAGCUUCUCAUCUCAUCCGUAUCACUGUAUUUAGAUGGAAAGAGUAUUGUUUAAUGAGUUUAAAAACAUCUUAUACACAUAUACAUAAACAUAAAAUGACACUUAAAUCUCAUUUCCUUUUCAUGUAACAUACUUUAAAUCUACUUUAUUCUCUUUAAAACCAUUACCGUGCAUUUACUGAAAAAUGAUAAUAAAAUCAUUAAUCAAACUCAUUUUUUGUAAUAAUAAAUAUCAACAUAUAGACAAAAAUCCAUUUUUUAGAAAGUUAUUAAAUUCGAGUGUUAAAUACUUAUUUAUCAAACAUGUUGUACUGUAUCAUAAAAUCAUAAUAUAUUAUGAAAAUCGGUUUUGUAUAUUCCACUCAUAGUGACGAUAUUCGAGUUCGAUAUCGUCAAUGUCUGUGGGUUGAUUCUUGUUCAUGGAUCCUCCUAAUAUAAUGAAAUAACAUAAUCAUUCUCUUAAAUAUGAAAUACAACUAAUUUUACGUAAUAAAUUUCGAAACGAAUAUCUAUCAAUAAUAAACUAUUCCCGUAUGCAUAAAAUUACCAAAAUACCCCAUGCAUGCCAAAAUUACCAAAAUGCCCCUGAUAUCAAUAUUUACCAAAUUAUCCUCAUAAUCCUAAAUUACCAAGCUGACGUCAAUUCAGAUCACAAAAAUAACCACAAUGUUAGAAAUUAUGAAAUUACCCUUAGAGAAUGUCCUUAACAACGUAAAUUACUGAAUUACCCCCGUAAUCUCAAAUUACCUAACUGCCUUAGUCCAAAAUUACUAAACUAUCCACCAAUUUUGGAAAUCACAAAAUUAUCCCCCACCGUUUUGUGAAAUUACCGAACUACUCUUGGCAGUUAACGGUGACCGGACUUCGGUCGACGGCGACGAGAAGAUCAGAUCUGAUAGUUCUUAUCUCAGUGAGUCCAAUGGUGCCGGCGGUGACCACCCACGCGCGCCGACGGUGGUAGAUCGAGCUUCCCUAGUCGCGAGCUUUUCGGUGGUCGAUCGGUGGAAUUCCAACUGUUUCAGGCAGCGAGUUUGGUUGGAAAAUGAUGAGGGUGAGCUGAGGAACAAGAUCCAAGCAGUGGCGCGGCCUAAUUCCGGCGAAAUCAAUGGCGACGAAAACGAGUUGAGAUGUGGGUUUUUCAAGCUUGAUCGCCGGCAUUCUACCCAUUUUCCGAUGAGGUGACCGGAAUCGGUGGCUGGAGUUGGGUCGGGUUGCGCGAUUUCGGGUCGGGUCAGGUCAAACUCUGUCAGCUUCUCUCUUUCUCAAUUUAUACAACCAAUUCUCUUUUUUUUUUUUCAAAGCUUAAUACAAAUUAAGCUAAUACUGAACCCAUAUUGAGAAAAAAAUCUGACUACCCAACCUUUUAAUCACGCUCAAUUUGUCUUGAUUUAUUGUCGCGACAAAUUUAAAAUAAUCCAAACACAAUAUAUAUUAAUAAAUAUGUAACAUUUAACAACCAUCCCCCAUAAUAUCGGGAAAAAUUUGAGUUGCAUCAACUUCACUGUAAAAAUUCGUAACGAGUCUACUAAAUUUAAAAUUAAUGCCAAAGGAGAAAAAUAAAAUGAUACACUUAAUUAGCAAAUUUAAAGCGCAUAUAUUACAAUAACAUUAAAAUAAAUGAAAUAAUAUAUACAUUUAAAUAUUUUAAUAUUUAAAAAUUAUUUUAAUAUUUACAAUCUAUUAGAUAUAUUUUAUUAUAUUAAAGCAAAUUUUUAAUAAUAAAUAGAAACAUAAUAUUGAAUAUUUUGUACAAUUUUAACAUUAUUAAUGAAGAGAUUUUGUUAACUUUAAAAUCUAUUUAACUCAAAUAUUUAUUUAAAAUUAUUUUAAUAUUUACAAUCUAUUAGAUAUAUUUUAUUAUAUUAAAGCAAAUUUUUAAUAAUAAAUAGAAACAUAAUAUUGAAUAUUUUGUACAAUUUUAACAUUAUUAAUGAAGAGAUUUUGUUAACUUUAAAAUCUAUUUAACUCAAAUAUUUAUUUAAAAUCUUUGUAAUAAAUCCAAAUAUAUUAUUAAAUUUAAUAAUUUUAAAUGUAAAAAUAUUUUAAUAUUACUACUCUAUAGAUAUAUUUUAUUCUUUUAUAUUAUUUUUGUAUUAAAUAAAAAUUUUAAAGUUAAAUUUUUAGUUACUAUAUUCAAAGUGUAUUAUGAUUAAAAAAGGAUCCUAAAGUCUAUAUAAUCAUUUUUAAAAAUUUUAAAAGUGUAAGUGUCGAUUUUUCUUUUUUGUUUUAUAAUUCUUUUCAUGCAAAAAUUAUAUUCACGUUUUUUUAACUUCUCAUUAAUGCAUUUUCAUUGCCAGGGUUUCUGCGUUUUCAACAAAAAAUCUAGUGAAGAAACUGGAAAAUGUUGGAGGAAACGCUAAUGCAUAAUACGUACAACCUAAUAAACAAGUUGUUGGAGCGUACGGCUAUAGCAAUUUGUUUAUGGUCAUCUGUGCUUCUGUAUACUAUUAGUAAAUCUAUUUUGCAAUGAACCCAAAUAAUCAAAUUGUCCCGUGGCACUUACGGUCCAUGGAUCUAAUAAUUUUUGCUUCUUUUUAUUUAUUUAUUUAUUGCAUAUCAUAACCUGUCAGUCUCAUAAUAUUGUCCAACAAGAUUGCCUUUUUGAAAAAUUUCACAUAAAUCGGACACGGAUGAUUAUGUUAUCCUUUAAUUUUUCUAACGAAUAUAAUUUUCACUGUCAUUUUGUGUUUUGGAUAGGUGGAAUGACAGUGACCUGACUGAAAAAUAUGUUAUCUGGACGACGAACGACCAAGUCAAAGUCUUUUAAGUGUACAGUCCAACUCCUUUUAAAUAGCAAUUGAAUUCUGCACUUUAAGCAAUAAGUUACUCGGCCAAAUUUGCAGAAAUAUUUCAAAGUUUAAUUCUUCACUUGGAUUUUUCAUUGCUGAUCAUGUAAGUUAGUUGUUAUUAUUAUUAUUAUUUUUUUCACCACGGUAACUCCUGUGCUUACACUUUUCGCGGAGCUAGUUCUAUUUUCUUAAUGUUCUAAUUUUCAAUGAAUGUAUUUGGACAAAGCCACGAACUUGUCUUUUAGAGGACUUAACUUGUAUUAAUAUUGCUGAUAUAUUCCUUAUAAAUCAAAAAGAG